rnacentral:lncRNA from 1 species
ACUUUGGUAUCAUCCCAGAUAAAUUGUUAUUUCCAAGGUCAAGAACAAUUAGGCUAGAGCAAUUACCUAUGGUAUAAGGAAUGCUUCCAAUCAAAUUAUUCCUUGAAAAAUCAAUGACUUGAAGAGAGGUGAUGUGUCCUAUGGAAUCUGGGAUGGUCCCUGUUAUUUGAUUUUUCGAAAGCAAAAGGUGAUGCAUGUCUAACAUAGAUUCACCUUUGCUCAGUAGGAUAGGGCCAGAAAAUUUAUUGUAGGAGAGAUCUAGUGAAUAGACCCCUUUGAUUGAAAAAGGAAUAGGUCCCUCAAAGAGGUUGUGACUGAAAUCAAUAUAUGCAGAUUGAAAUUUUAAUGAAUUUGGUAGCUGACCUUGUAACUGAUUGUGAGAAAGAUUUAAGUACUGCAGAUUGAAAGAAAUAUUCCAAAACCACUUGGGUAUGGAACCUGAGAUGCUAGCAUUUGACAAAUCCAGCCAGGAGACCUCAUUUUGAGACCUAAGCCAAGUCGGGAAUGAAGGGCCUAAAUUGCAUGAAGCCAUAUAAAGAUCAGUGAGUUGGAAUGGGGGGACCCAGGUGGAACUAACAUUCAAAAUGAGACCAGAAUUUCCGCCCAUGAACAACAUCUUUAGCUUACUCAACUUUGAAAAAUGCUCUUCAGAAAGAAUUCCUGUCAAGGUAUUAAGAGUAUUAAAAUAAUUUCAUUUAUUUAUUUAUUUUAUGAAAAAUAAGAAAUUUCAAGAGAAAUGAAUUUUCAAAAAAUGUAUAAUAAAUCAAAUGAGUGGAAAAAAGAUAAUUUAAAAUAUUUUUUAAAAACAAGUGUUUACAUGGAAUCAAUAUAUACACAAUUACCAGAAGAAAAUUUUAAUGAAUUUGGUAGCUGACCUUGUAACUGAUUGUCAUAAAGAAUUAAGUCCUCCAGAUUGAAAGAAAUAUUCCAAAACCACUUGGGUAUGGAACCUGAGAUGCUAGCAUUUGACAAAUCCAGCCAGGAGACCUCAUUUUGAGACCUAAGCCAAGUCGGGAAUGAAGGGCCUAAAUUGCAUGAAGCCAUAUAAAGAUCAGUGAGUUGGAAUGGGGGGACCCAGGUGGAACUAACAUUCAAAAUGAGACCAGAAUUUCCGCCCAUGAACAACAUCUUUAGCUUACUCAACUUUGAAAAAUGCUCUUCAGAAAGAAUUCCUGUCAAGGUAUUAAGAGUAUUAAAAUAAUUUCAUUUAUUUAUUUAUUUUAUGAAAAAUAAGAAAUUUCAAGAGAAAUGAAUUUUCAAAAAAUGUAUAAUAAAUCAAAUGAGUGGAAAAAAGAUAAUUUAAAAUAUUUUUUAAAAACAAGUGUUUACAUGGAAUCAAUAUAUACACGAUUACCAGAAGAAAAUUUUAAUGAAUUUGGUAGCUGACCUUGUAACUGAUUGUCAUAAAGAAUUAAGUCCUCCAGAUUGAAAGAAAUAUUCCAAAACCACUUGGGUAUGGAACCUGAGAUGCUAGCAUUUGACAAAUCCAGCCAGGAGACCUCCUUUUGAGACCUAAGCCAAGUCGGGAAUGAAGGGCCUAAAUUGCAUGAACUCAUACCAAGAUCAGUGAUUUGGAAUUGGGGGACCCAGGUGGAACUAACAUUCAAAACGAGACCUGAAUUUUCAUCCAUCUGUAGAGUCUUCAGUUUACUUAACUUUGAAAAAUGUUCUUCAGAAAGAAUUCCAGUCAAGCGAUUAUAAGAAACAUCCAAGACAACCAAUUCAGAAAGUUGUCCAAAACUAACUGGGAGACUCCCAUUCAGUUCAUUCAUUUUAAGCCGCAUCUCAUUCAGAUCUUUGAAUGUCCCAAAAGAAGUAGGGAUAGGGCCUUGAAGCUUGUUGCCGGAUAGAUCGAGAUAUGUAAGUUUUUCCAGCUGACUCAAUCGUUCUGGCAAUCUGCCCACUAAUUGAUUCCAGGACAAGUCCAAAUACCUCAGUUUUGGUAAAGGACCUUCAAAACUGCAGUUUUUGAUCUCUUUGAGAAAUUCAGGGAAACUUCCUAUCAAGGUAUUGGCACCUAAAUCCAAAUGUUCUAAGUUGCAAAAAUUUCCGAUGGAGGUUGGAAUUGUACCUGCAAUCAUCAUCAAGAGUAUUAAAAUAAUUUGUUUUUAAUAAAUUGUUUUAUGAAAAAUAAGAAAGUUCACGAGAAAGGUAAGAAACUUUGCCUUCUUAAUGCAUUAUCAAAUGAACGAAGAAAAGAUAAUUUAAAAUAUUUUUAGAAACAAGUGUCUGCAUGGAAUAAAUUGAGAAUAUUGUUUUUAGAAAUUAAAGUUUCCAAACAAAAUUUUGUUUCAAAAUAUAAUAUAAUAUUUGUAAAAAUUAUUUUAAAAAUGUUUACAAGAAAACAAUUACAUUAUAAUAUUUGUAAAACUAUAAUAAAAAACUCAAAAAAUAAUUUUAGAAAACUAUUUUAAAAAUUGUUUACAACCAAAACCUAGAUUUUGUAGUGUAAUCUUUCAAAUACAUCAAAAGCCCUAAAAGGUCCCCUUUAUUGGUCAAUUGUGCAAUGAAUUUAUGACAAAUCAUGCAUCAUCAAGAGUUAAAAUAAUUUAAUUUAAAAUAUUUUUCAAAAAAAAAAAAAAAAGAGUUUAUGAGAAACAAAUUUGAUGAGUGGUGAGAAGAUAAUUGAAGUUGCUUUGAUGGUCUAAUGAUAAAAGUAAGAGAUUAUUGGAAAGUCAGAAUAAUUUAAUGCGAAAUAUUUUUUUAAAACAAGUGUUAAACUGUAAAACCACUACAUUAUUUUGAUGUAUCAAAAUCAAUAGGCAAUAAUAAUUUUUCUAAGCCAAAAACGUACCAAGAAAUUUAUUGAUUGCCAAAUUCAAAAAUUCUAUCUUCUUCCAACUUCCGCUUAACAGUUGAGAGCAACUACCUGUGAGAUUUUCAUUUGAAGAUAGAUCCAAGUGCUGCAAGUUAGGUAGUUCCCCAAGGGCAAGUGAAAUCUGCCCAUAUAACUUGUUAGAGCUUACAUCAAUGUAUACAAGGUUGCUAAGGUUUAGAAGCCAUAUUGGGAACUUUGACUGGAAAGAGUUGCCACUGAUGCUUAUGACAGACAAUGAAGUAAAAUUGAUAGAGUUUAGAGAUGAAAUGGAACCGGAGAGCCCACAAUCUUGUAGGUGCAACUCUGUUAAAAAUGAAAGCUUGUUGAAUACUUCCAUCCAGUGAGAUCCUACCAUUGAUAGGUCGACAUAGUUCAAUUUGAGAUGCCUUAAGGAAACAAGAUUAGUCAUCCAUUCAAGGUGCUUAACAAAUAAUUGAGAUUCAUAGGAAGAAAGAUCAAGAAAUUGCAAAUUAGAAAGGUUUCCCAAGGUUGGAGGAAUUGCACCUUUGAAUCCACAAUUUGAUAAGUUUAGAUAUUGUAAAUUUCUCAAAGAUCCGAAGAAUUUAGGAAUUGGGAUAUGCUCAAAUGAGUUGCCACUCAAAUCUAAAGAUCUCAAAGAUUUGAGUUCUAUCAAAGAAGGUCGAAUCUCCCCGCUUAAGUUCAUUGAACUCCAAUUUUCAUAUGCUUCUUCAAGAUAAUAUGGGUUAUGAAGAUCGAUUGAAAUAACAACUCCUGUGUUAUUUUCACAACCAAUUCCCUCCCAUUGACAACAAUUGCCUCCUAUCCAUGAUGAAAGUCGGUUGUUAGAAGAAUCUUUGAGACCAUUUUUGAAGUCAAGAAGAGCUUCUCGAUUAGCUCUUAAGCAAUUUCCCUCAAGGGUUUCACCCUUGCAAGCAAGAUCUCUUGUUAUGAAACAUAGAAUGACCAAAAGGAAACCAAGAAUUGAAAUUUUCUCCAUCUAAGAACACCUAUAAAAACAAGUAAUUAAUAUUAAGUUCCGAUAGAAGAAUCAAAAUAGUGAUGAAAUUUGAUAAGUAAUCAAAACUUCAAGUUAUUGGAUAUUAAAUAACAUAUAUAUUUUAAUCAAUCAUAAUUUUAAUAAGAUUAAAACAUGUCAAGUGGAUGGCAUACUUGAACUUCCAUAUCAAAUAUGGUCUGAUGAUUGUUGUUUAUCAAAACAACAGAAAUCACCCACAAGAGAAGCUUAGAAGCAUUAGGUAGAGGAAAACACUAGAGACAACUUGGCAUUAUUGGUAAAGUAAAACAAGAUUAGUCAUCCAUUCAAGAUCAUUAACAUAUAAAUCAUAAGAUUCAGAAUUAACAAAUAAAUCAAAAGAUUGAUGGCUAGAAAGAUCAAGAAAUUUCAAAUUAGAGAUGUUUCCCAGACCAUGAGGAAUUGCACCAUUGAACCCAUAAUUUGAUAAGUUUAGAUAUCGUAAAUUCUAAAAAAUACAAAGAACUCAGGAAUUGGAAUACGUUAAAAUGAGUUGUCACUCAAAUCUAAAUAUCUCAAGGAUAUGAGUUCUAUCAAUGAAUGACCAAUCUCUCCACACAAGUUCAUAGAGGUCCCAUUCUCAUAUGCUUCCUUUGGAGAAUAUGGCUUAAGAAGAUCGAUUGAAAUAAUAGCUCUUGUUUUAUUUUCAUAAUCAAUUCCUUCCUAUUGACAACAAUCAAGGCCUCUCCAUGAUGAAAGCCAAUUGUUAGAACUUUUGAGACCAUUUUUGAAGCGAGUAAGAGCAUCUCUAUCAGUUUUUAAGCAAUUUCUCAAAUUGGUCUCACCUUUUCAAGCAAGUUCUCUUAUUAUUAAACAUAAAAUGAUCAAAAGGAAACCAAGAAUUAAAAUUUUGUCCAUCUAGGAACACAUGUAGAAACAAGUAAAAUAAAGUUCCAACACAACAAUAAAAAUAGUGACAAAAUUCAAUUAGUGAUGGAAUCAAGGCAUCGGCCAAUUAAUAACAUAUUUAACUUAACCACUCAUUUGUUUAGAAAGAUUAAAAAUUGCUAAGUAAACAACAUACUUGAAUGCAUGUCAAAGUAAAUAUAAUUGAAAUCAUCUCAACAAAUAUCAAAUAUGCUUUGAUGAUUGCUAUUGAUCAAAACAUUCCAACUAUAGAAAUCACCUACAAAAAAAAAAAAAAAAAAAAAAAACCUUGCAGCAUUAGGUAGAGAGAAACACUAUAAAUAACUUGGCAUUAUUAGUGGAGAUCUUACCAAUUAUCUUCCUUUUUUUUUUUCUGGUGUAGUCAUUCCUUUGGAUGUAGAGACAUAUAUAGAAGAUAAUUCAACUAGAUACCAUAUGGAUGAUAGUGAUAGGCUCCUUUCCUUUCUUUUUAGCAAUAUUUUGAAAAAUGGAUCAGACCAACCAAUUGAACCAAUUCAAUUGCUAACCAAUUCACUUUCCAAUUUAGGUGACCUUUUCCAACCAUUUUGGGUUUAAAACGAUGGGAAACCGAUUACCACUACUUGAUUAUGAUCAAAUUGUGCAUAUGAAGUAAAAAGUUGAAUUUGCCAUUAUCUUUCUAAAAUAAAAUUUCCAAGAAAAAAAAAUUUAGGUGAUGUUUAUCUUUUUAACUUAAUAUAAAAUGAAAUUUAAUUUCAAACUUCAACUAUUUGUUUUAAUUUUUUUUAUAUAUUUUUAACUUAUUUAUUAAUAUUUUUAAUUCAAUAGAAAACAACUAAAAUACGUAACUUUUUACGUAAUUUAAAAAGUUAACCAAUUCAUACUUCUAACCCCUCACACCUAACUCACAUUGUGAAAAAAUAAUUAAAUUAAUACUUAAUACUUUUAAUUUGUAUUUAAAAUUAAACUAAAUUAAGUUCUAUUUAUAUUUAAGAAAAAAACACCAUCUUAAUCUAUUAGCUCUUAAUUUUUUUUCUUUUUAAAUGAGAGAGACUUAAUCUAUCAUGUUCACCCAAACUAUAACUUUGCAUAAUGUCAAUGAUAAUAGUAAUAGUAAUAACAAUAAUAAUAAUAAUAAUAACAAAUAUGCACAUGUAGAUGAUAAAGUCAUUAGUUCUAUGAAUUGAGUCAUAGAAAAACCUUCCUCAAAAUAUCACAAUCUUUAUGUUGUCCUAUCAAUAUGUAUAUAAGGGAUACCAAUAUGUUUAUAAGCAAUGUUUCACAAUCUUAUGAAAAAUUAAGGGAAAAAAAUAAAAUAACCAAUAACACAUCAACAAUUUUAGCAUACCAUCCAAAAUAAAUAAAAUCUCUUAAAAAUUUGAAAAAUUCUAUCUUGAGGUUAUCAUUUCUGAUAGAAUGACCAUGCCCAUCAAAGUUGGCUCUGCGUUAAUCCAGUCCAAUCAAUCAAAUCAACUAUUUAAAGUGAUCCAAAGAUUGGGACCACUUUUUAAAGACAUUUUUGUCAUUUCAUGUCUUGGGAAAUUUAAGGACAUUAUUUUCCUCAUUCAUGUAUUCAAGGUUUAUGUCGUGUCUACCAAGGUGGCUAUUUUUCCUUCAAUCAUUUUUAAUACAUUUUCUUUCAUGUCUUGCAACCUUAUCAAGAAAAUUUUGCAUUACCUUGACUUUGACUCCAUGUUUGGGUCAUCCAGAUUAGGGUCCUAUAAUUGUUGUGACUUGUCAAUUGCAUUUUAAAUUUUAUAGAACUUUGGUGAAUAUUUGCAAAUAAUAGAUAUUUUAUAUAUUUUAAUUUUUGUUGAAAAUAAUUUUUCUUUUUUUGGUAAAAAGAAUUUUACACUAGCAAUUCAUUUCCUCACAUGGAAGUGCUAGAGUUUUUUUAAAAUUACCUAAUCCAUUAGGUACUUUUACAAAGUAUACAUGAUUUAGUUGUGCUUCAAUGAAUCAAUUGCUUUAGAUUAAUUAAUUUUCAACCAAUUGAAUUAUACAUUCAGAUAUAAGGUAAUUUGGGUAACUAACAUUUAAUAGCUUAAUAAUUUCUUUAUUUAAAUCUUAUAAAAUUAAAUAUAUAACUUAUCAUAAACAAGUUGGAAGCAAAUAGUCAUUCAAGCCUUCAUUUUUCCUUUUCGAUUUGCUAUAAAGCUGAUUUUUUUUCCUAAGAACAAAAUAUUUGAGAAGAAAAUAAAAAAGUUACAAAUUAAAACCACAAUGAAAAAUAAUAAGAAAAAUAAACAAUAAGAAAACAGAAACAAAAAACACAUAAACGAUUUAUGUAGUUUGCUCUAAAGCCUACAUUCAUAAAUGAAGAUAGAAAGGAACUUCCACUAUUGUUUAAGAAGAUUAUAAUCCUAUAACUCUUAAAUUCUAAAGUCUAAAUUAAUUAUACCAAGAAAAAUGAUUAUUUCUUAUUCGCUAAAAUGUCUUCUCAUAUUUUCUUGGUUGGAAUAUUUAAUAUAAGGAACUAAUUAUCUAAUUAUUAGAGAUACAUAAUAUUUGUAGAGAUAUUACUACUAGUUUUCCUUAUUCUAUUAAAGAAAUUUAAUUACAAUUAUGAAAUAUUUUAUAUAAGGUGGUGAGGACUAUGCGUGGUAGAUAGAGAUAUAAGGAAGAGUGAGAGACACUUGGUGGAGUAAGAGGGCUCACUAAGGUGUAGAUAUGAGAAUGAGUGAAAGAUAUCUGGUGGAACAAAAAGACUCAUGAUUCAAGGUGGGGAUAAAGCGUAGGGAAACUUGAGAUGUUUUGACACCCAAUAGUUGUAUCUAUUUCUAUUCUCUAUACUAUUUUAUAUGGCAUUGUAGAAUGUUAUUUCUCAUCCAUUAAGGUAGGCAUGGUUGGUUGAAUCUUUGUGCGUGGUUUGCUUUAUUUUUGUAUUUUUUUUCUUUAACAUAUCUAUGUUGAAGUUGUUGUUGGCCCAAUAAGUGGUAUCAAAGCUUCUGAUGAUAUAACAAGUAUUUGUUGGGAAACUUGAAACAUCUAAAUACAAUAAGAAAAAAAAUGAAAUAAAAAAAGACAAAAUAUUUACCUAGUUCGAGAUAAUCGCCCACAUCUAUGGGAAAGAAAGAUCAAAUUUAUUAAUAAACUUUACACACUUCAAACUAUCUUGACCAUUCUUUACCCAAAACUCAUACACCUUUUGACUAUCUCUAUUCAUUCUUUGCUCAUUUUUUCUUUCUAUCCUAAAAUCAUAUAUAAAACCACAUAUCUAUAAAGUUCUAAUCUUGAUCAAACUUAAAAGGGUCAUUUACCCAAAUAAAAACUAUACAAAUAUUAAAUUUUCACAAAAUAAAUAUAAUAAAUAAAUUGAAUUUAUAUAUAUAUAUAUAUAUAUUAAAAGAAUUUUUUUCUUCCAAAUGCAAGAGACCAAGUACCCCGACAAGGACUUAGAUAUCAUUUUUAAGGUAGAAAAUUUAUGACAAUGAAAAAUUUUCCACAUUUCCUUUCAUUGAAUUCCACAUCCAUACCAAAUGAAGAUUGUGACCACUUUUUAAAGAUGUUUUUGUCAUGCCAUGUCAAGGGAAAUUUAAGUAUAUUAUUUUCUUCAUUCAUUUAUUCAAGGUUUAUGCCAUGUCUACCAAGGUGGCCAUUUUUUCUUCAAUUUUUUGUCAUGUCUUGCUACCUUAUCAAGAAAAUUUUGUAUUAGCUUGACUUUGACAGCAUGUUUAGGUCAUCUGGAUUGGGGCCCUGUAAUUGCCCGUGACUAAAAAAAAUACAAAAAUAAAGACUUAGAAACUAAAAUUCUAGUUCAUGUCAACAAAUUUUAACAAAGCACUCCAUAAUAUAUGAAAUUUCUUAAAAAUUGUAUUUUUGUAAUAAUAGUUCUAAGCUUUUUUCUCCCUUUAUUUUAAGAAACAUUUGAAAGUGUCAACUGCAUUUUAAAUUUUGUAGGACUUUGAUGAUUAUUUGUAAAUAAUAGAUAUUUUAUAUAUUUUAAUUUUUAUUGAAAAUAAAUUUAUUUUGGUAAAAGGAAUUUUAUAGUAGAAAUUCAUUUCCUCACAUGGAAGUGCUAUAAAAAAAAAAUUUAAAUUACCUAAUCCAUUUGGUGCUUUUACAAAGUAUAUAUGAUUUAGUUGUGCUUCAAUGUAUCAUUUGCUUUGGAUUAAUUAAUUUCCAACCAAAUGAAUUAUACAUUUAGAUAUAAGGUAAUUUGGGUAACUAACAUUUAAUAGCUUCAUAAUUUCUUUAUUUAAAUCUUAUAAAAUUAAAUAUAUAACUUAUUAUAAACAAGUUGGAAGCAAAUAGUCAUUCAAGCCUUCAUUUUUCCUUUUCGAAUUGCUAUAAAGUUGAUUUUCUUUCCUAAAGAAUAAAAUAUUUGAGAAAAUUUUGAAAAGAAAUAAAAGAAGUUAUAAAGUAAAAUCACAAUGAAAAAUAAUAAGAAAAAUAAAAAGAUGAAAAAACAAAAACAAAAAACAUGUAAAACACGAUUUAUGUAGUUUGCCCUAAACCCUACAUUCACAAACAAAGAUAAAAAGGAACUUUUACUGUUGUUUAAAAAGAUUAUAAUCCUAUAACCCUUAAAUCCUAAAGUCUAAAUUAAUUAUACCUAGAAAAAUGAUUCUUUCUUAUUCGCUAUAAUGUCUUCUCAUAUUUUCUUGAUUACAUUGGAAUAUUUAAUAGAAGGAACUAAUUAUUUAAUUGUUAGAGAUACCUAUGAUAUUUUCUUUAUAAUUUGCAUGAGAAAAACCUUAUAAUAUCUUAUAAAGUUAAAAAUCCACAAUAAUAAAUCAUAUUAAAAGUCUCACUACAUCUCUGACAAUGAUUUUUGAAUUAUUUUAAAAUAUAUACAAAAUCGAACUCCCAAUAACAUCAAUAGGAUUGUAAAUAUUUCUCUUCUAUCAUUUAAAAUAAAAAGGAAAGAAAGACCAAAUUAUUGCUUUGGAAACCCAAUUCUUCUGUAGUUUAGUUUUAUAAAAUCAAUUAGAAAAUAAAAAAAAAUUCUUAGAAUAUUCAUUUUGCAAUCCUUUGUUGUUUUUACAAUCCAAUUUGACAUAUUUUAAAUUGUAGGAAUUCUUUGGAGGAAUUUGAAAAUCAAUUUCUGGUUUAUAGCUUAAAACAUUACUCUAAUCACUUAGAGCAUGUUUGACAAUGAUAUUAGAAGUUUGAAAUUUUCUAUCAUGACAUUAUUAUUAGGAUUAUAUAAAAGAAAGGAAAAUAGUUAUCACCUAAUCCAAUCAUGUCAACUUUAGAUAGUUGGAAGUGAUCCAAAAAUUGUGCAACUAGUUUAUGUCAUGUAAUUUUAUAAUGUUUCUAUCACUAUGACCACUUUUUCUUCACUCAUUGUUAAUAUAUUUUUUCGCUUCUUGGUACCAUAUUAAGGAAAAUUUUCAUUGGAUUGACUUCAACUUUAUGGUUAGAUCAUCAACAUUCAAGCCUUUUCAAUGGCCUCUAACUAAAAAAUAUACAAAUAUAUAAAUUAAAAAUUCAAAGUCCAAAAAAAUGUUGCUAUCUUCACUUAAAACAUUAUUUUUGAAGUCGUGUCCUUUUGUCCUCUUGCACAAAACAAAAAGUACUCCUUACUCCAAUCCAAGGAUGUAUAGAAAAUAAUAAAAUAUGAAUUGACUAACCUAAGUAUGAAGUCAAGAACCAUCUUCUCAUUUAUUAAAGGAACCAUUUUUAAUCAUAUCAACUACUUAAAUAGGGUUAGAGCUUUAACAAUUAACUUUAUUUGAACUUUAUUAUCAAUUGGCCAUAUUCUUUCCAUUAAUUAAUUACCUUCAAAUUAGUUAUGUAUUAAUUAACAAAAUUUUCUAUCUGAAUUUAUAAUUGAAUAAUUACAACUAAGUGAUACAAAAUUCAAAUUAGGUUCUAUUUGGAUUAAAGUAAAAUAAAAAUAAAAAAUCACCAUCUUAAUCUAUUAUCUCUUAAUUUUAAUUUUAAUUUUUUAAAUGAGAGAGACUUAAUCUAUUAUGUUGACUCAAACUUUAACUUUGCAUUAUAUCUUGUUAUCCUAUUAGCAUGACUUUGCUACUACUUGUCCCACACAAGAAAUAAUAUGCACAUAUAGAUGAUAAAAUCAUUAGUUGUAUGAAUUGAGUCAUGGAAAAACCUUCCUCAAAAUAUCACAAUCUUCAUGAUGUCCUAUCAAUAAGUAUACAAGUAAUAUUUCACAAUCUUAUAAAAAUUUAAGGAAAAAUAAAAUAAAAUAAUCAAUAACACAUCAACAAUUUUAGCAUGCCACCUCGAAAUAAAUAAAAUCUCUUGAACAUUUGAAAAUUUCUAUGAUGAGGUUACCAUUUCUGAUAGGACCAUGCCCAUCAAAGCUGGCUCAGCACUAUAAAAUCCAAUCCAAUUAACAAAUCAACUAUUUAAAAUAAUCCAAAGAUUGUGGCCUUUUAAAGACAUUUUUGUCAUGUCAUGUGUAAUCAAGUCAGCUUUGAAUAAGAUGCAAGGGAAAUUUAAAGACAUUAUUUUCCUCAUUCAUUUAAUUAAAGGUUUGUGCCGUGUCUACCAAGGUGGCCAUUUUUUUUCAAUCAUAUUUAAUUUGUCAUUUCUUGUUAUCUUAUCAAGAAAAUUUUGCACUAGCUUGACUUUGACUCUAUGUUUGGGUCAUCUAGAUUAUGGCCUUAUAACUGUCUAUGACUUGUCAAAUAUUACAUUUUAAAUUUUAUUGAACUUUGAUGAAUAUUUGUAAAUAAUAGAUAUUUUAUAUAUUUUGAUUUUCAUUGAAAAUAUAUAUUUUUUUUUUGGUAAAAUAAAUUUUACACUAGCAAUUCAUUUCCUCACAUGGAAGUGUUGGAAAAAAUUUAAAAAUUACCUAAUCCAUUUGGUGCUUUUACAAAGUACACAUGAAUUAGUUGUGCUUCAAUGAAUCAAUUGCUUUAGAUUAAUUAAUUUCCAACCAACUGAAUUAUACAUUUAGAUAUAAGGAAAUUUGGGUAACUAACAUUUAAUAGCUUCAUAAUUUCUUUAUUAUAUAUAUAACUUAUUAUAAACAAGUUGGGAGCAUAUAGUCAUUCAAGUCUUCAUUUUUCCUUUUCGAUUUGCUAUAAAGUUAAUUUUCUUUCGUAAAGAAUAAAACAUUUGAGAAAAUUUUGAGAAGAAAUAAAAGAAGUUAUAAAUUAAAACCACAAAAAAAAAAAAAAAAAAUGAAAACAAAAACAAAAAACACGUAAAACAUGAUUUAUGUAGUUUGCCCUAAAGGCCACAUUCACAAAUAAAAAUAAAAAGGAACUUUCACUAUUGUUUAAGAAGAUUAUAAUCCUACAACUCUUAAAUCCUAAAGUCUAAAUUAGUUAUACCUAAAAAAAAUUAUUCUUUCUUAUUCACUUAAAUUUCUUCUCAUAUUUUCUUGAUUACAUUGGAAUAUUUAAUAUAAGGAACUAAUUAUCUAAUUAUUAAUAGAGAUGCCUAAGAUAGUUUCUUUAUAAUAAUAGAAAGUCUCUAUAGAAUAUAUCAUAAUAAGAAAAUAUCAAACGCAUACAAAUUAAUUCAAAUGUUAAUUUAACAUACUUUCCAACAAUAUAAAUCCAUCUCGACUCAAAUUCCCAAGAUUUAAACAUACUUGAAAGUCAUCUUUCAUGUUUCUUUACUCCACACACUUAAACAAAUUUUAGGUACAAUAAUCUCCAAUUGAGUUUAGACAAUUCUUGAGCUUAAAUAUAGAAAGAAAUUUAGUAAUUACAUCUAUUAGACUCUCUAAUACAAUGAUCUUUUUACUAGUGUCUUUUGUACUAAGUAAAGAAGCAACAAAAUCAUCAAUAGCAUACCUAUGAGAUAGUUUAAUCCACUUUCUUAUUUUGCCCCUAACCAAAGUAUAUUAUUGCUUUUAUGACACAUUUUCUUUAUCAUCAAUAUUUUGCAACUCUUCCUCAUUUAAUUUUAUUGAAAGUUUCUUUUCUAUAGUUGAUGAAGCAUUAAAUUGGAACUCCACCUUUUUUCUCGCCUUAGAAUUGUUUUAUGUAUCAAAUUGCUCUUUUCUAUUACUCAACUUUGGAGGCUCAUCAAAGAUCACAUAUUAGACAAUUAAAGGAUUUUGAACGAGGGUACCACAACCUAUACCCUUUCACACUAUCUACAUACCGUGAAAAUAUGUGCUUCCUUAUCCUUGCAUCUAAUUUAUCUUCAUUGAAAUAAGUAUAAGUAGAACAAUUAAUUUUUUUUUAAUUAUCCUUAGUUGUAAUUUAUCUUCAUUUGAAUGAGCAUAAAAAGAACAACUAUUUUAAAAAAAAAUUAUAUACAUACUUCUUGAGAAAACAAAUGGUAUUUUAUUAAAAUUGAAAUAUGAGGAGUUCUUUUUUUAUAUAAGAAAAAAACAAAUCUUGAACAAUUACAUAAUGGAUUUUUAAUGCAUCGAUUUCCUAAUAUAUAAAUAUAAUACAAUAUUUAACUAGGUUAUUAAUUUGAAAUUUAGUUAUAUUAUAAUAUGAUUUUUUUUUUUUUCAUGUCAUAUUCUGAGCACUACAUAAAAGCUAUGGUCUUUGGGUGUAAGGGCAAAUGUGUAGAAUUAAAUGAUUUUUUCAUGUUUUUUUGAAAAUUAAAUUCAACAUUUAAAUUUGAGAAAUUAUAACUUCAACACUUAUAAUUUAGCAAUAAACUUUUUUAUAUUUAAUUUUUAGUUUUAUUAGCACCAUUUUAAUCUUUGUAUAACACUAAAACCUUUUUUUUUUUUUUUUUAACUUGUGUGCUUAAAAAUGUUUUUAUUAAAUAUAAGAAUAAUUAUAAUGUUUCUAAAAAUUUUAAUUAAAUAAAAAUUUGCUUCCAAUGUUGCAUUUGACAAAAAUCAAGAGUAUCCUUAUUUAUCUGAAAAGCAAAUAAAUCAUAUGGGGAAGUGUGGUAUCCAAGAUUGAAAGUUUGGAUGCUUAUGGUAUUGUAUAAGAUUUAGCUCUAUCGAUCUAUACAUAAUAAAUGCUAGUUACUAAUAGGUAAGAAAAUCACCAAAACCGUGUGUCCAUUUCGUUUUCAAGAAAAAUAAACUAUGUGCAUCAUAGUAAUCAAAGUCUAUGGUUAGGGCUAUCCCAAGUCAAGGUCUUGCUAAAAGGUAAAUUAAUUAUAUAUCAUAGCUCAUAAACUUAAUUUUAUAUAAACUAAAAAGUAAAUUAAUGAUAUAUCAUGGUUCAUAGUGGUUAGAAAAAUUGAUAAAUUUCUUUGAGUUAUUAUAAGUAAAUCUCAUUACUAACAAUUGGAAAGAACUUUGUUUUUUGUUUUUCUAGUUGUUAGUUCACUAGACCUCUUGAGGUCACUACACGAAAAGUACUUAUAUAUAUCAAAAGAUUUUUUUUCUUCAACACCCAAGAGACCAAUGCCACCAACAAGAACUAGAUAUAAUAUCAUUGAAUUUUUAUGAACGAAGCACAACUUGCCUAUGCAAGAAGGUAGAAUAGAAGAAUUUUCCACAUUUCCUUUUAUUGAAAUCCACAUCCAUACCAUGAUAAUUUGUGCCUUCAUCCGAGAAGUUGUAAUAUUAUAAAUAUAAGAAAAUAUUAUUGGUUCUUGCCUAGUAUUCUCUUUUCGCUAUCAGUUGGAAAAGAGACAAUUUUCACAAUAAUGUGUGCCAGGACUUCUACAAUAUCCUUUGCACACUUAUAAAUGUUAAAAAAAAAAAAAAAAAAGUUUCAAAACCCCAAGACUUCAAAAAAAAAAAAUUGUUAAACUAAUUAUGGAACUUAUAACUUUUUAGAUGAGUGUAUUUACUAACUAUGCAAUCUAACAAAAUCUAUAAAAGUUCAUUAAGGAAAAAAAUAUUUAUGAGAUGUUAUAUUUUAUACUACAUAACAUUAUGCUUUGAGGAAAAAUUCUCUAGUUGUAGAACAAUUUCUUCUAAAUUAAAAGAGAAAAAAAUUGUCACUCUCUUGUAUAAUGAUUGAUUUAAGUGGUUAGAAGAAUGAUACUUGGUGAUAAAUAAUAUGAGAAUCAAUUUUUAUAAUAUAAUAAAUAUCUCAUCAAAUCAAAUGGCUAGUCUCAUACUUAUCCAUCAAUAACACACUAAAUAUCCAACCACCCCACCAAUCUCAUUAAAACCCUAUAAUACCCUAUAAAUCAUCUUUAUCAUUCUUGAAAAAAUCCACAAUAAUAAAUCAUAUUAAAAGGCUCACUACAUCCCUAACAAUGAUUUUUGAAAUUAUUUUAAAACAUAUACAAAAUCGGACUUCCAAUAACAUCAAUAGGCUUGUAAAUAUUUCUCUCUCCUACCUUCUUAAAUUUUUCGUCUACGCUUGUCACCAUAUCAAGUCAAAAUCAUGUUGAAGUGUUAGCCAAACAAAAAAAGACUUGAGCCACUAUCUUCACUUAAACGUCAAGUUUUAAUGGAGACAAAUGAAUUAUGGGGCCAUGGAACAGAUUUCUUCAUCUUGAUAAGUUGUAGGUCAUGAACCAAGUUGCUUGAAAAGGACGGUAGAGGACUGAAAUAUUUCCUCACAAGAGCCUUAUAAUAUUAUAUCUUGAUGACUUCCAAUAAGUCAAUACCACUUUCCCCCACAAGAUGUCUUCAAUGGGUCGAAAUUCAAAAUAAAUGAUUCACCUAAUGUGAUGGAAAUAGAAAUAAUUUGCAUGCAUUUCCUUUACUUUAUUUAUUUGGCAUAUCAUAACUCAAACUUUUUUUUUUUUAAUCAACUUACUGUUGCACUAUUCAUUUAGUUUAUCUUAUACAAAUAUAUACACUAAAUAAUAAUAAUUUCAUAAAUAAAAAAUUCACCACCCAAAAAUAUAAAAAAAAAUUAAUGUUUAUUUCUAAUUUUUUUAAAAUUUAUAUUAUCAAAAUUUCUAAGCUUUGGACAAUUUGACUAAAUUACGAAGUCAAAAAUUUAUUGAAAAAAACUAAUUACAAAAAAUAUUAAAAAGAAAUUCCAAGUGACACAAAGACAAAUACAAAAAAAGAAAAAAAAAUGAGGACUUUAACAAAAGAAAGUUUUUAUUACUUAUUAAUGUAAAACUUGAUUAAUAUAUUGUAAAAAUAAAAAGAAAAAUAGUUGUUAAAGUAAAUUUGUAAAAGUAUAUUGAAAAUAAAACAAACUCUCUCUACACUCCUACUUCAUCUAAUUUCUUGAAACCCCUGGUUUCUCUACGAUCUUUGCAAAUAUAAGUUAUUUGCUUAUGUUCUCAAGGGUCAUAUUUGGUUAGAGUUUUUUCUUUUUUCUUUUUUUUUUGGUGGAUAAAAAACACAGGAAAAUGAGAAAGGGAAAACGAGAAAGCAUUAGUUUGUGGGCCUAAUGCUUUCUCCACUGUCCAUGAAUUUAAGGACCAUUAAAGAAUCAAAUUUAUGUAAAUCAUGUGUAAAUGUUGGUUAAAAAAGAUGGCAUUGCCUGAAGGGAUAAACACAAAGAAUGCACAACCAUGUUUUAUCCCCUCUUGUGAGAACCUAAUAGGAAUCAAUCAAAUAGAGCAACAAGAAUUCACCCAAUCAACAAGUAUAUGAACACCAAUAAUUUUAGCGUGGAAAACCUUCUCCAAUAUGAGAAGUAAAAACCACGAGACCUUUAAGCCACUUAAAAACUCCAGUAAUAUAAUUAAUGGGUUGCACAAUUCUCUCUAGAUAAAACUACAGGCAUACAUCAACCAUAUCUCAAGAUCAAUUAAUCUCGGCAAUUUCAAUAACUUUGGAUAAAAAUAAUGGAAAGAUCUCACCAAACACACCACUGUUCUCGGACUAAAAUAUAACUGUUCCAAACUCCAAAUCCAAUCUCCACCGUUCAGAAUGAAGAUCAAUAAGUCAUGAACGUGCUAUCCAAAAAUCGGCUCAAUCGAACCACGGAUUAAUCUUGAUCGGAGCUUAUGAUCAAAACUAUCCGGAUAGAAAAUGCAUCAAAACAGAGGCUUUGUUCUCGGACUGAAAGACGACCGUCCAGAUCUCCAAAUCCGAUCUCCACCGUUCAGAUUGAAGAUCAAUGAGUUAUGAACCUCUCCUCCAAAUUUCAGGUCGAUCGGCCCACAGACGAAGUGGGAUCGUACCUUUGAUGAAAUCUGGGCAAUGAAGAAAAAACUGUGUUUUUCUCUUCAAAAAUGGUGGUUCUCCCCUUCUCUCUCUUUUCUCUCUCUCUUUUUCUUCUACCUCCGGUGGCUGCAAAAAAUUGGAAGAAGAAGAAGAAAAGGGAUUCUUCUUCUACCCCUUUUAUAUAAAGGCUUAAGAGGCCUUAAAUUUUGGGCUCUCAAUUUUGGGCCUUCCACAUGAGGAAAAACCCAACAAAUCUCCCCCUUUCCAAUUAUGUGGAGGGACUCGCUAUUCCGGCGAUUGAAUAGCAAACUUCAAGCUUCUCCCUUGGUAAGGACUUCGUUAACAUAUCUGAGUCAUUGUGAUCUAUAAGUAUCUUCUCAAGUUCAAACAAGUUGUCAUUGAGAGCAUUUCUCAUCCAAUGAUACCUCACAUCAAUGUGCUUCGAUCUUACAUGAAAGGUAAAAUUCUUACUAAGGUGAAUGGCGCUCUGGUUAUCACAGUAUACCACAUAGCGUUGCUACUUAAACCCAAACUCAUGUAUGAAACGUUUCAUCCACAACAACUCUUUACAUGCUUCUACUGCUGCAAUGUACUCUACCUCUAUUGUAGAAAGUGCAACACAUUUCUGUAGUUUUAAUUGCCAAGACACAACACCUCCUGAGAAUGCCAUUAAAUAGCCUAAAGUAGACCUUCUAUUAUAUACAUCCCCUACCAUAUCUGAAUUAGUGUAGCCAACAAGUACUAGUUUCCCACUUCCAAAAGUGAGUUUCAACUUAGAAGUGCCUCGCAAAUAUCUCAUAAUUCACUUGAUUGCCUCCCAAUGUAGUCUUCCUGGAUUAGAUAGAAAGUGGCUAACAACACCAACUGCAUAAGUUAUGUCUGGUCUAGUACAUACCAUGACAUACAUCAAACUUCCUACUGUUGAGGCAUACGGAACUCUUCUCAUGUCUUCCUUAUCCUUAUCUAUAGAAGGGCAAUGUCUACUGCUUAGCUUAAAGUGACUAGCUAGAGGAGAACUAACCACUUUAGCUUUGCUCAUGUUAAAUCUUUCAAGCACCUUUUCAAUAUAUUGCUCCUAUGACAUAUAUAGCUUCUUGGAUGCUCUAUCUCGCUCAAUUCUAAUACCAAGAAUUUUCUUUACUGGCCCCAAAUCCUUCAUGGAAAAGGAUUUACUUAACUGCUUCUUCAGCUUAUCAAUUCUUGAAACAUUUCUGCCAAUAAUCAAGAUAUCAUCAACAUAGAACAACAAUAUAACAAAAUCAUCAUCAGAGAAUUUCUGCAUAAAUACACAAUGGUCAGAAGUAGUUUUUCGGUAGCCUUGCUCUCCCAUAACUGAUUCAAACUUCUUAUACCACUGUCUUGGUGCCUGCUUUAACCCAUAAGGACUUUCUUCAACUUACACACAUAAUCCUCUUUUCCUUUUAUUGUGAAACCCUCUGGCUAUUCCAUAUAAAUUUCUUUGUCUAAAUCACCAUGGAGAAAUACAGUUUUAACAUCCAUCUGCUCAAUCUCCAAAUCAAGACUAGAUGUCAAGCCCAAAAUAACACGAAUAGAUGACAUCUUAACAACAGGAGAAAAAAUCUCAUCAAAAUCAAUACAUUUCUUUUAACUGAACCCUUUAACAACCAAUCUAACUUUGUAACGUGGCUGUAAAGUGUGUUCUUCUUGCUUCACUCUAUAAACCCACCUAUUCUUCAAAGCUCUUUUUCUCUUUGGCAACUCGACAAGUUCAAAAGAAUGAUUCUCAUGCAAUGACUUCAUCUCAUCUUGCAUAGCAUCAACCCACUUCAUCUUAUUUUCAUCUCCCAUGGCUUCCUCAUAACUUUCAGGUUCUCCCCCGUCAGUUAGUAAUACAUAAUCAUCAACAAAAUACCAUGUGGAAGGAUGUAGGUCUCCGUUAGACCUCCUGAGUGGAAUAUCUAGUGGAGCCUUUGCUACUGGUGACUACUCAUGAACAUCAUCAUCCAUCUCAACCUGUGUGGGAGUUUCAACAUCACCAAUGUCAUGUUGGUCAUCAUGUGCUUAAUCUUCAACCUGUGUAGGAAGAUGUGUCAAAGGAACUGGAUCUAAGUCAAUCAGAUUAUCACUAUACUGAAACUAUGUUGCAUCAGUCUUCUCAAUGUGUUUGACAUUCUUCAAAAUCAACACAGUACCAUUACUAGUCUCCAAACACACAUCUCCCAUACCAAUGGCUUUAGCUGAGCCAUCAUUACCCAUCUUAACACUUCCAAAAUCACCGGAUGUGUAGGAUGUAAGGAAAUCUUUCCAAGGUGUAGCAUGGAUUGAGGCACCACUAUCAAUCACCCAACUGGUCUCCUGGCAAACAAAAUUAACAACAUUACUAUCAUAAACAAUAAGGAAAUCUGAAGUGGUAGUGGCAACUUGAUCAUCUUCACCACCAUUGUCAUUAUUCUUGUCUUUCACUUUCCCUUGUUUCAUAUCUAUCUUCAAUUGGCGACAAUACUUCCUUAUAUGCCCUUUCAAAUGGCAAUAAUGACACUCAACAUUGGCAAACUUGUUAGUCUUGAUUUUGCUUCUGUCUCUGUUCUUCGGACCUCUACUCUUACUCAUCCCCCUCUUUUCAGUAAUUAGGACAUAUGACUGUGAAGAAGAACCCUGUAACUUUCUUCUCAUCUCUUCAUUCAAAACACAACUCUUAACCAAAUCCAUAUUCAUCUGGGGCUAAGUUAGACAAAGAAGUUCUAAACAUCUCUCACGAGUCCGGCAAUGUACCAAGAAGUCACAACCCUUGCACCUCUUCCUCAAACUUGAUAUUCAUUCCAGCCAACUGAUUAAUAAUACCUUGGAAUGUAUUCAAGUGAUCUGUCAUAGGAGUUCCAUCUAGAUACUUCAAGCUAAUCAUCUUCUUGAUUAGAAACAAUUUAUUGUUACCAGUCUUUCGAGCAUAUAACUGUUCAAGCUUGUUCCAUAGACUCCGUGCAUGUUUCUCUUCACUAACAUGAUUGAGAACAUUAUCAUCUACCCACUGUCUGAUAUAACCACAAACCUGUCGAUGAAGUAAAUUCCAUUAUGCAUCAGUUUUAUUUUCUGGCUUUUUAGAAGCAAACACAGGCAAAUAAUUAUUAUUCACAUACAAUAGGUCUUCCAUCUUUCCUUUCCAAACAUGAUAAUUGGAGUCAUUCAAAGUAAUCAUUCUACUUGUAUUGUUUUCCAUUGUUCUACACAAGGCACAAAUUAUCUUGAACCAAUGCUCUAAUACUACUUUGAUGGGAUAAACACAAAGAAUGCACAACCAGGUUUUAUCCCCUCUUGUGAGAACCUAAUAGGAAUCAAUCAAAUAGAGUAACAAGAAUUCACCCAAUCAACAAGUAUAUGAACACCAAUAAUUUUAGCAUGGAAAACCUUCUCCAAUAUGAGAAGUAAAAACCACGGGACCCUUAGGCCACUUAUAAACUCCACUAAUAUAAUUAAUGGGUUACACAAUUCUCUCUAGAUAAAACUAGAGACAUACAUCAACCACAUCUCAAGAUCAAUUAAUUUUGGCAAUUUCAACAACUUUGGAUAAAAAUAAUGGAGAGAUCUCACCAAACACACCACUGUUCUCGGAUUGAAAUAUAAUUGUUCAGAACUCCAAAUCCAAUCUCCACCGUUCAUAAUGAAGAUCAAUAACUCACGGACGUUCUCUCCAAAAAUCAGCUCAAUCGAACCACGGAUUAAUCUGGAUCGAAGCUUAUGAUCAAAACUGUCCGGAUAGAAAACGCAUCAAAAAAGAGGCUCUAUUCUCGGACUGAAAAACGACUGUCCAGAUCUCCAAAUCCGAUCUCCACCAUUCAGAUUGAAGAUCAAUGAGUCAUGAACAUCUCCUCCAAAUUUCAGGUCGAUCGGCCCACAAACGAAGUGGAAUCGUACCUUUGAUGAAAUCUGGGCAAUGAAGAAAAAACUGUUUUUAUCUUCAAAAAUGGUGGUUCUCCCCUUCUCUCUCUUUUCUCCUUCUCUCUCUUUUUCUUCUACCUCUGGUGGCUGCAAAAAAUUGGAAGAAGAAGAAGAAAAAAAAGGAUUCUUCUUCUAACCCUUUUAUAUAAAGGCCUAAGAGGCCUUAAAUUUUGGGCUCUCAAUUUUGGGUCUUCCACAUGAGGAAAAACCCAACAUUGCCUACUAUACAAUGACUCCUUUAAACAAGUCUCACAUCAAGCAUCUGCUUGGGGUAUGCUUUUAGAAUAAAUUUAACGUAUUUUUAGUUGUUUUUGUACAAUGUUGUGAGCAUUGAUCAAAAAGAUGAAACGGAAUUUUUACAUUGUAGAAUUUUUACUAAAAUCAAUUAUCAAUUAUUUUUAAGAACUCGUAGAAUUGUUUUCAAAUACGUUGUUAAAUAGACCCUUAUUUUUUAUGAAGUAUAUACCAUGCUACAAAGUUUUGUGGUGUAAGAAAGCAUAAUUGUGCUACAAUGUACAUACCAUUGAACUUCACAAAUGGAUCAACCGCCCUUGAGCCUUGAAAAUAGCUAGAGAAACAUGCCUUGUUUUCUUCUCUUCUCUACCUCUUUUCUCCUUUCUUUUCACUCCGCACGAUCUCUCUCCGAAAUGGUCUUCUGCUGUCUCUAAAUACCAGCCCUAGCUGCUAUCCAAGAAUGGGCUUAAGAAUACCAAAGAACCAGCCCUAUAUGUGGGCUUAAGAGAGUCUUUUCAUUGGCAAGUCCAACAACGAUAAUAAUAUAGGAUUAAAAAAAUUAAUGAUUAACAAAGGUAAUUAUGAUUAACAAAGAAACCAAUUAUUUUUUUACCUUCUAGGCAAAGUCAUACUCAAUAACCAAUAAUGACUUGUCCAUUUUUUAGCACCCUUUCUUCUUCCAUUCUUUCAACAUUUUUAGCCUCCCUGCCUUGCUUCAUUUAACAUCCCCUCAUCUUCGUAUCGAUAUAUUGCUCCUUCUACUACUUCUCUUUCAUCAUAUUCUUGUACUGAUUUAACUUACACUCCUCCCUCUUCAAUUAUCACUUCUUCUAACACAACAUUAGUUUCAUUAUCUAUCAAUCUUUCAACAAUUUCAAGUGUUGGUUCCUUAUAAAUGCGUUGGCAUUUGACUCUAAUUAUUUAUUUUUUAUUUUUAGGAGAGUCAAUAUUUGUAAAGUUUGUGUUUGGACAAGUUAUGGUUUUGAAUUUGACUAGAAUUAGGAAACUAUUAGAAAAAGGUUUAGCCAAUAGAACUUUAUAAAUAUGUGGUUCUACGCGAGAUUUCCACAAAAGAGCAAAAAAAAAAAAAAAAGUGAGCAAAGAGUGGAGAGAGAUGGUGUAUUAGGUUUUGUGUAAAAAGAAGUUAAGAGAGUUUGAGUUUGUAUUUCUAAAAUUUAUUAAUAAAUUUGAUCUCCCUUUCUAGUGGACCUAGGCGAUAAAGUAGAACAGUAUAAGAGAGUGUUGUGGUUUUCUUAACAACUGUAUCAAAGCUUUCAUUUUCUUAAAAAGUGAUAUCAAAGCUCCUAUUUUCCCAACAAGUGAACAUCAAAACUUUUGUUUUCUCAACAAGUAGUAUAUGAUAAACAUCAAGAGUCUUCACCAGAAUAGCAACUGAUUUGUUAGAUAGUUACCCUUAGAUAGGUUGCAACUGAUCUAUUAGAUAGUUACCCUUAGUUAGUUAGGUUGUUGAACCCAUAGUUUGUUAAAUCAUUUUUGAAAUAGCUUGUAUAAAUAGAUUGAUAACAAAAGUUCUUGGAGUGUUGUUCUUCUUUGUUGGCAAUCUUUUAUGGUAUUAAAGCCAAGUUUUUCCCUUUUAUCAUUUCUAGAUUCGCUUUCUUCCUUUUUGUUGGCCUGAUUACAGUCGUUCUCCUCUCAAAGAACAUCCACCGUCACAGGGCUACUUCAACCUAAUUUUCCAAUCCAUAAAACUCUCUGGACAUAACGUCCUCACAAUCUCUUAGAUUGGUUCAACCAUUGCAUAUGUUGAAUCAUUCUCUUCCUAUCAAACUAAAUAGGAGUAGUUACAUUAUCUAGUGGAGAAUAUGAUAUUUGACAAAGGGUUUGAAGAGCAUAUUAAAGGAGUUCCGUCCUCCCAAGACAACCACCAUUAGUGAAACCAAUCUAGACUUCCUUACUUGGCGACAUUUUUAUUGCGUGAUCCUGAGUUGGAUCUACACUUCCCUUACUCCUGAAAUUAUGGGACAAAUAAUUAGAUAUCAUACUUCUCAUGCAACAUGGACUGCUUUAGAGAAGAUCUUCUCCACCUCAUCAAAAACAUAAGCAAUGUAGUUUCGGUUAGAAUUUCAAACAGCUUGGAAAGGCUCCCUCCAUGAUGGAAUACAUACUCAAGUUGAAGAUGCUCAUUGAUUAACCUUGCUACCAUUGGAGAGUCAGUAUAAAAAAGAAACCAAAUCUUGAAACUUCUUGGCGGUCUUGGAGCAGAUUACAACUCCAUAGUUGCAUCCCUUAUAGCUCAUGAAGAUGAUAUACCCCUACAUUAGUUCACAACAUUUUACUCACCUAUGAACAAAGACUCAACUUUUAGAGUUCAGUAAUAGAAAACGAAGUUAUCUUUACUCAUAUAGCCACACAAGGACAAUUUGCUCACCUAAGAAGAUACCAAAACAGGGAAACUAACUCCUACUUCAACAACCAAAUUAACUCCCACCAUCAUCAAGGAAGAGGAUGUUCAGGUGGCCAUGGGCAAGAUCAUUGAACAAAUCUUAAUGGCAACGGUAGUAGACCUCAAUGCCAACUUUGUGGUAAAAUCAUAGGUUUGGUAUAAAUUUUCAAGGACCUAAUCCCUUGCCUACAAAUCCUAUCAAACCUUCAUCAAUCACUCCUAAUAGCAAUGAUAUACAAACGAUGAUGGUCUCUCCUUUAAUCUACAAUGAAUCUUGGUUUCUUGACAAUAUUAGGGCAACACACCAUCUCUCCCUAAGUGAUAAUACUCUCUCAAACGCUCAUCCAUACCACAACAAUUACAAAGUCAUAGUUGGAAAUGGUAAGAAAUUAUCCAUCUCACAUGUUGGUUCUAAGUCAUUUCAAACUUCUCACAAGUCCUUUCAAUUACGAAGCAUUCCUCAUCUUGCUACAAAUCUUAUCAAUGUUCCUAAAUUUUGCACUAACAACAAUUUAUUAUUGGAAUUUCAUCCUACUUUCUUUCUUAUUAAGGACUAGAAUACAAAGAAGAUUCUUCUUCAAGGAAACAUUGAGCAUAGAUUGUAUAAAUUCCCCAAUAACCACAUUGGUACCUCUUCAACAUUCUUUCCUUCUAGGCACUUAGCUCUCAUUAGAUAAUAAAAUAAGAAUGAGCUAAUCAACUGAUGAAUUCAACAACCAUCUUAUUAAAAAAUAUAAAUAAUUACUCAGAUAGUGUGAUGGCCAGAUAGGAUAGUCUGAUGGAAGAUGGUGACAACCUCUCUUUUUUUAACAUAAAGCAUAAUAAUUCCAAGUCCAGGAUACUUUUCUUCUAAUAAAGUGCUUGCUUUAAACUUUCCUUUUGAUAAAGUUUUUGCUUUAAAGUUUAGUUACUUUUAGAGUCAUGAGGUCUUGUCCUCUUAUACAAAAUCUUUUUCUUACCCAAUUGCAAGAAAUGAUAUGAGAUAAUGAAUUAAGAAUGAACUAAUCCAAUUAUGGAUCAACAACCAUUCUAUUUUAUAUAUAUAACCAAUUCUAAUCACCCCAUUACCUAGAUAAUGUGAGAGUUAUAGCAAUUAAGUAAUUCAUUUAAUGUUAAACUUGUAAUCCUUCUAUAAAUUACCUUUAAAUUAGUUAUAUAUUAAUUAACAUAUUUUUCUAUCUUAAUUUAUAAAAAGCUACUCAAUCAAUCUCAUUAACUCCACCCAAAAAAAAUACUACCAUAAGUUCUAAGAGAGUUUGAAUUAAUGAUUAUCAAUUCUUUUAUAUUUCAUCCAAGUUGUUGAGUCUUUACAUCUAGCCCCUACAAGAUGGAAUGAUCUUAGAAUUACUAUUUGAUUAUAAAUUAAAUGUUUUUAAAUUUGAUUCUUAAAAAUUUGCUCUAUUAAGCUAAUAAUUUGAUCAAAACUAUAAGGGAGUUGGGUUAAGACUAUAAUAUUUCACUUAAGUGGUUCCUCCUCUAUACUGAAGUGGAAUAACUUUCUAUAUGUUAGGAGCCAAAAGAAUUUGAUUAAGAUUUAAGAAUCCAAACUUCCAGUUGACGGAGAUUCUAUAGGAGUCCUAUGUUUAGGUCAAUAAGAAAGGGAGAGUUUCAUGAAAGUCUGAUAGGUUGUUGCACCCAAUUUUUGGUAUUGUUUUAGAUUUAUAAGGUUGUUCUAUUGGAUUCAUCAAGCCAUUGUGUGGAUCUACUAACAAAAGGGAGAGCCAAUUGUUCUCUUUAAUUUGUUGGAUAUUUCUAACUUUUUAAUUUUGAGUUCAUAGUUGGUAAAUAAUAGUUGUGCAUUUCCACCAAUAUUUAGAUUUUUUUUUAUUUUGCUUUUUUAACUUUUGAUCAAAGUUAUGUAGUGGUUGUAUUUUUUUGGCAAGAUUUCUUAUGCAAUGAAUAAUCCAACUUCGGUGAUAUUUUAAGUUACCAACCAUGCUAAAAUCUUCAAAGGACUCAAUGUUGAGGUGAUACGGCUAUAAGGGAUUGAGAAUAAAAGUAAAAUACCAUGUGAAAGAGAUGAAUCGAAUCCUAACAAAGUGGGAUUUGAUUUAUAUAAGAAUAAAUUUUGUAUUUCUAUUCUCAUUCCAAAAAAUAAUAUAUUCAACUAUAAAAUGAAUGGAAAAUGAAAUAAUAGGUAAAGGUCGCCUACUUAAAAGAAACAUAAAAAGGAAGUCUGUGUAAGGUAGGGAAUUUUAUGCAACUAUGGUGUAUCUGAUUUCUUUCCUUGAAACAUUUAUUGGAAAUUUCAUGUCAUUUCUAUGAUUUCAUUAAAUGUUUUAAUGUGUCAUUACAUCUCGGUUUAUUGUGUUGAAAUGUUACAUUGAGAUUGGAACGCAUAUUGGUGUGGAGAUUCAUGGUUCUGUGUUAUGGAAAUAGUCUAUGGUGUGGUUGCAUGGCAAGAAGGAUAUGGAAUAAUCACGGAUGAUAUUUAGAGAAUUGGUUGGUAGGAAGUGUCUAUGUGGUGCUACAGGCAUUAUCUUUUGAUAUAUUGUUUAUGUGGGACCGUGGGUCCUUGGGUGAAAGUCCCUAAAGCCCUCGAGGAAGACACUCCGAUGUGGGUGUAUGGGGUUGGUCCUGCCCUUGGGUUUUAGUCCCUAAAGACACAAGAUUGGUCCUGCCCUUGGGUAUGAGUCCCAAAAGACACGGGGUUGGUCUUGCCCUUGGGUAUGAGUCCCAAAAGACACGGGUAUGACUUGCCCUUCAGUGAUGUCCUAGAAUAGUCAUCAUUAUAUUGAUCGAGUAUCUUGUGGAGCAUUGAUAUCUGAUGUGUAGAUUGUUGGGGGUCAGCAGUUUAUCAGUUGUGAAAGGAUGGAUGGGGAAAAGCAAUGAUGAAACUAGCAAACACAUGCAUACAUGUUUGACAUGAUUAUACAUUGUUUAAUGGUUAUAAAAUGUUUAUCAUCCAUGUUUUUAAACAUUUAAUUCAAGGUUUUUAAGGGUAUGCUUUGGAUUGUUAUAAACUUUUCUACUGAGUUGUGAACUUACCCUAUCCCUUCCACCUUUAGAUGUAGGUCAGAAGACCUAUGCAGGAAAUAAUGCUUGAGCAAUGCUUUACUGUGAUUGGAUUAUGUUUGCUCAAUUAAAAGUCUUUUGAGGCUUUGCCUUUGUAUUAAGGACUAAAUAUUUUUGUAGGAAUGAUGUAAUAUAUAUACUUGUCAGGUACACUUGCAGUAAGGGCUACUCGUAGUGAACAAUGAGGUUUUGGUAUAUGUAAAUUAACGUAGUAUAAGUUUCUUUUAAGAAACGAACCAUAUUUUGUUAACUACAAGUUACAAAGUUUAAUAUAGGAUGUACUCUUUAUAACAGGUUUUGCAUAUCCUCUUUUUGCACAAAAUCAAGUAGGAACUCAACAUUUAAUUUUUUUGAGAGCACUUAUAUUGUAUUUGAGUAUCAAUUGUUUGGUUUGAAGAUUAACAAAAAAAAUUUGGGGUGUGACAUUCUCUCUCAUUCUUUUUUAUAGGUAAUAAAAUAAAAGAAUAGUAUUCGUAAUUUUUCUAUUCUCCUUGUUCCAAACAUAAGGAAAUCAUUUUUCAUUGCCAUAAUAGCCUUUAAAGGCAACUGUUGAUUGCCCAAUGAGAAUUAGCAAUACAAGAACAAGUUUAAACUUGAGGACACCUCUAUUCUUCAGACUAUAUGCCAAAGAUGGGUUUAUAUAGAGUUCAAGAACAUAUUUGAAAAUGACUUGUUUGAAACAUUGGAAUAAGAAAUAGGAAUGAGAAAUCAAUUUCAUCCAUAUAUUAUUUAUUACCUUGUUUAAAUUACUUAUUACAAAAGAAAAUGAAAUAAAAAAUUAAUUUCCAUUAAAACUAAAAAUAAUUUCUAUUAGAGUUUUGAUUUCUCUCUUAUAAUGUUUUCAAGAUUAGAUUGAUCAUUGAAUUGGAAAGUACUUAUUGUGUCACGAUUCAAUCAUUGAAUCAAUGGUUCAACCAUGAUUGAACUAUGAGGAAUAUAACUUCAUAAAUAUAUUAAUAAUAUUAAAUUAAAAAUAAUCAUUAAUAUUAAGAAUAUUUAUAAAUAAUUAAAAACUUAUCAAUUAUUUGCUACCAGUUAGGGGGUAGCUUGUUAACAAUGCCUUAUGGCAAUGAGUGAGUUUGAGCCCCCUUGUUAUAUAAGUAGUGUAAGGUAGAGGUGUGACCCAUAUCACCAAGAUUUGGUGGUUGGGUUAAGCAUUGAGCACUAUUUUAACUUGAGUCUUCGGAAGUAAAAGGUCCAACAAGACUUGAGAACAAAAUCUGAGCCAAAUUUAGGGUCUUCAUGUGAAGUCAAUGUAUGAAGAUGGGUUUAGACUAGGCUAAGCUAGAUUCUAAUACUCGAGAACACCUUGAUAUUGUUAACUUGAUCAUAUUUCAUACCGAGGGAGUGCAAUGAGCACAAGAUUUGAGUGUUCAAGUUGAAUGAAUUGGUUUUUUUGAAUUUCAAAUAUUUAAUGGUUCACUUUACAUAAAUUUAGAAUAUGAGAAGUUGAUGGUUUUAAUAUGAAAAAGUACUCUAUGUUUACAAUAUUCCAAGCCUCAAUGUGAAGUAGAUUUAUUAAUUAGCCCAAAUUCUAGAAUUCUAAAAAGACUGGAGAAUUAUUCACUUCCUUGAAUUUUAUAUUUGAAGAUUGCCUUGAAUUACACCAAGUUCUAUUGAAACUAGUGAGAAUAUAAGUCCAAUAUAUCAUUUUUAUUGUUCUCAUUACAUUUUUCUUUAUUGGUGUUUAAUUUUUCUUUUAGAAAAAAUAAAUGUUUUUCUCAUUAACAUAUCAACAAGUUUUAGCAUACUUAUAGACCCCAAAAUUUGUCCCAAUUUUAAUUUUACAUUAAUUUUGAGCCCAAUUUUAAAUCCCGAUUACAUGUGUUAUUUUAGGCUCACUCACCCUUUAAUUUUUAGUUUUCAUUAUUUUAUAAAUUAUUUUUUAUUUUUAUUUAUUCAUUUUAUUAUUAUUAUUAUUAUUAUUAUUAUUAUUAUUAUUAUUAUUAUUAUUAUAUUCUUUUUUUAUUUUUUUAUUCUUUAUUUCAUUAUUUUAUUUUUCCUCUCUCAUCUCUUUUCCUUUUUCUCCUCCACCUACCCUCACCCACCCACUCUUCUCUCUCUCCCCCAAUUCCCUUUCCCCCCCCCCCCCUAUUUUUUUCCCCCCAAGUUUUCCCUCAUUUUCUUCCCCAACAUCUCUCCAUUCCUCUCUCUUCUCUUACUCUUACACUGCGGGCCCCCAUCCUUCUUCCCUUCCCCUUCAUUUUUUCCCUUCCCCAUCUCCCCACUUCUUCUCCAACACGGCGGGCUCCAUUCCCACUUCCAUUUUUUUUCUCUCAUCCUCACAACCCUAUUUUUUUUUUCUUCCUCCCGCAACACCCAUUCUGGACGGCUAGGAACCUCCCACUUCUUCCCCUAUUUUUUUUUCUCAUUUUCUCCUACCCAUUUUUCUUCCAAUAUUUUUUCCACCAUUUUUUUUUCUUUCUUUCUCAUUUUCUCCUACCAAUGCUUCCAAUAUUUUUCCCACCAUUUUUUUCUUUCUCUCUCUUCCUCCAUCAACCCGACUUCCAAAGGCACCAGAAUCCUUCCUUUAUUAUUAUUAUUAUUAUUAUUAUUCACCAAUCUCCCACUACCGCGGGCAAGCCCUUGCUAGUCGCCGCUUUUCUGUUAUUAUUAUUAUUAUUGUUUUAUGUUAAUAGUAAUUGUUGUUUAUAAAAUUUGGAUUGUUGAAUUAAUAUGAAAUUUGAGUUAAUUUGUUGUCGGUAAAUUAAUAUGAAAUUUGGGCUAAUUUAUUGUUGGUGAAUUAAUUUGGAAUUUGUUAAUUUGGGCUAAAUUAAAUGAUAAUUUAUAUGGUUAUACUCAUUUGAAUUAUUUAAUUUGGAUAUGAUGUAAUAUUGUAAUAUAUUUUGGAUGUGAGUUUGCAUAUUAAAUUGGGUUAAUUUUGGUUGUGGAUUUAGGUUUGCAUGUUAAAUUGGGCUUGAAUGAUGAGAUAUUAAAUUUAGGCCUAACGAUAUUUAUUUUAAUUUAUCAUAUUUUAGGUUUGAUUAUUUGAGCUUAUAUUUUGGCUAUUAAUUUGGAAACUUUAGAUUAUGAUCUAUGAUACGUGAGAUAUUUUUGUUGGGGUAUAUUUGCUAAUUUGGGUUUUUUUUUUUUAAUUGGUGAAAUUUAUUGGGCUAAUUUGAAGUUUGAAUUUGGGUUUGAAUAUCUAUUGUGAAUUUUAUACUUUUUUAGAUAUUUAUAUUUGGGCUAUUUUUGUCUUUGUAUGGGCCCAUUAUGCAAUUAUGUUGGUUGGAUACAGAUUUAUGACAUGUGGAGCACAAAAUUUCAUGGAAGAAAGUGAGAAUAAAAAAGUAGUAGGAAGACGUCGAGCUUGUAAGUUUAUUUGGGUACAUAUUUUAUUUUCCACUUUUAUUUGGUUUGAUUUUUAUUAGUUCUUGUAAAUAUUUGUUUAUAUAUAUUUAUUGAGUGUGUACAGAAUUGAACAUCGAAUAAACUAGAAAUUUUGUUUAAAUGAGAUGAAGAAUUCAGUAAAUGUGUUUUGAUAAAACAAUAAUUUUAAAAUAUUUUUUUUAAUAAAAGAAAGUUUUUUUUUAUUAUUUAUAAAAAUUCAGAAAAAUACAUUUAGAAAAAUCCAAAAUAAUUGUUUUUAAUAGAAUUCGAAAAAUUGUUUUUAAUAACAUUGUCCAAAAUUUUCUUUGUUUAAUAAAAAUUGUCCAAAAAUUGUUUUGUAAAUAAAGUUGUCCCAAAAAAUUAAUUUUUAAUAAAAUUGUUUAAAAAUAUUUUUUUUAAAUGAAUUCUUUCUCUUUAAUUAAAAUGGGAUUAAAAGUGUUUUUCAGAAAUAGGGGAUUCAAAUCUUUGUUUUUCUUUUUAAUUAAAAUUUAUUUUGCAAAUAAAGUUACGUCGUUUUAAAUAAUUUGUUAAAAUCAUUUUUUUUAAAUGAAAAUGAAUCAAAAUACUUUUGUAAAUAAAAUUGUAAAAAUUCAUUAUUUUCUGAAAAAAAUCAAGUAAAAUAAUUUUUGUUGCCAAAUUAAAAUUUUGUAAUAUUUUUUUUUUAUACAAUAAGUACAAAUAACUUUUUUCGAAAAUUAAAUACAAAUGAAAUUGAAUCAAAUCAUUAAUUGAAACUUCUUUUUUGUAAAUAAAUAAAUUGAAAUCAUUAAUUCAAAAUCAUUUUUUUAUAAAAUCUUUUGAAAUUUCUUGAAAACCAUUUUUUUAAUACCUUUUUUUUUAGUUCAAUAAAUCAUUUUUGAACAAUUCUCUUGUUAUUCAUUUCAUGUAUUCUUAUAAUUAGAUUUCAUUAUUAUUUUUGUGUACGUUGAUUUUCAUCAUGACUUGUACAUUAAUUAUUUUUCUUGAUAUCCAUAAUUAAUUAAUUAAUUGUCACAAUUCUCUUGAUUUGUUUAGUAAAGACUGUAUACGGGCUUAGAGGGGUGCUACGUCUUACCAUCUUACCUUCCCAAUAAGUAACUUGACCCCUAAACCCGACUUUGGUUUUCCAAAGACCUGUUUUUCUUUCGGGAAUCACACUUAGGGUUUUUCUUUCUUAUUUGUUUUUCCCUUUAAAAAAAAAAUUAAAAUAAGUGGCGACUCCAAGUCUUUUUAAAAAAAAAUUAAAAUUUCAUCAAAUAAAUAAAAAAAACGAGUUUCUCCAUCAAACGAAAAUGUGGGGUCCACAAUACCACUUCAAAAUAUAUGAGAUUUUUUAAAAAUUGUACUUUAUUAGUAAGAACAAUUCUAAAAUUUUUCUUUUCUUUAUUUUAAGAGCGAUGUGAAAGUGACUACCAUUUUAAAGUUUAUAGGAAUUCCACAAAUAUUUAUAAAUAAUUGAUAUUUCAUAUAUUCUUUUUAAAAAGUUUAAUUUUUUUGGUGAAAUGAAUUUUAUAUCGGUAAUUCAUGUAUUAGAGCUUCCCUCUCAUAGAAGUGCUAGAAAAAUUUAUGUUGUGUUUUGUUCUAUGAAAGAAUGAAAGAAAAAAAUGUUAAAGAAAAUAAUUUUCUUAUAUUUGGUUUUAUUAUGAAAAACAUGAAAUAAAAUUAAAUAUAAUUAAUAUUAGUUAGAAACUUAUUCAUUACAAAUUAUUUAUUCUUUCUAUAGAAGAAGUAAAAUAUGUUAAAUAAGUUUGAAGUAGUAUAUAAAAAAUAAUUUAUUGAUCUUAAAUAUUUUUUUAUUUUCUUUCACUUUUUUCCCUCAAUUUUUCUUCUCUAUUUUAUUUUCCUCUCACAUUCUCUUAGAUUUUUCAAACCUAAAAAUCACCUAAUCCAUACAACGUUGUUACAAAAUAUCAAUUAGUUAUGGUGAAAUAAAUCAAUUGCUUCAAAUGAAUUAGUUUCUCCGACCUUUGAAUUGUGAAUUGGGAUAUACGAUAAUUUGGGUAACUAACAUUUAACAAUUUAACAUUUUCUUUAUUUAAGUUAUAACAUUUAACAUUUAACAAAAUUUUUAGUGUAAAAUUUCUUUCAUGAAUAAGGCUUGAUCAUCAAUUUAAAAAAAAGAAUGACAUUAAUUAAAUGAGAAAUUUCUUCACAAAUUGUGUGAUUGAAUGACAAAAUUGAAAGUUUUGUAUACAUCUAUCUCAAUCAUUAAAUACAAUAGCUUGAUAAGGAGGAUUUAUAAUAUUUGGAAUUGCAAUAAACUUAUUUUUAUAAGACAAUAAAAUAUAAAUUGACAAAUUAAUUAUUUUUUUAUAAACACAAUAAAAUAAGUGGUUAGAAUAUCAUUGUCUACACAUAUAUAGAUUAAGAUAAAAAUAUUUAAUAAUUUCAAAUUUAGAUAAUAGAUGUUAAACCACUUUGCAUAUUUAAUAAUUCAAGUAAAAAAGUUACAAGUAUUUUAUUAAAAUAGGUGGCAAUGCAAUUUAAACUAAUUCAACAAAUUCUUUGCAAGUCAAAAAAUUCCUAGUAUUUUAAUAAAGUCAAUGAGAAUAAAAUUUAAGCUAAUAUAUAAGACUUUAAUCAUAGUGUAAUUGUCCUCUUAAAAUAAUAUUAGCAUUAUAAUUUUAAUAAAAUAGAUGGUUAACAACAUACAGCCAUGUUAGGUUCUUCACUUUUUAGUCUCUUGUUCAUGCUAUGAGGUUCCUACCUCUUGGUCUUUGUAAUUUUAAUUUCUUUUCAUUCCUAAACUUCAAAUAUUGAAAUCAAAAUUUGUAUACAAAAUUAAAUGAAAUUUAUUUUUAAAAAUUUUAGAUAACUCUUGUUUUAUUGAUUAAUUAAAAUACCUUAAUAUAGCAUAAUGUGAAUAAAGAAAUGAAUUUACCAUAAAUUAAUAAAAUUGUCAUUGGUAAUUUAAAACCUUAAUAUGAUUAGAAUAGAUUUUGUUUUUAUCUAUUUUUUCUUUUGUUUUUCAAGAAAGUUUGGAUCUAAAUUUUCUCAUCAAUUAACUAAAAAAAUGAAAACAACAAUAUAAAAGUGAAAUCAAUAUAUAAAAUAAAUCCUCAAAUUUCAAAAUCAUAAGACUAAAAUUCUACUAUAUUCAAAUACUAUUUUGACCUUCAAUUUCACUUUUUUAAUAAAAUUUUACCUUAACAGAAAUAGUGAUUUUUUUUUUUUUGUUUUUACCUUAAUAAGAAAGUCAUUUUUUUUUCUCUUUUGUUUUUUCAAUCUUCACCUUUAUCAUAAUACUCAAAUCUAAUUUUAUAUAUAUAUAUAUAUAUAUAUAUAUAUAAAAUUAAACUAAAUUUAUUUUUGAAAAUUUUAGAUCACUCUUGUUUCAAAAACUAGUUAAACUACUUUAAUACUAUAUAACUUCAAUAAAAAAAAUGAAUUUAUCAUACAUUAUCAAAGAUGUCAUUAAAAAAAGACUAAAUAUGACUUAAACAAAUUUAAUUUUUGUCCAUUUUCUUCUUCUAUUUUUUUGCUAAGGUUAGGUUAGUAUUUCUAGCCCGAGACACAUUAGCUGACAAAACCAUGACCUUUCGAAAAUUAGGCUCAGGUCUGAUCCAUUAAAUUGACAAGCCUCCAAGACAGGCCCUGAUUAGCUUACCAACAUGUUUGUGUUGGACUAAGCCCACCUUAAGUGGGAUUAAGGAAAUAAUAAGAAAUGUUUGUUGCUUAACCAAGGAGAGAUGGGUGUUGAUUUAUAUUGGGUUUUCCAUUGUAUUGGAUUAUUGAUCUUUGAAACUUCUUUGAAAGUUUAUUUUUGUAAACUAGUAAUAACUAGUCUUGAUUUUUGUUUUCAUUCAAGUUAGACAAAACUUUUGAAAAAACGCCCUUAUGCACAAAAGUGAGCCUAUAUUGAAUUCGACUCUCAUAACCCAUGCCAACAAGGUAUAUAAGUUCAAAGUGGGGACCACUAAGAGCCAUAUGAGUAUUAGCUCCUUCAGAUUCCAAUUCUAAAGUUGAAUCAACAUUCCAUUGCAGAGAAUCAACUAAACUCCAAUAUCCUAUGUAAGUAACAAUGAGACAUUAUGUGCUUAGGUCCAUGACUUGCUAUCCAUUACGUUUAGUCUCUCCAUGAACUAACGUUCAUAAUCUAACAAAGUGAAAGUUAUCAACCUUUUAAUACUACCUCUACUAUCCUUGAGUUAUAUAUAUCCUCUUAUUGUGUGUUUAACUAACAUGCCUUAACUUUUAAAGAUCUUAUGUCAAGUUCCAGUUAAGGAAUUACCAUGACCAUAGUUUCCAUGAACACACCUCCUUAGAUCACUCAAGGGGACACACUGUCUCGAUUCCAUUAGAUAUCAUGGUGCCUCUAUUGAGAAUACCUAUUGUCAUUGACUUCCAUCAAUAGUGACCCAAUCUAUAAGCUGUCAUUAAUUAGCUUAUGAUCUCACUCGUAGGUCAAAGCCACUGUUAACUUUAACAUAAACUCAAUAUUCUCUCAAAGUUGAAAGACAAUAUAAUAAAACAGCUUGGUAAAGUCAUGACUACUUGAUAACCAUAAGUCAUGACUCAUUGUAGGUCCUAUCUAAUGUGUAACUAUACACACUAGUGCACUCACCAUAUUCCCGAUAGCCAAGAUCAGUCAUCCCUUCAAUUAGGAGGUAAUGCACUAUACCCUCUAAUGGGUAAUCUAGUCCUACGAACCGGUUGUGAAUAAAUAAUCUAUUUACAAAUAACCAAUGACUUGGAUCUUUUGUGCAACUCCUAAUACACUUGUAGACCCUCGUUUUUCAUGUGUGUUUCCACUUGAUGACAAGACUCAUUUUUUAGUGAAAAACUAAUUUUUAUAAAACUGAUUUUUUAUUUUGAAAUUCCAUUUUAUUUAUUUCCAUUGAUUCAUUAUUUUAUGCUAACAUUACUAAUGUGUUUUUAUUUCCAGUCAUUUCAUUAUUUUAGCUAACAUUACUAAUGUAUUUCAUUUCUAGUCAUUUCAUUUCAUCUCCACAUGCAGCUGGUGGAGAUGACAUCCACCAUAUACUCCCGUUGCUGUCGUGUUUCUGAUUGUAUUUGUGCGCGUGAUGCGAAACUAUAUUUGAUGAUCAAGUCAAUGCCAAAGAUGGAAGACUGAUGAUCUCACCGAGAUGGAGAAUCCAGAUGAAGAAGUAAGAGACCACCGAUUACGGCUUCCAAUAUGGUGAUGUUGUGGGUGGAUAAAUGGAGAAGCUGUCUAGGUGUGUUGCGAGACCAAUGGAGAUCAUGAGCAGUGAUCUGGUGUUGUCGAAAAUUUUCACUCCAGAUGAUGAAGAUGAAGAUUUGGUGUCGAUGAAGACGAGCUUUUGAGAUGAAUUGUUGCACGUACCAAAAUGGCGAAAUGCAGGUCUGAAGAUGGUGACUGCAAGAUGAAAUGUGGACCGAAAUCCAAAGUCUAAUUGAAAACCUUCUAGUGUCGGAAAUGGAAAGCUCUAAUGGCGGUGGUGACUUGUAGCACUGCUGAUCUUCAUGGCGGUCACGGCAAACUCAAAUGGUGGACCUAAACCUGCAGCAACGAUGAUAUUCAUGGCGGUGAUGGAGAGCUCUAAUGGCGGUGAUGAAUUUCAUGAAGGCGGUGAUGGACUCUGAUGUCGGUGAUGAAAUUUUUUCUCAGAGAAAAGAUCAUGCUCUCUUCCUCCCCAAGUCGAUCAUGUAAGUGGAGUCUUCCAGAGGACUCCACUUACAUCCAAAUUACAUGCGGUGAUCAUCUACCCACACGCACCUACAUGACCCUCUUAGACUGCAUGAUAGUCGCGUGAUGGAGCACUUCUCUUCCCAAGCUUAAAUAACCUUCUCCAAGUUACAUAAUAGCCAUGUGAUGGUGCUUCUCUCCUAGAACCUAAGUGACCUCAAAAUUCCACAAUAGUCACAUGAUAAUGCCUUUCUUCUAGAAGCCUAUGUCAUGAAACCUUGCCUUUGGACCCAUGCAUGAAUAUUCCUAAUGUUAAUUAUGCACUACCUCAUAUCUAAAAGUGACCUCAUGCAAAAAUAAAAUUAAAACACUCUCAAAAUUACACAACUAAAAAUAAAAAAUCAAAAGUCAUAUAUUUAAGGAUAAAAAUCCAAAUACAUGCACACAAAAAACAAAAAUAAGUUUCAUACAAUUAAAAGAAAAUCCAUAUAUCCCUCGCAUGCAAUCAAAUAUCCAAAAUAGCCUACAUACAAUAAAAAAAAUCAAUAUCAAUCCAAACUCACCUAAUCCUAAAACUAUGCCAUGGUAAAAUAAACACAAACCUAAAUGCACUAGAAAUCAAUCAAAAACAAAGUCCUGAACUGGGAAUCAGGGGUCACUAAAAUCAAGGUUGGGAUCCACCUAAUCCCUCCUAAAUAUCUCUCAUAGAAAAUCCAAAAAUAGUGAUUGAAAUAGUUAUAGUGGACCACCAAUGAGAGCUCAAAAAUAGCUUAAAAAAAGACCAUAAGUGGAUAAUAAGACAAUAGAGAAAAUAGAAAGGCAAUCUUGGAUGGAAUGUGCCAAGAGGAUAAAAUAGAGGGUUUACAACACUCAAAUCACAUACAAUGCAAAAGAUGUAGGCAAGAAUGCUCAUAAAGCAUAAUGCAUGGAAUAAAGAUAGAUAAAAGUGAAACUGGAAUAUCAGUAAAUAAAUAACGAAUUCCAAAUUUAUUACAUCAUGUCAUGCUUUUAAAGACUCUAUAAUAACAGUAGGAACCUAUGUCCCUAUCUUCGCUUGAAACUUUACUUUAGGAAUUUAUUAUCUUGUCAUCUCAUAUAAAAUAUACUCCUUAAUUCAAUACAAGGAAGGAUAUAAUAUGAUAAUAUAUGAAUUAGCUAAUCAUGUUAUGAAGUCAAUAACCAUCUUAUCAUUCAUAAAAGAAUUAUAGUGUUAGAACUUUAGCAAUUACCUAGUUCAUUUGAUGUUACUACAACUUGAUCAUUAAUUAGUAAUCCUUUGUAAAUUAAUUACCUUUCAAUUAUUUAUAUAUUUAUUAACAUAUUUUUUCUCUCAAUCUAUAGAAAGCUACUCAUUCCAUCUCUUUAACUCCACCUAAAUAAUACAUAAUACCUAAAGCUAUAAGAAAGUUCAAUGAAUGAUUAUCAAUUCUUCUAUGUUUCAUCAAAGUUGUUAGAUGAGUUGUAGUGAUCCCUACAAUAUUGAAUGCUUUUAUAAAUACUUGAUUAAAAAUUAAAUAUUUCUAAAUUUGAUCCUUGAAAAUCGGAUCCACUCUAUAAUUUGAUCUUAUUAAUAAUUUUAUCAAAUCAUUUAGGGACUUGGUUUAAAAUUAUAACACUUCACCUUGCACCAAGAUGAGGAAAAUAAACAUCUAUAAAAUUUAAACUCAUGACUUAUCAUCAGUUAAAAUUUUAACAUAUUAUUAAGCUAAUAAUUUGAUUUGGUGAUAUAAAUAGUUGAUUGGUUAAUUAACAAAGAAUAGAAGCAAAUUCAAGUUCAAACUAUGUAUAUCAUAGUGAUCCUUUUUUGUCCUUUUAUUUUGGUCUUUAUUUAGGCAUAUAUCAAGUAAAAAUCAAAUUUACAAUUAUCUAUGUUUCUAAAAUUUUUCUUCUACAGAAAAAGAUUUAAGCUAUAUUUCCUCAAUUAUUUUGAAAGAAAAAGUACUUAAUAUGUAAUAUAUAUAAUGGCCCAAACUCUAACUUUGUGUGAUGUACUCCACUUAUCCCUUGAGCAUGACCUAUGAUGAUAAAUCAUGUGUAGAAGUCAUGUUUGAUAAUAUUAUAAAAAGAAAAAAAAAAUACAUAUGCACAAGUUUUAGCAUACCGCUUCAAAAUAUAUGGGAUUUCUUAAAAAUUGUAUGUUAGUAAAAAUGUUUCUAAGAUUUUUUUUUCAUUGUUUUAAGAAUCGUUUGAAAGUGUCUGUUGCAUUUUAAAGUUUAUAGGAGUUUUAAUGAAUAUUUGUAAAUAAUGUAUACGAACCCGAGCCGACCAAAGAGGAGGCGGAGAGACUUGCUGAAAAUGGUCCAUUUUACUUGAAGCCAAAAAAGAUCGAAAUCAAUGUCAAUCAAUAGAAAUAAAUGCCAAGUAGAAAAAAAUAAGGAAGAAGAAAACGAUCGAAAUUCUGACCAAAGAAUUAGACAUUCGAAGACCUUUGUUACUCAUAUUAGCACCAUAUUUUCUUUUUCUUUUUUUAAAAAAAAAUAAAAUUGGUAGAAAGAAUUUUACACCAUUAUGCUUCUAGCUGGCCUAAUACUCUCCAUAUUCCACUCAAUUUGUAGAAGCCAUAUCAGAAACACAUCACCAUUCACUUGCGAACCUUUCUGCCUUCUUUGAUAUUUUUGUGCAACAAACCCAUCAAAUAAAUCCUCUAAACAAUCACAAAUACACAAUAGAAAAUCCAAGAGAAAGAAAUGAACCAAAUAUGGGAGACAAGCGAAAUGGAAGAUCAUGAGUGUAUUUCGAGUGUUUGAUAUGGGAGAAAAGGUGAUAAAAAGAGAAGGAGCUCGAGUAGUUGAAAGGCAUCUUCACUGCAAUUUAUGUGUGUGUUGUGUCCUAAUCUCCCCCAAAACCAAGACCAAGUUCUUUUGCUCCAUCUGUUCUUGUUCCCUAAUCCUUGCAUUUUUUUAUUUUUAUUUUUUGCAAGCAUUUUCCUCAUUACAACACCAUAAAUAAUAGUAAUGUGAGUAUGGAAACUUAGGAAAUUUGAGGUUGGUGUUUGUUUUAUGUAUUUGGUAAUAAUUUAAGUGGUGUUUUGGAUGUAAUUUGAAUGAAUGUAGAAUCUUGUUGUUUAGGUUAUGAAAACCAAGAGAAUUUGAAGAGGGUGUUUUUGGUUUGCAAUUAUUUACCUAGUGUAGUCAUACACACACAUAUAUAUAUAUGAGAAAAUAUUGUUUUAGAUUUAUUAAAUUUAAAAUGUAGAAAAACUAAGGAAUCAAUAAAUUUGUUAUUCCUAUUGGAAACUCUGCACUAAAGUUAUUGGUGGAUAAAUCAAUACUGACUAUGAGAGAAAUAGACUUGAUAUAUUCUAGAUCUUGGUCUUUCACUUUCAAGAUCAAACUAUAUUCAUAGGAUCGGGCCUUAUCAGGUGUUGGGUAUAGAUAGCGGCUUAUAUUUUGCUUUUAAGUCAUUGGAUCACCCAAAGUGCAUGGACUACUACCACUCAAAUUGUUUUCAACAAGGUAUGAGAUAUGCAAUGAACUUAAAUUUGACAACUCAAAAUGAAGUCCUCCAAAAAAUGCAUUUGAACUCAACUUAAGAAUUCAAACCAAUGUGAAAACAGCUCCAAUCCAUACUGGAAUAUCACCUGAAAGCUUGUUCUUGUUUAAGUGAAGUGAUUGAAGCCAUUCUAACCGACCAAAAGAUUUUGGAAUAGUCCCCAAUAAAUUGUUCUUUCCAAGGAUUAGAAAGUAUAGGUCCGUGCAAUUAUUUAUAGAUGAAGGAAUGCUUCAUGUUAGACUAUUCCUUGAAAAAUCAAGGAUUUGAAGAUGUCGUAUAUGUCCUAUAGACUUUGGGAUGAUUCCUAUCAUUUGAUUGCCUGAAAGAGAAAAUACAAACAAAUUUGGGAUGGAUUCACCUAUUUUGGCUAGGAUAGAACCAGAAAAUUUAUUGUUGGAUGGAUCAAGUGAGUAGCACUGAUGAGGAUGAGUUUUCAAGAUAUAUAUCAAGAAAGGGAAUUAGUAUUAGUUUUAAUUAAAGUAGGAUUAAUAUUACUUGGAAUUAAAUUAGGAUUAAUAUUUGCUGGAAUCAAAUUAGGAUUAGCUAGUUGAGUUAUAAUAUAAUUAGAAUUUGAGUCAUGAUAGGUUAUUAGAGUCUUAGUAGACUUUGGAUGUUAUAAUUAGAAUUAGAAUCAUAAUAGGUUUUUAGAGUCCUAGUAGACUUUGGAUUUCUUAGAGAAGCCUAUAAAUAGGCUAAUCAAUGUAAAUCAAAGGAAUAAAUUGAUGAAUAAUAUUAUACUUUCUUUCAUUGCAAGGUUGCAACCCUCAAUGGUGAGACUCCAUUGAUUUUCUUUUAGGUGAGACUCCUAGAAGGCCUUAGCGAGACUCUAAGGUUUUCCAUCUUUUCUUCAUUGUUUCUUCUUUCUCUCUAUUUCUUAUCUUAUAAUUUUCUCUACCAUAAAAUUUAUUCCUUAUUCCUCUCCUUACACCCUAAAAAUAAAACCCUAACCCACCUACCCUUAGGUGUAGGCAACCAUCCUAGGGUUAUCCUACAUCAAGCACCCAUGGUGUGGUAGAGGAAUUGGACCUUCAAACAGGUUGGAGCUGAAAUCAAUAGAUGCCCAAGGGGCCAUAUUUAACUGAUUUGGUAAUUGACCAUAUAACUGAUUCAAAGGAAGAUUUAAAAACAAUAGUUGAGAAUAAAUAUUCCUAAAACCAAUUGGGUAUCAUCCUUGUUGUAGAAUUAGGAUCUUUUAAGACUAUAUUAACAGUCUCAUAUGCAAUAACCUGAAUGAUUCAAUUUGGGUGGUUUUUCAUGGGCUUCAAAACAAAGAAAGUGGGUCUAAAUUGAUGAACAGAUAUUACCCCAAAAUGAGUUUUAAGCUUUUAGCAGAUGAUAAUGCUAGUUACUUUUAACCUAGAAAGUGACCAAGAACUUUCGGGGUUUUUUUUUCCUCUUUUCAUCACAAUUGUGAAACAUCAAAUUUGUCAUUGUUUUCCUACAAUUUAGAUUAUGGGGGUGGGGAGAUGUAUGCUCCUUUGCCCACGUUAGCAUUGGAGUGAACUAUGAAUUUCAGUUCUUGGAACCUGUCUGGAUAUGUUUCUAGAUGCUAGAAGGUUGGGGUGGGGGAAGAUAGCGGCAAGACCUGGUGUAAUUCCUUAUGGGUAAUUUGGGGAAAAAUGAUAGUAGUAACUAUUUUGCCUAUUUAAUUUUUCAAUCUAAUAUGCCUAAAGAAUUUGCAUAUCAAGUUUAAAAGUUGGCUUAAAUACCCAAGUCAACCUACUAUCGAUUGUGCGAGGAAAAAAGAAGAUGGGCAACAGGUAAGCUGUUGGAUUAAUUGGUAACCAACAUUUGCUAAUUAAGGUCGGAAUUUCUAUCUUAUAUUGGUGAGGUAGAUGACUUUUUUCUUAGUUUAUGGGGCCAAUGGAAGCAACCUACAACUAAGGAAAAUGGUUUCUCUCUACUCCCAGCUUACUAAGUUAAUUUGCUAAUGCAAAAAAGGCUUUCCCUUUCUACCAACAAGUUAGAAGGGUACUUCUUUCACUUAUUGUGCUUCUUGUUUCCAUGUUUUAUCUAUAAGGUGAACAUGAGGUGUCAAUCCCUUCCAAUUUUGUUUUCAUGUAUUAAUAUAGUUGAAGAAUCUAAUUACAGACUGAAAGAAUAUAGUUGGAACCUUGGAGGAGUGGUAGAUGAAGGGAUGGCCAUGCUAGGAGGAAUGAUAGUUGAAACAUCAACUCCAACUAGCUGAUCUGAGUGCAUCAGAAAUGGGAAUGAUAAGGCGGCCUCUCCUCUUUUUGGAAUGGAUACCGGCUCUAAAGACAUGAUCUUAGAAUAGGAAACCUUGUGUGUUUCCUAUAAACCAACUCAGCCUAAUCCACCUACCUAGGUUUCGUCUCCUAGGGCAACAAGCAUAUCCUAAAUGGUCUCAAAAGGCAAUAGAGUCCUGUGGUGCAUUAGUAUGAAAGUAUAGUUGAUUAUCUCGUUUCUUCUUAUGCACUAAACUCUGGAAAAACUGGCAGAUCACUUUCUAGUAAAAAGGAAGCUUUUUCUCCAGGAAUCUGUUGUUCAAUUUUCAAUUUUACAAUACUUCUCAUCUGACUCUCAUUGUAGAAUUAAGGUUUUUUUUAAGACUGCAUUAACAGUCCCUUAUGUAGAAACCUAAAUUAUUUAAUUUGGGUUUGUCUAGGGCAGAUUUUUAUGGAGUUCAAAACCAAGAAAGUGGCUCCAAAUUGAUAACCAAACAUUGCCGAAAAAUGUGUUUUUAACAUAUGAGACUGGUAGUUACUUCAAGUUACUGCUAACCUAGAAAGUGACAAAGAAUGCUACUUUUGGAUUUUAAGGAAAUUUUUUCUUUUAUUUAUUUACUUUUUUUUUUUUGUGCAGGUGCCACAUUUUCUCUUUUGGUUGGAAUUGUGAAGUAUCAAAUUCAUCGAUGUUUCCUACGAUUUAGAUUUUGGGGGUUGGGAGAGGUAUGUUCUUUUGCCCCACUUUGCAUUAAAGUGAGCAAUGAAUUCUAAUUCUUGGGGGCAUGGGUUGUGCAAGGUGGAUGCCCACACCACUUGGCGGGUGCAAAUGGAAGUCCUCUAAUGUGUUUGAUAAAGUGUUUCACCAAAAGAUUUUCUUGCUGAAGAAGGGAAAAUCCCAUUUUACUUUUGUUGUUAAUCAUGUCAAUAUGCCUUGUUUGUCAAUUACCUUGUUGCUUAAACUUUUUAUUUAUAUUUAUAGUUUAAAAUGGUGCAGAAUCCUUUGCUUCUGAGAGGUCUUAGGUUUGAACCUCACCGCUUAUGUAUUCCCUUUGUAUUGAAUCCAUGUAUGAAAGAAUGCCAUGGAGGCUAGUGUUGAGGCAAUUAUCUGUACUAUUAACCAGCUUCAUUUAAUAUACAUUGUUGAUCUAUUAUCUAAUCGCAUAAGUUGUUGGAUUAAGUGGCAAUCAACAUUUACUAAGGUUGGAAUUCCCAUAUUAUCUUGGUGAGAUAGAUCAUGACUUCUACCCUCAAUUUAUGGGGCCGAGGGAAACACCCUACAACUAUGGUAAAUGAUUUCCCCAUUCCCGAAGUUCUAAGUUAAUUUGCUAAUGCUAACGUAGAAAGGCUUCCCCUUCUACCAACAAGGUUAAGAGAGUGCUUCCUUCACUUACCUUGCUUAUUGUUUCCAUGUUUGAACUAUAAAGUUAACAUGGGGUGCUAAUCUCUUCCAAUUUUGUUUCCAUGUAUUAAUAUAGUUGAAUAUAGUUGGAGGAAUGGUAUAUACUCUAGUGGAAGGUGUCUCAAACUCAAUUCCCAUGGAUGGAGUAAGAUUCAGAGACACAACAAAUGGAAUUGGCAAUAAAACAGGUUGUGAAUUUGCUUGAGAAAUAACCAACCUCAUAGCAAAUGAAGGAACAAUUGUGCUAGGAGGAAAUGAGGUUUUGUCUUAGACGUAGUUCUCUACAGGUUGAUGACUUCUUCAGUCCAAUAACGUGUGAUUUUCUCACUUCUGAAACUUCAGUUUUGGUUUUGAUCCAUUUUAGAGAGGAUAUGUGACACAAUCCAAAAUGGGGUUACAUUGUCUCUUGUUUUUCGCUGAUGUUAUCAUUUGUUGCCUUCAUGUGCUAGGAUGACGUUUGUUAAUGAAAAUUUCUAUGACCAAGUUGAAUUUGAUACUUGGGUGGAGCUGGUUUGUUUAAAUAUUCAUGUUUUGGUGAAUAAAAGUUAUUUUAAUUGAGCAAAACUAAUACAUAUAAUGUAGAAGAUGGAUAAAAUUUAAGUUAAAUAUUUAACAAAAAAAAUAUGAUUUUAGGACUUUUCAAUUUAAUAAAAGUUUUGUUGUAGUUAUGGGUUAUGUAUUCAAUUUUGGGUAGAAGGAAAAGACUAACCAAGCAAGUGCUACAUAUAAUCUAAAGCAUUCCCAAACCCUGGAAGCUUAAGGGAUGGAUCAUAUUAAUAGUGUGUGAUAGUGAUUCUUGAAAGUGUUUUUAACGUUUAUAGUACUUGAAAAAUGAAAUCUUAAAGUGUUAGAAAUGUUAAAAACACUUCCUAGAAUAACUAUCAAAUGCACUCUAAAUAAGUUAGCUUAAGAGUGAUGCAAAAAAUGGGUAUGUUGUAUAAGAACACAUAUUUUCUUUUUGUCUUUCACCCUUCAAAAAGUUAUGAUCUACUUGUUUGCUUGGAAAAAAAAAUACUUUUUUUCCCCAAUUAUAAAUAUUAGCCAUUUUUCAUCAAAAGUAACUAGAAUUAUAUAGACCCCAAAAGGGCAAAAAAGGUCAUAGAUUUAGGUUAAUAAAGAAAUAUAGUUGGGACAAACAAUUAAAACAUCUUACAUUGGAUGAUCAUCAUAUCCUACUCAAAUUUUAUAAGGUAGUGGAAACAUAACUAAUAAUUAUAUUUUUCAAAGAGAAUCUAAAAAUUUGAAAUUGGAAAUUUAUUCUAUUCAUUUUUAAUAUUUUUUGGGGUCUACUAUAAAUUUUAUCCACAAAGGGAAAACAUACACUAUUUAUCUUAAUAAAGGCCCCUUUUAUAUCAAGAAAUUUCUCUUUGAAUGAAUUAAAAGAGAAACCUUGUCUUUUAUUACAACUAUAAUGAAAUUCACUUCCAAAGCCUAUAAUUAUACAUAGAGCAUAUAACGAUCUACAAACAAAAUUUAUCACCUUCGCGGGUGAGCUUUGGCACAGGUUGCUCUUCCUCUCAACAACCAUUUGACAAUUUUAUCCACAAAAUCAAAGUAGGCCUCACACCAAGAUUUUCUUGUUGCCAAAACAAAAUAUGGAAUUAAAAUACCCAUUGAAAAUCCCAAGCCAACACUCAAGUAAAACCAUUGAUCAAUGUAGCCACCAUCAUUUUUGUCCUCAAUAGCACUACGCUUUUUAUCUAGAUCUUCAUCUUGGCAUUUUGUGACUAGUGGAGCUCCACAAAGAUUAGGGUUUCCAACAAAGCCUGACUCAGUGAAGGUUGUCAUUUGCCCUAUAAAGGGGAUCUUACCAGAGAAAUUGUUAUUUGAUAGAUUCAAAUAACUUAAGAAUGUCAAUGAAACCAUACUUGAAGGAAGGGUGCCAGAAAGCUUAUUAUUUGACAAAUCAAGAGAUAACAACUGCUUCAACAUUGAAAUGCUUUCAGGAAUUUGGCCAAUGAUGUGAUUCCUCGAUAAGUUCAAAACUAGCAAACCAAACAAUUUUGUUAUUUCUUGGGGAAACUCUCCACUUAAAUUAUUGUCGGAUAGGUCUAUGCUUACAACAAGAAAAAGAGUUCUGGUGUACUCAAGACUUUGGCCUUUCAUAUUCACAACCAAUCGUUCUUCAUACCAAGAGUUGCUCCCAUUGCCAUGCAAAGGAUAUAUAUUCUUAUUAUUCUCUUGAGCCAUGGCUUUAAGCUCAACAAAAGUGAUUGGAAUUUCACCCAUUAGAUUGUUUUGUGCAAGGUCUAAGACACGCAGGGAGCUUAAAUUUGAAAGCUGUGGGGGAAGUCUUCCAAAAAAUACAUUUGACCUCAAGUUGAGUAUUACAAGAUUUAUGAAAGUAGUUCCAAUCCAUGAAGGAACCUUACCCAAUAGUUGGUUAUAACUGAGAUCAAGGAGUUCCAAUCUUGAUAAAUUUUGGAAAGAUGAGGGGAGCCCUCCUGAAAGCUUGUUAUCAUUCAGGUGUAGUGAUUCGAGCCAUUGUAACUGGCCCAAUGACUUUGGUAUCGUCCCAGAUAAAUGGUUAUUUCCAAGGUCUAGAACAAUUAGGCUAGAGCAAUUAUUUAUGGUAUAAGGAAUGCUUCCAGUCAAAUUAUUCCUUGAAAAAUCAAUGACUUGAAGAGAGGUGAUGUGUCCUAUGGAAUCUGGGAUGGUCCCUGUUAGUUGAUUUUUUGAAAGGAAAAGGUAAUUCAAGUCUAACAUAGAUUCACCUAUGCUCAAUGGGAUAGGGCCAGAAAAUUUAUUGUAGGAGAAAUCUAGUAAAUAGACUCCUUUGGUGGAAAAUUUUAAUGAAUUUGGUAGCUGACCUUGUAACUGAUUGUGAGAAAGUUUUAAGUAUGACAGGUUAAAAGAAAUAUUCCAAAACCACUUGGGUAUGAAACCUGAGAUGCUAGCAUUUGACAAAUCCAAAAAAAAGACCUCCUUUUGAGUCUUAAACCAAUUUGGGAAUGAAGGGCCUAAAUUGCAUGAAGCCAUACUCAGAUUAGUGACUUGGAAUGGGGGGACCCAAGUGGAACUAACAUUUAAAACAAGACCUGAAUUUCCAUUUAUCCACAACUCCUUCAACUUACUUAACUUUGAAAAAUGUUCUUCAGAAAUAAUUCCAGUCAUGCGAUUCAAAGAAACAUCCAAUUUAACCAAUUCAGAAAGUUGUCCAAAACUAACCGGGAGACUCCCAUUCAGUUCAUUCGAUCCAAGCCACAUCUCUCUCAGUUUUUUGAAUGUCCCAAAAGAAGCAGGAAUAGGGCCUUGAAGCUUGUUGCCAGAUAAAUCGAGAAAUGUAAGUUUUUCCAAAUGACUCAACCAUUCGGGAAUUGUACCUGCAAUCAUCAUCAAGAGUAUUAAAAUAGUUUCAUUUAUUUAUAUAUUUAUUUUAUGAAAAAUAAUAAAUUUUAGGAGAAAGGAAUUUUCAGAAAAAAAAGGUAUAAUAAAUCGAAUGAGUGGAGAAAAGAUAAUUUAAAAUAUUUUUUUAAAACUAAGUGUUUACAUGGAAUCAAUAUAUACAUGAUUACCAAAAGAAAAUUUUAAUUUAUUUGGUAGCUAACCUUGUAACUGAUUGUUAGAAAGACUUAACAACCACAUAUUCAAAGAAGUAUUCCAAAACCAAUUUGGUAUGGAACCUAAGAUGCUAGCAUUUGACAAAUCCAAAAAGAAGACCUCCUUUUGAGACCUAAGCCAAGUCGGGAAUGAAUGGCCUAAAUUGCAUGAAUCCAUACUCAGAUUAGUGACUUGGAAUGGGGGCACCCAAGUGGAACUAACAUUCAAAACGAGACCUGAAUUUCCACCCAUCCACAACUUCUGUAACUUACUUAACUUCGAAAAAUGUUCUUCAGAAAGAAUUCCAAUCAAGUGAUUCCUAGAAACAUCCAAGACAACCAAUUCAGAAAGUUGUCCAAAACUAAUUGGGAGACUCCCAUUUAGUUCAUUCGAUCCAAGCCACAUCACAUUUAGAUUUUUGAAUGUCCCAAAAGAAGCAGGGAUAGGGCCUUGAAGCUUGUUGCAAGAUAGAUCGAGAUGUGUAAGUUUUUCCAGCUGACUCAAUGAUUCAGGAAUUGUACCUGCAAUCAUCAUCAAAAGUAUUAAAAUAAUUUUGUCUAUCUAUUUAUUUUAUGAAAAAUAAGAAAUUCAAGAGAAAGGAAUUUUCAAAAAAGGUAUAAUAAAUCAAAUGAGUGGAUAAAAGACAAUUUAAAAUAGUUUUUAAAAACAAGUGUUUACAUGGAAUCAAUGUAUACACGAUUACUAGAAGAAAAUUUUAAUGAAUUUGGUAGCUGACCUUGUAAUUGAUUCUGAGAAAGACUUAAGUCCAGCAGAUUCAAAGAAAUAUUCCAAAACCACUUGGGUAUGAAACCUGAGAUGCUAGCAUUUGACAAAUCCAGAAGGGAGACCUCCUUUUGAGACCAAAGCCAAGUUGGGAAUAAAGGGCCUAAAUUGCAUGAAGCCAUACUUAGUUUAGUGAUUUGGAAUGGGGGGACCCAAGUGGAACUAACAUUCAAAACGAGACCUGAAUUUCCAUUUAUCCACAACUCCUUCAACUUACUUAACUUUGAAAAAUGUUCUUCAGAAAGAAUUCCAAUCAUGCGAUUCCUAGAAACAUCCAAGAGAACCAAUUCAGAAAGUUGUCCAAAACUAAUUGGGAGACUCCCAUUCAGUUCAUUUGAUCCAAGCCACAUCUCUCUCAGAUUUUUGAAUGUCCCAAAAGAAGUAGGAAUAAGGCCUUGAAGCUUGUUGCAAGAUAGAUCGAGAUGUGCAAGUUUUUCUAACUGACUCAACGAUUCAGGGAUUGUACCUGCAAUCAUCAUCAAGAGUACUAAAAUAAUUUCAUUUAUUUAUUUAUUUAUUUUAUGAAAAAUAAGAAAUUUCAGGAGAAAGGAAUUUUUAGAAAAGGUAUAAUAAAUCAAAUGAGUGGAGAAAAUAUAAUUUAAAAUAGUUUUUAAAAACAAGUGUUUACAUGGAAUCAAUAUAUACACGACUACCAUAAGAAAAUUUUAAUGAAUUUGGUAGCUGACCUUGUAAUUGAUUCUGAGAAAGGCUUAAGUCCUGCAGAUUAAAAGAAAUAUUCCAAAACCACUUGGGUAUGGAACCUGAGAUGCUAGCAUUUGACAAAUCCAGGAGGGAGACCUCCUUUUGAGACAUAAGCCAAGUCGGGAAUGAAGGGCCUAAAUUGCAUGAAGCCAUACUCAGUUUAGUGAUUUGAAAUGGGGGGACCCAAGUGGAACUAACAUUCAGAACGAGACCUGAAUUUCCAUUUAUCCACAGCUCCUUCAACUUACUAACUUUGAAAAAUGUUCUUCAGAAAGAAUUCCAGUCAUGUGAUUCCUAGAAACAUCCAAGAGAACCAAUUCAGAAAGUUGUCCAAAACUAACUGGGAGACUCCCAUUCAGUUCAUUCGAUCCAAGCCACAUCUCUCUCAGAUUUUUGAAUGUCCCAAAAGAAUUAGGAAUAGGGCCUUGAAGCUUGUUACCGGAUAGAUCGAGAUAUGCAAGUUUUUCCAAUUGACUCAAUGAUUCAGGAAUUGUACCUGCAAUCAUCAUCAAGAGUACUAAAAUAAUUUCAUUUAUUUAUUAAUUAUUUUAUGAAAAAUAAGAAAUUUCAGGAGAAAGGAAUUUUCAGAAAAGGUAUAAUAAAUCAAAUGAGUGGAGAAAAGAUAAUUUAAAAUAGUUUCUAAAAACAAGUGUUUACAUGGAACCAAUAUAUACACGACUACCAUAAGAAAAUUUUAAUGAAUUUGGUAGCUAACCUUGUAAAGAAAUAUUCCAAAACCACUUGGGUAUGGAACCUGAGAUGCUAGCAUUUGACAAAUCCAAGAGGGAGACCUCCUUUUGAGACAUAAGCCAAGUCGGGAAUGAAGGGCCUAAAUUGCAUGAAGCCAUACUCAGUUUAGUGAUUUGAAAUGGGGGGACCCAAGUGGAACUAACAUUCAGAACGAGACCUGAAUUUCCAUUUAUCCACAACUCCUUCAACUUACUUAACUUUGAAAAAUGUUCUUCAGAAAGAAUUCCAGUCAUGCGAUUCCUAGAAACAUCCAAGAGAACCAAUUCAGAAAGUUGUCCAAAACUAAUUGGGAGACUCCCAUUUAGUUCAUUCGAUCCAAGCCACAUUUCUCUCAGAUUUUUUAAUGUCCCAAAAGAAGCAGGGAUAGGGCCUUGAAGCUUGUUGCCGGAUAGAUCGAGAUAUGUAAGUUUUUCCAAUUGACUCAACGAUUCGGGAAUUGUACCUGCAAUCAUCAUUAAGAGUAUUAAAAUAAUUUUAUUUAUUUAUUUUAUGAAAAAUAAGAAAUUUCACGAUAAAAGAAUUUUCAAAAAAUGUAUAACAAAUCAAAUGAGUGGAGAAAAGUUAAUUUAAAAUAUUUUUAGAAACAAAUGUCUACAUAGAAUAAAUUGAGAAUAUUGUUUUUAGAAAUUAAAGUUUCCAAACAAAAUUUUGCUACAAAAAUAUAAUAUAAUAUUUGUAAAAAUUAUUAUAAAAAACUCAAAUUUGAUUUCUAAAAAAUAUUUUUACAAUGUUUACAAGAAACAAAAUACAUUAUAACAUUUGUAAAACUAUUAUAAAAAGCUCAAAAAAUUAUUUUAGAAAUCUAUUUUAAAAAUUGUUUACAACCAAAAUCUAGAUCUUGUAGUGUAAUCUUUCAAAUCCAUCAAAAGUCGAGGAGGAGAAGAUGAGCCAAAAAGCCCUAAAAAUUCCCCUUUGUUGGUCAAUUGCACAAUGAAUUUGUGAUAAAUCAUACAUCAACAAGAGUUAAAAUAAUUUAAUUUAAAAUAAUUUUCAAAAAAACAAAGAGAAAGUUUAUGAGAAAUAUAAUUUCAAGACAAGGUAAGAAACUUUACUUUCUUAUUGCAUUAGUGAAAUGGAUACAAUGAAUGGUGAAAAGAUAAUUUUACUUGCUUUGAUGGUUUAAUGAUAAAAGUAAGAGAUUAUUGGAAAGUCAUAAUAAUUUAAUGUGAAAUAUUUUUUAAGAACAAGGGUUGCAAUGCAAAACCUCUACAAUAUUUUGAUUUAUCAAAAAAAAAUAAGUGAUAACAAUUUUUCUAAGCUAAUAACGUACUAAGAAAGUUAUUGUAUGCCAAAUUCAAAAAUUCUAUCUUCUUCCAGCUUUUGCUUAACAUUUGAGAGCAACUACCUGUGAGAUUUUUGUUCCAAGAUAGAUCCAAGUGCUGCAAGUUAGGUAGUUCCCCAAGGCUAGGUGAAAUAUGCUCAUAUAACUGAUUAGAACUUACAUCAAUGUAUACAAGGCUGGUAAGGUUUAGGAGCCAUAUUGGGAACUUUGACCGGAAAGAGUUGCCACUAAUGCUUAUGAGAGACAGUGAAGUAAAAUUGAUAGAGCUUAGAGAUGAAAUUGAACCAGAGAGCCCACAAUCUUGUAGGUGCAACUCCGUUAAAAAUGGAAGCUUGUUUAAUACCUCCAUCCAAUGAGAUCCAUUGAAAGGUUGACAUAGUUCAUCUUGAGAUGCUUUAAGGAAACAAGACUAGUCAUCCAUUCAAGGUCCUUAACAAAUAAGAACUUCUGAAAUUCAUUGGAAGAAAGAUCAAGAACUUGCAAAUUAGAAAGGUUUCCCAAUGUUGGAGGAAUUGCACCACUGAAUCCACCAUUUGAUAAGUUUAGAUACCAUAAAUUCUUCAAAGAUCCAAAGAAUUUAGGGAUUAGUAUAUGCUCAAAUGAGUUACCACUCAAAUCUAAAUAUCUCAAGGAUUUGAUUUCUAUCAAAGAAGGUCGAAUCUCCCCGCUUAAGUUCAUUGAGCUCCAAUUCUCAUAUGCUUCUUUAGGAGAAUAUGGGUUAUGAAGAUUGAUUGAAAUAACAACUCUUGUGUUGUUUUUGCAACCAAUUCCCUCCCAUUGACAACAAUUGCCUCCUGUCCAUGAUGAAAGUCGGUUGUUAGAAUCUUUAAGACCAUUUUUGAAGUUAUGAAGAGCAUCUCGAUCGGCUCUUAAGCAAUCUUCCUUAAGGGUUUCACCCUUACAAGCUAGAUCUCUUAUUGUUAAACAUAGAAUGACCCAAAGGAAACCAAGAAUUGAAUUUUUCUCCAUCUGAGAACACCUAUAAAAGUAAGUAAUUAAUAUUAAGUUCCGAUAGAAGAAUCAAAAUAGUGAUGAAAUUUGAUAAAGAACUAGAACAUCAAGAUAUUGGAUACUAAAAAACACAUUUAUUUUAAUCAAUCAUAAGUUUAAUAAGAUUAAAACAUGUCAAGUGGAUGGCAUACUUGAAUAGUUAUCCAUAUUAAAUAUGGUUUGAUGAUUGUUGCUAAUCAAACACAAGAUAAGCUUGGAAGCACUAGAUAGGGGAAAACACUAUUGAACCCAUUCGAGGCUAAUCAAACAACUUGUCAUUAUUGGUAAAGUAAAACAAGACUAGUGAUCCAUUCGAGAUCAUUAACAUAUAAAUCAUAGGAUUCAAAAUUAACAAAUAAAUAAAUAAAUUGAUGGCUAGAAAGAUUGAGAAAUUUCAAAUUAGAGAGGUUUCUCAUACUAGGAGGAAUUGCUCCAUUGAACCCAUAAUUUGAUAGGUUUAGAUAUUCUAAAUUCUUCAAAGAUACAAAGAAUUCAGGAAUUGGAAUACAUUAAAAUGAGUUAUCACUCAAAUCUAAAUAUCUCAAGGAUUUGAGUUCUAUCAAUGAAAGUCUAAUCUCUCCACACAAGGUUGUAGAGGUCCCAUUCUCAUAUGCUUCCUUGGGAGAAUAUGGGUAAUGAAAAUCAACUGAAAUAAUAGCUCUUGUUUUAUUUUCAUAAUCGAUUCCUUCGCAUUGACAACAAUCAAGCCCUCUCCAUGAUGAAAGCCAACUAUUAGAACUUUUGAGAUCAUUUUUGAAGAGCAUCUCUAUAAGUUUUAAAUCAUUUCCCAAAUUGGUCUCACCUUUACAAGCAAGUUUUCUUAUUAUUAAACAUAGAAUGAUCAAAAGGAAACUGAGAAUUAAAAUUUUCUCCAUCUAGGAACACCUAUAGAAACAAGUGAACUUAAGUUCCAACACAACAAUAACAAUAGUGAAAAAAUUCAAUUAGUAAUGGAAUCAAGACAUCAAACAAUUAAUAACAUAUCUAACUUAACCACUCAUUUGUUUAGAAAGAUUAAAAAUUUCCAAGUAACCAACAUAAUUUAAUACAUGUCAAAGAAAAUAUAAUUGAAAUCAUCUCAAUAAAUAUCAAAUAUGCUUUGAUGAUUACUAUUGAUCAAAACAUUCUAACUAUAGAAAUCACUUACAAGAAAACUUGAAGCAUUAGAUAGAGAGAAACACUUUGAACAAUCUCCUUUUUUAUGGUGUAGUCAUUCCUUUGGAUGCAGAGAUAUAUAUAGAAGAUAAUUCAACUAGAAACCAUGUGGAUGGAUAGUGAUAAGCGCCUUUCCUUUCUUUUUAGCAAUAUUUUGAAAAAUGGAUUGGACCAACCAAUUGAAUAGAUUCAAUUGCCAACCAAUUCACUUUCCGGGUUGGGUGACCUUUUCCAACCAUUUUGGGCUUAAAAUAGUGGAAAACCGAUCACUAGUAUUUGAUUAUGAUCAAAUAUUUCUAUCACAACAACCACUUUUUCUUCAAUCACUUUAAUAUAUUUUUGUCGCCUCUUGGUACCUCAUUAAGCAAAAUUUGCAUUGGAUUGACUUCAACAUUAUGUUUGGGUCAUCAAGAUUCAAGCCUUUUCAAUUGUUUGUGAUCCUCAACAAAAAAAGAUAUAUAAAUUAAAAAUUCAAUUCAUAUCAACAAAUUUUAGCAAACCACUUUAGAAUAUAUAAAAUUAAAAUUUGUGUUCUUGUAAUAAUGAUUCUAAGUUUUUUUUUCUCUUCAUUUUAAUAACCAUUUGAAAGUGUCAAUUGUGUUUUCAAUGUUAUAAGACUUUGAUGAAUAUUUGUAAAUAGUAUAUAUUCAUAUAUUCUUAAUUUUUUGAAAAAAUAAAAUAAAAAUUAGAAAAAAGAUUUAUUUAUUUAUUUAUUUGGAUAUAGAAGAUAAUUCAACUAGAAGCCAUAUAGAUGAAAGUGAUGGCCUCCCCUUUCUUUCUCCUUUCUUUCUUUAUAGUAUUUCUUUUUUAAGCAUACGCAGUCAAAAUUUUGCUUUUGGUAAAGUCUUCCACCUGUAAUUGAAAUGUAAAGAAUAAUAAUUCAAAGUCCAAAAAAAUAAGGACAAAAAAGUUGCUAUCUUCACUUAAAAACUUUGUUUUUGGAGUCGUGUCCUCUUGUCCUUUUGCACAAAACAAAACGUACCCCUUACUCUAAUGCAAGGAUGUAUAUUAAAUGAUAAAAUAUGAAUUCAUUAAUCUAAUUAUGAAGUCAAGAACUUAAUUAAUUAUUUAAUUAUAUUAAUUAAUUUAAUUGAAGUGUAAAGAAUAAUAAUUCAAAGUCCAAAAACAUAAGGACAAAAAGGUUGCUAUUUUCACUUAAAAACUUUAUUUUUGGUGUUGUGUUCUCUUGUCUUCUUGCACAAAACAAAAAGUUCUCUUUACUCCAAUGCAAGGAUGUAUAUCAAAUGAUAAUAUAUGAAUUAAUUAAUCUAAUUAUGAAGUCAAGACCUUUAUUAAUUAUAUUAAUUAAUCUAGUUGAAAUGUAAAGAAUAAUAAUUCAAAGUCCAAAAACAUAAGGACAAAAAAGUUGCUAUCUUCACUUAAAAACUUUAUUUUUGGUGUUGUGUCCUCUUGUCUUCUUGCACAAAAUGAAAGAUACUCUUUACUCCAAUGUAAGGAUCUAUAUUAAAUGAACAAUCUUCUCAUUCAUUAAAGGAACCAUUUUUAAUCAUAUCGACUACUUAAAUAAGGCUAGAGCUUUAACAGUUACCUUUAUUUGAACUUUAUUAUCAAGCAUUAAUUAACAAAAUAUUCUAUUUGAACUUGUAAGUGAUAUGAGAGUUUGAAUUAAUGAUUAUUAAUGCUUCUAUAUUUCAUCUAAUUUGUUGGGUUAGCCGUAUCUAAUCCCACAAUAUUGAAUGAUCAAUCUUAUUACUACUUGAUUAUAAAUUAAAUAUUUCCAAGCUUGAUCCUUAAAUAUGGUCUAUUAAGGCAAUAAUUUGAUCAAAACUAUUAAGGACUUAGGUUAAUAAUGUAACACUUCAUUUCACUAAUAGCAUAUAUAUAUGAGAAAAAUAAACAUUGAUGAAAUUUAAAUGCCUAACCUACCCUAAGUUAAAAUUUUGAUAUCAUGCAUGGUAAGCUCUGAUAAUUUGACAUGAUAAUAUAGAUCACCAAGCAUUUGGUUUAAAAAGAAUAAAAUCUUCCAAGUUCAAAUUGUGUAUAUUUGACAUGGUGAUAUAGAUCACCAAGCACCUAUUUGAAAAAUAAUAAAAUCUUCCUAGUUCAAAUUGAGUAUAUGAAGUAAGAAGCUGAAUGGGCAACCCUUUUUUUUUUUAAAAAAAAAAAAUUCCAAGGAAAAAGAUUCAGUUGAUGUUUGUUUUUUUUAACUUAAUUUGAAUGCAAUUUACUUUCAAGACUUCAAAUAUUUGUUUUUAAUAUUUUUUUAAACUUUUAACUUAUUCAUCAAUAUUUAGAAUAGAAUAGAACAAGCUAAAAUAUGUGACUUUUUACUUAAUCUAAAAAGUUAACCGAUUCACACUUCUAACCCCUCAUACCUAACUCACAUUGUGAAAAAACAAAUAAUAUUAAAUACUUUUAAGUUGUAUUUAGAACUAAGUUAAAUUAAGUUCUAUUUAGAUUUAAAUAAAAAAAAUCAUCUUAAUUAUGUUGAUCCAAACUUUAAUUGUGCAUGAUGUCUCGUUUUCCCUAUGAGCAUGACUUUGCUACUACUUAUCCCACACAAGAAAUAAUGGGCUUUUAGUUAAUUAACUACUAAGAAUAAUAAUAUGAACGUAUAGAUGACAUUAGCCCUAUAAAUUGAGUCAUGAAAAAACCUUCCUCAAAAUAUCACAGUCUUCAUGUUGUCCUAUGAAUUAGUAAUAUUUCACAAUCUUGUAAAAAAUUAAGGAAAAAUAAGAUAAAAUAAUCAAUAAGGCAUCAACAAUAGCAAACCACCUCGAAAUAAAUAAAAUAUCUUAAAAUUUUGAAAAUCUCUAUGAUGAGGUUAUCAUUUCUGAUAAAUUGAUCAUGCUCAUCAAAGCUAGCUCAGCACUACACAAUCCAAUCCAACCCAAUUAACAAAUCAACUAUUUAAAGUAUCCAAAUAUUGUGACCAUUUUUUAAAGACAUUUUUGUCAUGUCAUGUCUAUCAUGCAAUUUAAAGUAAUCAACUCAGCUUUGAAUAAAGAAAUUAUGUUUAUGCCCAUUCAUUAAUUUAUUAAUUUAUUCAAUGUUUAUGCCAUGUCUACCAAGGUGGCCAUAGAAAAUUUUGCAUUAGCUUGACUUUAACUCUUAUGUUUGGGUCAUCUAGAUUAGGGCCUUGUAAAUUAAGAUUUCAAUUCUUGUCAACAAAUUUUAGCAAACCACUCCAUAAGCUUUUUUCUCCUUUCAUUUUAAGAAUUAUUUGAAUGUGUAAAUUGCAUUUUAAAUUUUAUAGGACUUUGAUUAAUAUUUGUAAAUACUAGAUAUCUUUGUAUUUUUAACUUCUUUAAAAAUAAAAAUUUUUUAUUAAAAAGAAUUUUGCACUAGCAAUUCAUUUCCUCACAUGGAAGUGCUAGAAAAUUUUAAAAAUUACCUAAUCCAUUUUGUGCUUUUACAAAGUAUCAAUUAGUUGUGGUUAAAUAAAUUUAGUUUCCAAUCACUAAAUUAUACAUUUAGACAUAAGAUAAUUUGGGUAUCUAACAUUUAACAACUUCAUAAUUUCUUUAUUAAGUUGUGAUGACCCAAUUUAUUUCUAUGCUAAAUUUUUAAUUUUUAAUUAUAAUUCUAUCUUUAGUGUAAAAUUUCAUUCAUGCAUGAGGGUUAAUAAUCAUUUUAGAAGACAAGAAUGACAAGAUUGUGUGAGAAAUUUCUACAUGAAAUCUUGAGAUUGAACACCAAAUUGAAAGUUUGGACAAACCUAAGAAUAAUAACUAAUGCAUCAAGAUUUUAGAUACAACUAUUUCAAUAAUUAAAUAUUGUAGCUCAAUAAACAUACUUCAUAAUGUUUGGAAUUACAAUAAAUUUAUAUUUAUAAACUAAAAAAAAAAAAAAAAAACUUAGACAAAUUUUCCUAGAAACAUAUUCAAAUAAGUGGUUAGAGUAUUAUUGUCUAUGUAUACAUAGAUUAUAGUUAGAAUGUUAAGUGAUUUCAAAUUUAGACAACAAAUGUCAAGCCACUUAACCGUCUGAUUAGUCUUAUAAAUUAAAUAUAUAUAACUUAAUAAAUAGGAGUUGGAAGCAUAUGGUCAUUCGAGUCUUUGUUUUUCCUUUUUCACUCACUAUAAGGAUGGUUUUCCUUCCUAAAAAUAAAAUGAUGUAAAAAACCAUGAUAGAGAAUAAUAAUUAACAUGGAGAAGAAAACAAAGAGAAUGAAAACCAAAAAACAUACAAAGCACAUAAUGACUUACAUGGUUUUGUGUAAGGUUUACAUAAACAAGUAAAAUUGAAAAAGUUCAAAGGGAUUAUAAUCCUAAAACUCUCAAAUUCUAAAGUCCCAAUUACCACCUCUCCUCCCAACCCCUUGCCACUCUUAAAAAAAGAAAACUCUCUUUGAGUAAAAAAUUGUUCUUAUUUUCUUGAUAACAUAGAAAUAUUCAAUAUAAAAAAAUAUCUAGUUAUUAAAGAUUUCUAGUAAAUUUUCUUUAUAAUAAUAGAAAGUCUCUUGCAAAAAUGUAUUUUGAUGGGAAAAUAUCAAAGAAUUACAAAAUUGUCUCAAAAGAGAAUUUGAGAUACUUUCUAACAAUUUCCACCUUGGCUUUAAAUCCUAAGAUUAAAACAAAUUUGAAAGUCUUUCAUGUCACUUUGCACUCAUGCUCUUAAAGGAUCUUCAGAUGUUGUCAUAAACAAUUAAGUUCAAAACACAUUAAUUGGUUUCUCCACUACAAUGAUCUUUUUACUAGUGUCUACCAUCACUAGCAUACCUUUAUCUACCUCUUUGUUUCAUCUUGGUUAAAUUGUAUUGUUACUCUUGUUAUGCAUUUUCCUUAUCAAUGUUGAACCUCUUCUUCAUUUGGCGUUACUAAAUUCUUUCCUAUAGUUCCUCAAGCUUUAGGUUUGAGCUCCAACUUUUUCUCACUUUGAUGUUGUUGCUGUUUUUUUUUUUUUUUUUGGUGUAUCAAAUAGCUUCUUCCUAGGAUUAAUCAUUAUAGCCUCAUCAAGGGUCACAGCCACACUAACAAGAAAAAUGAAAGAUUUUGAAUUUGGGCACACAACAUAUACCCUUUAGAGUACAUUUUCUCCAUACCCUAAAAAUAUGCAUUUUCUUACCUUUGGUUCCAACUUACCUUUAUUCACAUGAGCAUAAGCAGGACACCAUAAAAUUCUUAAAUCUAUACAGUUAGCAAGGAAACCAAACCAUUCCUCUUAAAGAGUCUUAUAAUUAAUAUGUAGGAUGUCCUUUCACAAUAUAACAAGUUAAAUUUAUUGCUUCAACUCAAAAUUCCUUUCAUAACCCUACAUUCAAAAGUGUGCACCUUGCUCUCUUUGAAAGAGUUCUAUUCAUCUUAUUUGCAACACCAUUAUGUUGUAGAGUAUGUCUAACUAUGUCUCACAUUAUCUUUAAUAUUGCACUACUCAUUAAAAUAUUUUCCACUAAAUUCCAUAUCAUUGUCGAUUCUCAAGCAAUUUGUUUUCCCAUAUGUUUCUCCAUUAUCUUUUAUAUUGCACUACUCGUUAAAAUCUUUUCCACUAAAUUCAAUGUUAUUGUCAAUUCUCAAGCAAUUUGUUUUUCCAUACGUUUCUCCAUCAUAAUUUUCAAUUGUUUGAACUUCUCAAAGACAUCACUCUUAUGUUUAAGAUAUAUACCCAAACCUUUCUAAAGUAAUCAUCAAUUAAGCUCAAUGUAUAUGUUCCACCAACAUGUGAUAUAACCUAAUAAGGACCCCAAAGAACUAGAUGAUGUAAUCUAAAGUACCUUUAAUAUUGUGAAUAGUUAUACUCCAUCUAAUCGAUCAUUUUUCUCAAACAUAUAAUGCUCACAAAAAUCUAGCUCUUCCAUUUUCUAACCACCAAGAAAAACUUGUUUGCUCAAAAUUGUCUAAUGAAAAAGGAAGACUAAGUUUUUGAUAUGGAGUUUAUGUUUGAAAGUUUUGGGAUUUAAGAAUAUGUUCAUUAGAGUUAAAUUCAUUGGGUGUUAGGAUUUCUUAUAUGCACUUUACUUAUGAAACUGACUUGAAGCUUUUGAGUUGUUGAUUAUCUUGUAGUGAUACAUCUCAUUUAGUGAUUAGAGUUUACAAGUUCCUCAUAUUUAAAAAAGUUCAUAGAGCUCUAUUAUUAAUGAUCUUCGUUACCAUUGUAAAUACUAUCUCUAGCUGAAAAUGAACAAGGGUUUUAUUGAUUCAAUCCUUUCAUACGCUUGAGAUGGUUCCUUGUAUGACUAUAAGUUGAAUUACUAUUUCCAUAAUCUCUUGUAAUAAAACAACAUCUUGAAUAAUAUAUCUUCAAAAUGAAAUAGACUUGGAGCAAAUCACACAACAUUUAAUCCUUGGAAUGGUUUUGCAUUCUGGUGGCUUAAAUAGGAAGAAGAAGACCUUAAUUAAGACUGGUAUGGACCCAGAUUUUUCAUGUGCAUCCCCACUCACUGGCGAGAAUUGUUUUUAUUGGUGAAAAAUUAGUUUUGAAAAAGUUGGAGUCACCACUUAUUUUAUUUUAUUUAUAAAGGGAAAAUAAAACAAAAAAGAAAACACUAAAGAAGUGACUCUAUAGUUUUGGAAAAGCAUGUCUUGAAAAACUCGAGUCUUGGUCCAGAGAUCAGAUUACCUAUUGGGAAGGUACCUCAAAGAGGUAGCACCCCUCUAAGCCCUAAGGAGGUUUCUACUAGCUAGGUUGAGAGAAGUAUGACAAUUAGUUAUACCUAGGUAGGCUAAGGUGAUUUCAAAACUCUAUCAUCACUAUCAUGCCAAAUAAGAAUUCAAAACAACAUCAUAAAGAAGUGGCAGUUUGUGUACCUGAAUUGCAACUUAAGCGCUAUCAUAAAACAUCAAAGUUAGUUUAAGCAACAAGAUAUAUAACAUACAAUAUGCUUUUUACUCUAUUCAAAGAAUUAGGCACAAAUCAAAUCAAUCUGAAACACAAUCAAGCAUGAAGGUACUUCACACACAAAGCAUAUCUAUUUAUAGAACUUUGAAAGAUAAGAAGAGGAGAGACACACCUGGAUAGCAUGCAUAAUUUAUAAGGUUCUUCCAAAAAUGCUAGAGUGGUUAGGACAACCAUAAAUUAUACAACAUCCUUAUUAUGUCUAAUAUAUAGUAUCAGAGCCAAAGUCGAGCCAAGAUAAGUUAAAUGGCUCCAAAAUAAAUAACAAAUUCAAGAUAAGUACAAGAUCAUUAACAUGUAGUUAGAAAAGGAAGCAUCACAAAACAAUUUCUUAAAAAAAUAUCUUGGAGUGGAAUUUAAUUAUAAAAAAAAAAUCAGAAAAUAACUCCUACACAUCUAGAACAACAUACAAAAAACCAAACACAUUCAAAUGACAGACUGCAUCAAAGACACAUAAAAGUUGUAGAAGGUCCAGAUUAGGUAAACAAUAGUGACAUACAUAAACCGAUUUUUUUUUUAAAUAAUAAUAAAUCACAUAAAAUUGUACAAAAAAUCAUGCACAUCGAUCAAAGUGUCUAAACCACAGAAAAAAUGAAUCCAUAGUCAGAUAGAACUCAAAAUAUUUUUAGAACACCCAAGCUAAUUAGAUGUCCAGAAUCCAUCAUGUAUAGUAGGUAUGACUUUGAAAAAUCAUAUCUCCCUCAAAAAGGCAUAGUUUUUAAUAUUUUAUGUGUCAAAAUUUAAUUUCAAGAAGUCAAAAAUCUAGGAAAAAUAUUCAUUUAAAUUAGAAAGAUUAGAAAACACUUUAAGUUUUCAAUGAUCUCUUAAGUGUGUAGAGGUACUCCUAAAUAGAGAAUGCUGAAAGAGAUGAUCAUAACUCAACUUUAAGAAAAGAUUUCUGACUCAAAUAAUAUUCUAGAAUCAAGUUCAAGAAGUAAGGAAAAUCAUAAAAGCUUUCAAAUUUUUUUAAAAUACUCUAAAGUUGCUCAAAUGAAUUUUAAAACUAAAGGGUCAGUAAUUGAAUGAAAACUGACAACAAAUAAGAGUUUUAAAAAAUUUCCUUAUGUAAGGGUUCCAUCAAGUCCCCAUUCAAUUUCUAUAAGUUUUAUCUAUAUAUCCCCAUUAAUUUGGGAGUACAAGUCCAAACCUAUGUGAAUAAAAUAAAAAUAAAAACAAAAUUUUUGAAAAACCAACAAAGGAGAAAUGCAACUUAGAUAAAAUGAAUUGCAUAAUUUUAAUAGAAAAUGUGUUCUUUACCUAAAGCUAGAAUGAAUGUUUUUCUAAAGCCUUUUAUUGGUGAUUUAAAUGCUUUUGAAAAAGAUUUUAAGGGAACCAGAAAGAGACCCAAUGAUAGACACAAAAUAACUAUUUUUGAUUUCUAACUUAAAAAGGCUUUGAAAAUAAGAGAAAAGCCAAACUUAUGAUGGAAAAAAAAAAUCAUUUUUGACAAGUGAAGAGAAAUUUUGAUUCAAUAACAAUUGGAUAGUCUUUAAAAGGAUCGCAAACCAAACAAAAAUUUUAUUCAUAUUAAUUAAUUUUCCUAAAUCAAAUAAAAAAAAGAUUCAAUCAAAAUAAAUAUUUUAUUUGAAAAGAUUAAUUUUCUAAAACAAGUAAAUAAGAUUCAAUUGAAAUUAUUAUUAAUAAACUUAAGACAUAAACCAACCAAAUUUCCAAAUAUAAAUAAACAAUAUCAAAACAAACUCAAGACAUAAACCAAUUAAAUUUCUAAAACAAAUAAAUAGUAUCAAAAGGAAUGCUAAUGAACGUGAGAUGUGAACUAACCAAAUUUCUAAAAUGAAGAAUAGGGUCCAACCAAAACAAUUAUUUUAUUCGAUCUAACUAACCAAAUUUUAUGGAACAAGUAAAUUACGAUAAAAUCAACCAAGGACUAAUAUUAGUGGUCUUAAAACAUAUUAUAGUUACGUUGGAUCAAUCAAAAUAUAACCAAAAAAAUUCUAGGACAAAUAACUAAAUAAAUGCAAUCAAGGGUUAAUAUUAAUGACUUUAAAAAUACAAUCAUAGUUACAUAGGAUCAAUCAAGACUAGUAUUUUAAUUUUUUUUUAAAAGGGGGUUAACCAUGAGAUCAAUUAAAUUAAUAACUCAUAAUUCUAAUAUAUAUAUAUAUAUAUAUAAACUAAAAAAAAUCAAUUAAAGACUAAAAUCUAUUAACUUGGACAUGGAUAUAUUCACAGGAUCAAUUAAAUUAAAAAACUAAAAUUCCGAAGACAUGUAAAUUCGAUAAAAUAAUCCAAGGACUAAAAUUUAUUAACUAAGUUAUGGAUUUAUCCACGGGCUCAAUAAAACAAUAAACUAAAAAAAUGCUAAAGCUAUCUAAACUAAAGUAGGACGGAUUUAAACUAAGUGAGAACGGAAUUAAAACAUGAACUAAAAGCUAGAUUAUGAACUAAAAUUAUCACGUGGAAUCAAUUAGUAAGAUGAACUAAAAUUCUAAAAUUAUAAACAAGAUGAGGUGAACUCAAAACUAAAAGCUAGAUUAAACAAAGAUCCGAGUUUUCUUUUUCGGUCAAAUAUAAUGAAUCGGAAACUAGAACUAAAUAAGAUUCAAACUUUUUAAAUCUAAAACAAAGAAUCAAAUUAAACCGAAACAAGGAUGUAAUUUUUCGAUCUAAAACAAUGGAUCAAAAUUAAACAAAGUUUAGAUUUUCAAAACCAAAACAGAUUCUGUACUCACCUUUCUCCGCAAUCCCUUGGACUAUGUUAUAGAUGGUGCGGCCUGUGGAUGUGUUCACUUGCAGGUACGGCUGUGAUUGGGGAUCGUUGGAGAACGUGUGCUACUGCCUUCUCCGUUGAUGACGAUGUUGUCUAGAACUCCUUCGUUAGUGGGAGUGUUUCUUGUGAUUUAUAGCCCACCUUCCAGAUUCUCACGUGAAGGAGCAGUCCGCCCUUGUGAAUGUGCGUGAUUCACUUUUGGAUGGGAUGCGGCUGCUACUGAAUUCGAAUCAUAUACAGUCAAUGAAUGGUGCGUCAAUGGGAUGGAUAUAUUGUUGAGUGGGGUGUCGGUGGAGAGAAAUUUCUGAUCAGCAUGCGCGCUCGUGCCCUUGGAGAUGCAGCCAUGAAGAUCCUCGAGUGGCCUGCGUGCAUGAAAAAAAUAUAUACUGUGCACCAAAAUUUGUUUUUUUCAACUCCGCAGCUGCUUGGUGGUCCUUCAAAAGUGCGAGUAGGCUGCUCUAUAUGGUUCCAAAACCGACUGCCCUUCCUGAAUCUGUGCUGAAAGUCCCUCUUUUCUAAAACCACUCCCGAAGUCUGCUCUCGGCUCUCUGUGUUUUCCUCGCACUUAUCCAAAACACCAGCCCCAUUUUCAUUAGCGUUUGGCAACCGUCCCAUGCGUGGAGGACUCCUCCUUUCUCCAAAUUCUAUGUUUCCUCCUCUUAAUAAAAUCAUUUUAAAAUAAUAAUAAUAAUAAUCAUAAUAAUCUGUGCAUAUCACCCAUGGAGUCCCACCUUUUUCAAAAACUUCUUCACCUCUAUUUUAACUCCCUGGUGAUCUUCAAUAAGGCCCUUCUUUUCCUUUUCAAAGUCUUACCAAAAAUUAACUCUUCCUUACCCGUAGGUAAAUUUUCCUAUAAAAACAUAAGAUUAUUAAAUCAAGUAAAUGAAUAAAAAAAAUUAGAGAAAGAUAAAAUAAUAAUAAUCAAUAAAUGAAUAAAUAGCAAAAUAAAAAUAAAUAUAAUAAAUGAUUAAAUAAAAGUGAUUGAUAAUAAUAAUAAUAAAAAUAAAAACAAAUAAAUAAGUAAAUAAGAAAAAUGAGCCAUGCAAGGCAUGCAACCAUGCAAGUUAUACAAGUCACGCUAAGAAUGUCUAAUGGGCCAAGUGACCUAGGUGGGCCUAAGAUGGGGCCUAAUGGGCCAAGUGUACCUAAAUGAGCCUAAGGCGAGUCUAAGUGGGCUUAACUAAGUCUAACCUAAAGUGCACCUGAGUGAAGCUUAAUCUAAACUCGAAUGGCAGCCAAGAUCACAAUGAGGAGUCAAAUAAACCUCUCAACCAAAGUCUCCGAGGUGGCUAAGAGAAGACAAGCUAAAUGAGUAGUAAUGGCCCAUUGGGGAAUUGCUAUAAAGUACCAAACGAACACUAAUAGGAAAUGUGCUAGGAAGGCAAAAUGGAAGGUCUACAACUCGACUAAUUAAUUAGCAACCUAGGCUAAUUGAAUGAUAUUUUUGAAGUACUGUUCUAAUUGAUUAAUUGGAGUCAUGUUAUGUUAAUUAAUCAAUUAGCAAUCUUUUUAGAUUGGAUUAAGAGACCCAAACUCAUGGUGGACAAUGGACCACAUUUUUCUCACAUGUUCCCACUUGAUGGUAAGACUCACUUUUUUAUUUGUGAAAAUUUAAUUUUUAGAAAAAGACUUGGAAUCGCCGCUUAUUUUUCUUUUAUUUUCUUAAAGGGAAAACAAAAUAAGAAAAAAAAACCCUAAGUGUAAAUCUUGAAAGGAAAGACGGGUAUGUGAAAAUUGAGUUGAGUCUGGGGGUCAGGUUACUUAUCGGGAAGAUACGGUAAUAAACUAUAACACUCCUCUAAGCCUUAAAGUUAGGUCUCUACUAAUUAAGGUAAGAUAAUUAUGGCGAUUGAUUAAUUAAUCUGAUGGAUACCGAGGAUGAUCAUGAUAAUAAUAAGGAAUAACUAAGCAAGAUAGAUUCGAAGUGUGCCUUAGUAGUGAGCAAUAAUAUGCUUAAAGAGAAAAUAGGGUUAGUGCACAACAAUAAUAAGCAUAAAAUAUCUCAUGUAUAUUCCAAAGCAAGGCUAAAUCAGUCAUUUAUUUAAUAAACACAGUAAUUAGAAUGAAUUAAUAAAGGAGUACGUCAUGUAUAUUGGGUUCCACUAUUUCCCAUUCUAUUUCUACAUGGACUAAUUAUAUAAAUUUCACUAAUCUAGGAAUUAUAAAAUUUAUUUAUGUUUAUUAAAAACAAGAAUAUCAGAAAAUUAUUAAAAACAAAUUCAGUGAAAAGUGCUUGUCGAAGGAAAAUGGUAGCAAAUAGGACCAGGGUGUAAGCAAAAUAAAUAAAUAAAAAAAAUCAAUCCAAACCAACCACAAUAGAUCAUAUCGGUUCGGUUUUCAAAAAUAAAAAAGGUGAGGUCGAUUUGCAAAUUUUGAAAACCGAUCUUAUCGGUUUGAUUUUUUAUUUUCUUGUUUCCUGAUUGAUAAAAACUGAACCAAAUAAAUAUUCUAAAACUUAUAUAUAAUUGCUUCCUGAUUUUUGAAUUUCGAGGAUCGAUCCGACGUCAUUUUGGCGCCGCUGAUGAUGCCGUUAUUGGCGAUCUUGGGGUCAUUUAAGGCCGCAGUAAAUAAUAAAAAAAAAGGUAUUAAUAUGGUUUGGAUUGGGCUACCAUUUUGGAUGGAUUGGGUUGCACCAACUUGGGUCAAGGAAUACUUUUGAGCCCUGUUUCAUCCAUCCCAUGGUAUCAUAUCUAAAAUAGAUAGAUAUAUCAUUGUUUUACCAUCUGUUUAAUUAUCAAAUCUAAAACCUUUCAUUAAAAAAAAAAAAAAAAAGCCACUGUGGGGCUCAAACCCAUGAGCCCAAGGUUGAGAACAUUGCGCUCAACCAACUGAGCUAUGAGACCCUUCUAUUUGUUUAUGAUUCUGUACUUUAAAAAUUGUGAUUCAGAUAAAUUUUUGUAUUAUCUUUUCUGUACCACAUUAAAUAUAGGAAUUUAUCAUUUCUUAUUACAUUAAUGUUUAAUAGUUUUAAAAUAAUUGAAUUAUAUAUAUUUGUUACCAAAAGUAACUUAUAUUAUAUAAUUUUAUUUAUUUUGAAAGAUGUAAACAUGUUAUUAUUGUAUCAAAUAAUCGGCUCAAAGGAAGAUUAUUUUAAUAUAAUAAUAAAUAAAGUAGUCAUAAAUAUGUGACAUAUAAAGUUUAUCUUGCAUGAUGUAUGUCAGUCCAAAGAUAGGCAUAUUGCUUCGGUUUUAUUAUCAAUAUUUAUGAAUUAAUUUUGCAAAGGAUACCAAUUACAAGUUAAUAUUUAUUGUCCAAAGACUGAAUAUUAAUGUUUGUGUUAGGUAUCUUGUAAUAGGCCCACAUGCAUAUACAUAUAUAUGUUAAAAUUUUAUUUAUUCAUGUAUGUAUGAUAUUUUUGUGACUGAUUCUAGGCUUUAUUGUUAUGAAUUCAGCAUCUUCUACAUCUGCAAAUGUUAAUAACAUUAUUGUGCUUAAUGGCACAAACUUCAAGAAAUGGAAGGAGCACAUUAUAAUUGUGCCCGGGUGCAUAGAUUUGGACUAUACAUUAAUAGAUGAUCACCCUCCAGACCUUACUAGUGCCAGCACUAUUGAGCAAAGGGUUGUUAUGGAAAAAUAGGAGCGAUCCAAUUGCAUGAGUCUAAUGAUAAUGAAGCACUCAAUUCUAGAAGCUAUAAGGGGUGCAAUACCUGAGGAAACCCAAUCCAAGACAUUCUUGGACCAAAUAGCAAACCGAUUCGCUGCAAAUGAAAAGGUUGAGACAAACACUAUUCUUAGUAAGCUUGUCUCCAUGCGGUACUAAGGGAAAGAGAAUAUAAGGGAGUACAUAAUGGAAAUGUCCAAUCUUGUGACUAGACUCAAGGCACUAAAGUUAGAGUUGUUAAAAGACAUAGUCGUGCACUUAGUCUUGAUCUCUCUGCCUACACAAUUUAGUGCAUUCAAGAUCAGUUACAACACACAAAAGGAAAAAUGGACUCUAAAUGAGAUUAUUGCUCAGUUUGUACAAGAGGAGGAGAGAUUGAAAUAAGAGAAGAUAGAAAGCGCUCAGUUGGCUUCUACAUCUUAGGGAUUUGAUACCAGCAAGAAAACAAAAAGGGACAAUAAAGGAAAACAAACUGAAUUUUCUGGGACAUCAAAGCAAAAGGUGCAGAAGAAACAAGAUAAGGAGAUCACUUGUUUCUUUUGCAAGAAGGUUGGUCAUAUGAAGAAGACAUGUACUAAAUACGCUGCUUGGCGUGAAAAGAAAGGUACACUUCUCAACUUUGUUUGUUUAGAAAUUAAUUUAGUUAUAGUGCCUACUAACACUUGGUGGAUAGAUACGGGUGCAACUACUCACAUAAGUGUCAAGAUGCAGGGGUUGCCUAAGGAGUCGAAUGCCAACUGAUAGUGAAAGAUACAUCUAUGUGGGAAAUGGCAACAAGGCUGCAGUCAAGGCUAUUGGUCUUUUUAGAUUACAAUUAGACUCUGGAUGUACUUUGGAUUUGGAAGAGACUUUUGUAGUACCAUUGUUUAGACGGAAUUUAAUUUCUGUUUCAUGUCUAGACAAAUGUGGAUAUUAUUGUUCAUUUAGAAAUACAAUGGUUAGUCUUUAUCUAAAUUCAAAUGUUAUAGGUACAAGUAGUCUAACAGACAAAUUAUAAAAAUUGAACAUAAAGGCCUCUAGUGGAAAUGAAACCUUGCAUUCAAGUAAUUAUGGCAUUAAGUGAAAAUUAACAAAUGAGAAUUCAUCAAUGUUAGGGCACAUACGUUUUGAUCAUAUUUCAAAUCAACGUAUUCAAAGGCUUGUGUCAGAAGGAAUUCACGAUCCACUUGAUUUCUCAUACUUUCAAGUCUAUAUAGAGUGUAUUAAGGGUAAACAAACAAAUAUGAAGAAAAAUGAUGUCAAUAGGUGCAGUGACAUCUUGGAAUUGAUACAUACAGACAUUUGUGGUCCAUUUCCUACCCCUUCUUGGAAUGAACAACAAUAUUUUAUCACUUUCAUUGACGAUUACUCAUGCUAUGGCUAUCUUUAUUUGAUUCAUGAGAAGUCUCAGUCAUUGGAUGUGUUCAAGAAUUUUAAAGCUGAAGUUGAGAAUCAACUAUGCAAGAAAAUAAAGGCCAUUAGAUCUAAUCGUGGAUGUGAAUAGUAUGGUAGAUAUGACGUAUCCGGUGAACAACGUCCAAGACCAUUUGCCAAAUAUUUGAUAGAGUGUGGUAUAGUUCCUCAGUACACCAUGUUGGGGACUCUAAGCCAAAAUGGUGUAGCAGAAAGGCGAAACCAUACUCUUAAGGAUAUGGUAAGAAGUAUGAUCAGUCAUUCCACCUUACCAGAAUCACUUUGGGGCGAAGCUAUCAAAACUGUAGUUUACAUUUUGAACAGAGUCCUAAGCAAAGCAGUAGCCAAAACCCCAUAUAAGUUAUGGACUAGCAAGAAACCUAGUAUUAGGCAUUUGCAUGUCUAGGGUUGUCCAACUGAGGCUAAACCUUACAAGCCAAAUGAAAAGAAAUUGGACUCCAUAACAAAGAGCUGCUACUUUGUAGGGUAUUCUGAAAGGUCGAGAGAUUUCAAGUUUUAUGACCCUUAAACUAGAUCUUUCUUUGAAAUGGGCAAUGCUAAGUUCAUUGAGGAUGUUGAGUUAAGUAGGAGAUAGUCAUUAAGAAAGGUGGUCUUUUAAGAGGAAUCUGUUAGUAUUCCUAUUAUUACAACUAGACAUGGUCAUAUUAUGUUUGAUGACACUAUCCAUAAUGUAUAACCAAUAACAAAGAUUGUAGACAUACCUGAGAUUCCUCCUACUCAAGUUAUAGAACUAGUUCAAGUUCAUGAAGAGGUAACUCAACAACCUCAAGAACCUCAAGUACAAGUGCCACUGAGGAGAUCCAUUAGAGAAAGGAGAAGUACAAUUUCAGAUGAUUAUGUUGUAUAUCUCUAGGAACAUGAGUUUGACAUUGGUCUAGAAGACGAUCCAAUUUCAGUUAGUCAAGUCAAACAAAGUUCUGACUUUGAAAAGUGGAUAGAAGCCAUGAAAGAUGAGAUGAAAUCAAUGAAAGACAAUGGUGUUUAGGACCUAGUAGAGUUGCCUGAAAGUGUAAAAUCGAUUGGUUGUAAAUGGAUUUUUAAGACUAAGCAAGAUUCAAAAGGCAACAUUGUUAGGUAUAAGGCACACCUUGUCAUAAAAGGUUUCACUCAAAAAGAAAACAUUGAUUAUAAGGAGACCUUUUCACCGGUUUCGUUAAAGGACUUCUUUAGAAUCAUCAUGGCACUUGUGGCUCAUUAUGAUUUAGAGCUGCAUCAAAUGGACAUUAAAACUGCGUUUCUUAAUGGUAACAUUGAUGAGACAAUAUACAUGGAGCAACCGGAGAACUUUGAAUCUAAUGAUUCAAAGCAACUUGUAUGCAAAUUAAAAAAGUCCAUAUUUUAAAGUAGACAUCCCGAAAAUGGUACCGAAAGUUUGAUCAGGUGAUUACUUCAUUUGGUUUUAAGGAGAACAUCAUUGAUCAAUGCAUAUAUCUCAAGUUCAGUGGGAGCAAAUUCAUUAUCUUGGUGCUAUAUGUAGAUGAUAUUCUACUUGCUAGUAGUGAUGUAGAACUUUUGCAUGAAACCAGGCUAUUUCUAUCUAGUAAAUUUGACAUGAAGGAUCUUGGUAAUGCUUCUUUUGUGUUGGAUAUACAAAUCUAUAAGGAUCGUUCAAGAGGUAUACUUGGGCUAUCACAAAAUUCCUACAUCGAUAAGGUGUUAAGUAUGUUUGGCAUGAGCAAUUGUGCACUAGGAGACACGCCUGUGGCAAAAGGCGAUAAAUUUAGUUUGCACCAAUGUCCGAAAAAUGAACUUGAGAAGAAGGAUAUGGAUAGGUUUCCCUAUGCCUCGGCAAUAGGAAGUCUCAUGUAUGCACAAGUUUGUACGCAUCCAGAUAUUGCGUACAUUAUUGGAAUGUUGGGCAGAUAUUUGAGUAACCCAGGUAUGGAUCACAGGAAAAAGGUAAAAUGGGUUAUACGGUAUUUACAAAGAACUAAAGAUUAUAUGCUCACAUAUCGAAGAUCCAGUCAUUUAGAGAUCGUGGGAUAUUUGGACUCCGAUUUUGUGGGAUGUCUUGACAGUAGGAGAUCCACUUCCGACUACGUCUUUAUGUUGGCUGGGGGAGCAGUUUCAUGGAAAAGUGUUAAACAAACACUUAUUGCUUCUUCCACCACGGAGGCAAAAUUCAUAGCCUACUAUGAGGCAUCAAACCAUGGGAUAUGGCUGCGGAAUUUUAUCACUCAGUUGCGAAUUGUUGAUGGAAUUGAGAAACCAUUGAGAAUCAAUUGUGAUAAUAAGGCCGCAGAAUUAUAUUCUAAGAACAACUGAAGUUCGUCAAAGUCCAAACACAUUGAUAUCAAGUUCUUGGUUGUAAAAGAAAGAUUUCAAAGUCUUCAAGUAUCAAUCGAACACAUAAACACAAACUCCAUGAUUGCGGAUUCACUCACUAAGGGUUUGCCACCCAAAGUAUAUCAUGAGCAUGUCACACAUAUGGGUGUUGUACAUAUUGAUGAUGUGCUAGUAUAGUGGGAGUUUGUAUUUAGAUUUUGUGUUUGUUUUCUUGAUGUGUUAUUAUGUUUGUGUUAUAUGUACAGACCUUGGUUUUAAAGACUAUUGUGUUUGAAUACUCUGAAUUGAAAUGAUGACUUUCAGAAGCAGUUUAGCAUCAAGUGUUGAAAGUGGAAUUUGACUAUUUUUAGUCAUAAAGUAGGACCAAUUAGAAAUAGACAUAUUAAAGAUCAUAUUCUAUGUAAUUUCCAUGCUACACAUCCAUACUCGAUCCAUGUUGCUAAUUUUGUUAAUGUUGUGAUCAUUGAUGGGUUUAGUUAUAAUUAUGAUUAACGAAAACCGCUUUAAUCCUAUGUUAGCAUAAUUAGUAAACCCGAUUGUUUAAGGAUAUUUAAAUAGAAUAGCAAAGAUGAGCUCAAUAAAGUACUAUCAUGAACAUUGUUCUGUAAUAUAUGUGGUCUAAGUAGGAGAUUGUUAAAAUAACUAUGGACUCACAUAUGGAGCAUAGUUCUUGAUUAAGCUAUCCGUAUCUAUUUAAAUUUGUGUUCAUUGAGUAUGGGCCACCUUAUAUGUAGAGCCCAGUGCCAUAACAGGUCUUAGAUGAUGGGCCUAAGACACGUGAGGCCCAACAGUCUAAAGGGUAUGGUCCCUAAGGCAUAGAGGGUAUAUAAGGCAGGUGUCUCUUCAAUUUUUGAAUAUCUUUUGAAUAGAACAAAAUGCGCUCUCUCCCGCUUCCCAACGUUAGAGAGAUUACAAAAAUGGUGGUUUCCCCUCUAUAGCCUUAGAAGAUUCAUACCUUGUUCAAAACCAAAAGGCAAAAUGGACUCAAGUUCGUUCGUUUUCUAUAAAGAUGUCUGGCAUAAGUUCUUCAUAUGAUUUAACAUGCGAUCUCAGUCUGUUAUUGGAUUUUUGAAUGGACUUCUUUCAAAAGAAAAAUCUAGUUGGCUAUGUAGAUCAACAUAAAUGAACUUUAAUGCGAUACAGUUCCAUAUUCUGAAACCUGACCCAAUGAUGAAAUCAGAAAACCAAAGAGUAAUGGGUAGAGGAUAAAACCAAGCCAUGGUUAGCAUCUUGCAUUGGAGACACGAGAAUUACACGAGCUGCGGAAGCGUCAUGAUUGUUGACGUAUUUAAAUUCUAGACUCUUCAAAGGAUCACAAGCAGACAUGGUUUCCUCCAAAGGAGCCGAACCAUCUAAUCAAUUGGAAAAAUACCCAUAGUUCUAAGGACGGAAAGAACGUUAAUCGUGCUGUUGGAACAUGACCUUGAUUGUCAUUGUUAGAAUGAAGAGACAUUUGCUAGAGUUAGUUUGGUGAAGUAGGUGUUAGGCAUUGAAGCUAAGUUACAGACAAAGGAGGCAAUAACAAAUGAUUUUGAGAUGUAAUUAGGCCCACCAUGGGUCUUCGCCUGUUCUAAAAUCUGUCUCAACCCAAGGAACAGACACUACCUUUCCAUCAUCAAUACAUGCAUGCGUCAGUGCCAAUGACAGAGAAACAAGUCCUCUAAUAACUUGACCCUGGCUAUUGUACUGAGAUCCAUGGCAUGGACAGAUGAACUUGUUCUCAAUUGCAUUCCAUGAUGCAACACACCCAAGAUGGGUGUAGACCGCAUUAAUUCCAUAGGUGGCAAGGGUGUGGUCAUUCCCCACAAUAAGGUAGGUGGGGUCUCCCUUCAAUGUGAUAAUGAAACAACACUGAAUUUUUUAAGGUAAGGUUUGUGGAUAGGUGAAAACACGUGCAUGGGGAGUUGCACCGAAGACUGACCCUACAUGAGGAAGUGACAUGCGUGUGGGGUAAGAAUGGAUUUAUUCUUUUAUCAGAAAUGCUGGGUCUUGCAAAUAUUUAUUGGUUGUCUCGAGGGAUAAAUCAAGUGAAUCAAUGGCGGGCCAACCUAUAAAAGAAAACUGUAGCUUCCAGUUUACCGCAUGCAGACAUCUUUCCUUGAAUUUGGUGCAAUCUAUGUUCUUUCAGCCAUCAUCACAAGCAAGUAAUCUCAUUUCUCAUAGGCAGUGUAAGACUUCUUUUGAUUCACAAAUUUUCUGGGAGAUUUCCUAUUUGGAAAACAUCAAUGCAACAGCCUGAAUUAUCUUUCCCAUGCCCAGGUGACAGUCAAGUGAAGAGGACUCAGUGAUGCUUCUGAAAAGCUUCUAAGAAGAGACCAUACAGGAGUGGGCCCCAAGGAUGAUGUGAUCCAGAGAAUUGGUUACCAAUAGUUUCAUUCAGUAUUAACGCCUUUGACUGUAGUUGGGCCAUCAACAAGGCUUUUUUCUAUCCUCAUCUCUCAUAGCUCAUGGACUUUAUAAAGGGGAUAUAGUAAGCAGUGGAGCAUCAUAGAUUUCUAGAGAGGGUUCUAUUUGACGGAAGCCUUUCUGUGAAUGCUCUCCCUUCCAUUGUCGGUGGCCUAAAUAAAGGAGCCCCCUUCUAUUGACCAUAAUAUCAAGUUGGAUUUUGAUAACCAACUUCCUAAUGUAUCUCCACACGUCAGCUACAAAUGGAUGACUUUUUGGACCAAAAUUCAAACAUUCUCAUGUGAAAAAAACACUAAGAGCAAGGCCCACUCAAGCACAUAUAAGGCAUCAGCUUUAUCUACUGGAGAGAUUGACAUGAAGCUAAAUCCAAAAUAAAUGAAGACCAACCGAUUGGCACCACUCUGUAUCAACAUGCUUGAUGUGGGGAAACCAUCAAGAAUAAGACCACAAUCACGCAAGCUUUCUGAUUGCACCACCAAACUGCUUUGCAAUAUCAUACAUCCAUUCUUCAGCAAAAUCAUGCAACCUAAAAUCAAGAAAUAUAUCUUUGACCACUAGAUCCUCCAUAGACUCAAACGUUAGUGCCUACAGCUCAGGGUCCACAGUGUUCAGUAUUGGAGUUGCUACUCCUAGAAGACCCCAAACACACCAGAAAUAGGGAGUACAAAAAAGAGCAAGAAUAGAAUAAAAAAGAGCAUAAAUAAAUGAAUCAAAGACCACUAAACUUAGCAUUCAUGGGUGCCGAUAUGCUACACACAGAUGAGAUCACCAGAAUAUGAUCCAUGGAAGUAAGGAUAGUAACAAGAUGCCCAAGUGACAUAGUAAAGAUGAAACAAAGUUAUGAUGCUCUCAAACCAAUCUCAAAAGAAAAUGAAUAAACCAACAAAUAAUAAGCUCACAAGUAUCCGAGAAUCAACAUAAUACAAAUCCAUAUCUUUUAACAUCCAUACCCAACCAAAUAAUACACAGAUAUAGCAAGAGAAGAGGGAAAAAAUAUGACAAUAAAGAAAAACAAGGGGUCUAUGACAGCCAUACCUGAAAGUGUUCCUCUCCAAAACGAGCUGCUAAUGGAGAUGACAUCCUCCUCCGGAUCUGAAAAUAUCCAGAAGUCCAAGAUCUCUGAUUGUGGAUGUCAGUAUGUCACGACCCAAAUUCCUGGCCACCUAGAAUUUGGCCUAUGACCCCAGGUCAAAAGUUUGACCCUAAGGGUUCUUCCUAAUCCAAGUUGGCGGUCAACCAAAAUGCCCUAAUUUUUUGUUUUUUGUUUUUUAAACAUAAAUCACACUAAAACUCCCUCAAACUAACAUUCCAAUUCAUCAAUAUGCAAACAACUCAAGAUCAAUAACAAUAAGAUUUCCAACCCAAGUUUAAAAUGGAGGUCCAUAAUAUGAGUAAGUUUAAUCCAAAAUAAGUCCAUAUAAGAUUACAUAAUUUAACAAUCUGUUAGAACAUGUUUUCAAAUGACUAAACACAACAAAAUAUGACAAGUCCUCUAAGCUACUCCAAAAUCCCCUAGGGUAUCCUGAAGCUCUCCUUGUCCCAUUUGUGGAUCCUUAGGAGUCACAUCUACAUCUAAAAAAAAUAUAAGAAAGAGGGGGUAAACAUUCCACAUUGCUCAGUAAGGUGCCUUACACCCAGGGAGGAGGAGGUUAAUUGGGAUUACUGAGUUUAAAGUGUACACAAAAUAUACAUUCCACCACAAAUUAAUCAACCCAAACAUUUUAAUUUCUAUAAUUAUAACAAUUCAAUCAUUUUCAACAAUUAAAUAUAAUGCAUGUGGAUAUGUGACACAUAGUCGUACAAUACACUGUCACUCUUGGGCUUUUACCGAAUCAUAUGCGUCCAUACCCAAAUACACUCCUCAUUCGAAGUCUUCUCGAGGUAGAUUUUUAGGUCUCUCACCCUAGGGAUCUUACUCCCUUCUUAAUUCGCCUCUCAUGGACCUUUACUUUUCAUCAUCAUUUUAUUAUUCUUUCAUUUAACUUUUCAACAAUUUUUAUUUUCUUUCACACAACCAUAAUGCAUAUGAAAUGCAAUGAAAUUACACAUCAUCAUUCACAAAUAUCAAAGAAAAUUCUCAUUAAUCCAAAUAUUAGUAAAACACAAUUUAUAUCAUAAUUUUUAUUUUAUUUAUUCUCAACAAUCUCAUUAAUUUUAAUAACCAAACACUAUCAUUUUCCACAAUUGAAUUACCAACAACAUCCCAAUAAAUUCUCAAUAAUCUCGAUAUCAAUCAAACAUAAUUUCUACCAUAAUUUUAACAACCAAACACAAUCUUUUUCCACAAUUAAAUUAUCUCAUUAUCCCAAAAAUUCCAAAGAAAAUUCCUAAAUCACCCGAUAAAAUUUCUCAUAUCACUAAUAUUACAUAUUAAACUUUCAACAAUGAGAUUUAUAAAUUUUUUUAAAGAAAAAUGCAUUAAAUAAAUGUUUUAAUGUUAAGACUCCCUACCACAAAUCUAAUAAUCCAACUGAAAACGAAAUCUGACAUUGUACAAAUGUUCUUUGUGUUCAAUAGAGUGUUCCCUUGAAAUUUCACACGAAAUGGAUGGCGUUUGGCUGUCAAAAUGGUCGGCCAAGGUGGACGUCACUUUCUUCUUUUCACAGUUGCCAUGCAGCUCCCCCUUUUUGUAAGUUUUUUUUAAUUAACUAGUUUCAAUUAUUUUAUUUUAUUAUAUUCUAUUAUUAUUAUUAUUGAUUACUACUCAAAAAGUGUUAUUUGAUAGCCUUUAAUUAAUCCUUUUUAACACUUUUGAGUAGUAGUUUAGGCCUUUUAACUCAAUUGGCAUGUUAAGGAUCCUUUAAAGCAAUUUUGAUCACUUUGUGCAAGUUUUGGUGUUUUUGUUAGUAUUUUGAUCACCAAAGCAAGUCAAGAAUGAGGAGAGCUAUGAGGAAUCAUGGGCAAAGCUUAGAAUUCAAUUGCCAAGAGUGAAUCCGGAUUGCAAGGAGAAAAAGCAAAGAGAAUCUGUCAUGGAGCAUAUUCUUGAUGACAGUCGUAGCAGCCACUUUUGGAGUACUUUCUGAAGUCCAAAUGAUGCAAGCUAUAUACCAUUUCAAAGCUCAGGAAUUCAACAAUCCAAUGCUUCAAACGGUGCACGAUUCGGAGUUGAAACGAAGAAGUUGCAGCCAUUACAAGUCAAUCACUCUAAAGUGUUGCGGAAUCAGCAUUUUGUUGCGAGAAUUUCGCAGCACUUUUGUACAGUAAGGUGUUUCUCCUUCUGACGAUGCACGAACCAUGCCGCGAGAAGGGAGCUGGAAACUUCAAGGUGGAAGCCAACUUCGCAGCCCUCUUGGGUGUCUGCGAAAUUUCGCAGGCACCACUUUUCUCCUGCGAAAUGGCUCCUGAAGCCUCCCGAAGCUUGCUACCGACAUUGGGAGAUAUUUUCCAUUAGAUUUUUGUUGUCUAAAUCCCAAAAUAAUCCUUGUAAACCACCAAUUACAUGAUUCCUUAGUUUUUAAGUUAGUAAAAAGACCAAAUAUCUAUGUAAUAAUUAGUUUUAUAUUGCUUUGAUAUAAAUACCUCUCGGGAGCAUGUUCUCGAAGAGGAGUUCUUUCUGUAACCAUUUGGUAAGCAAGUAAAGUCUUUUCUUUCUACUGCCUUACCUUCUCACUUUGUAUUUUCAUUUUAUUUCUAAGUUAUGAAUUCUCUGAGGAGUUUUCCCCAGAGAAUGAGUAACUAAACCUCCAAUUCCUUGGAGCUAAGGUUGCCGGGGAAGGUUCCAAGUGCAAGAAUGCAAAGCUCUGUGGUUUUAGCUAGUAAUGAAGAGGAAGUGAAAUCCUUUAGUGAUUUCAAUGUUUUUAGUUAACUUAAAACACCUUGGAGUCACCUGGGCCAAUACUUGGUAAGGCAAGUGAUUUCCAACCGUGGAGAUGCACUAGUUUACCCCUUGCGAGCCUCUGGUAGGUGACUUCAAGGUAGGAUUUUCUGGAAUUACCAACACUUGGUAAGCUUUUGGACUCUUAGGAGGCAUCCAUUAGUUAUCUCUUGCGAGUUUGUGAAGGGGAAUCCAAGGUUAAAGAUCACCUUGAAUGGUAAGUGCUCGUGAGAGGCAUGAACCAUUGCAAGUUGCAUCAGUGAGAGAAUUAAAGUGAAAUCUAAUUGAAGGAGUCUCUGUACAUCACCGGUUAGAGAAUUGACUCUAAGUUGAAUCUCUAAUGCGAGGAAAUGAACCAUCUGACCGGAGCUAUGUAUUUUGCAUGAGGAACCACCCCAGUGAACCUAAAUCUCCAAGGAAUGCUUUUCUUCCUAAAUUAUUCCAAACUUCUGUUAAGUUAGUUAGUUUAAGUCUAAACCUUUACCAAUCAAACUUUGUGUUUUACUUCUUAAGCUAACCGUGAAAUGAAACAAGACCAAUUCACUUGGAAUUGGUAUCCUUGAUUGCUUGUUCAUCAUUCCCAGUGAACGAUCCUAGAGCCACUAUACUAUAGUAGCUUUGUAUUUGCUACCCUAGUGUAUGGUGUUAUAGGUAUAAAUUUUGUUGAUCACUUCCUCAAUCAAGGAGCACCAGCUGAACACAAAUCAGCUGAGACACCAAUUGGGCAUGAGUCAAAUGGCGCCGUUGCCGGGGAAUGAGUGUCAAGUUCAUUAUGAAACCAUUUUUUGAGCACUUGUGAUUUUCAUCACAAGUUGGUAAAGUUUCUUUCACUUCACUAAUUUUCAUUCUCUCUUUGUUUAUUUACAAUCUAAGUUUAUCUUUUUAAAUUUUAGUCUAGUUUAAUUUUUCUGUUGUAGUCCUCUGUUCUUGUUGCCCUCUGUUUGCAUUUUAGUUGCAGCUGAAUACUAGUUGUGUAUGCCCAAGUGGAUACGAGACAUUGGAGGUAGGCUUGUUAAGUGUGAUACACCUCAGAGAUGAGAAUUUGAAGUAAUCUUGAAUAUCAUGGAGGCUGCAUCUGAAGAUCAGCAUAGUCACCAAGGUCGUCAAGACAAUCUCAAUGAAUUCAGAUCAAUGAGGGACCGUAUGCAUCCACCUCGUAUGAGUGCACCAUCAUGUAUAGUGCCCCCUACAGAGCAACUAGUGAUCAGACCAUAUCUUGUUCCACUUCUACCAACUUUCCAUGGGAUGGAAAGUGAGAAUCCAUAUGCACACAUCAAGGAAUUUGAAGAUGUUUGUAAUACAUUCCAAGAGGGAGGAGCUUCAAUUGACUUGAUGAGGCUUAAGUUAUUUCCUUUUACUUUAAAGGAUAAGGCCAAAAUUUGGCUUAAUUCUUUAAGGCCAAGGAGUAUCCGCUCUUGGACUGAUUUACAAGCUGAGUUCCUUAAGAAAUUUUUUCCUACUCAUAGAACAAAUGGCUUGAAAAGGCAAAUUUCAAACUUCUCAGCUAAAGAGAAUGAGAAAUUCUAUGAGUGUUGGGAAAGAUACAUGGAAGCUAUAAAUGCUUGUCCUCACCAUGGCUUUGAUACUUGGCUAUUGGUGAGCUAUUUUUAUGAUGGUAUGUCCUCCUCAAUGAAGCAACUCCUCGAGACAAUGUGUGGAGGAGAUUUCAUGAGCAAAAAUCCAGAGGAAGCUAUGGAUUUCUUGAGCUAUGUAGCUGAUGUUUCAAGGGAUGGGAUGAACCAACUAAAGGAGAAGUGGGAAAGAUGAAGUCUCAGUUGAAUGCUUACAAUGCAAAAGCUGGGAUGUAUAAUUUGAGGGAAGAUGAUGACAUGAAAGCAAAGUUGGCAGCUAUGACNNNNNNNNNNNNNNNNNNNNNNNNNNNNNNNNNNNNNNNNNNNNNNNNNNNNNNNNNNNNNNNNNNNNNNNNNNNNNNNNNNNNNNNNNNNNNNNNNNNNGGCUGAAAAGGCAAAUUUCAAACUCUCAGCUAAAGAGGAAUGGAGAAAUUCUAUGAGUGUUGGGAAAGAUACAUGGAAGCUAUAAAUGCUUGUCCUCACCAUGGCUUUGAUACUUGGCUAUUGGUGAGCUAUUUUUAUGAUGGUAUGUCCUCCUCAAUGAAGCAACUCCUCGAGACAAUGUGUGGAGGAGAUUUCAUGAGCAAAAAUCCAGAGGAAGCUAUGGAUUUCUUGAGCUAUGUAGCUGAUGUUUCAAGGGGAUGGGAUGAACCAACCAAAGGAGAAGUGGGAAAAAUGAAGUCUCAGUUGAAUGCUUACAAUGCAAAGGCUGGGAUGUACAAUUUGAAAGAAGAUGAUGACAUGAAAGCAAAGUUGGCAGCUAUGACAAGAAGAUUGGAGGAGCUGGAGUUGAAAAGAAUACAUGAAGUGCAAGUUGUUGCUGAAGCACCAGUGCAAGUGAAGUUGUGUCCCAAUUGUCAAUCGUUUGAACAUUUGGUGGAGGAGUGCCCUGCAAUUUCAGCUGAAAGGGAAAUGUAUAGAGAUCAAGCAAAUGUUGUUGGACAAUUUAGGCCCAAUAACAAUUCACCAUAUGGAAAUACCUACAAUUCAAGUUGGAGGAAUCAUCCAAAUUUCUCAUGGAAAGCCAGAGCAACUCAAUACCAACAGCCGGAUCCACCAUCUCAGAAAUCUUCAAGUAUUGAACAAGCAAUAGCUAAUCUCAGCAAGGUAAUGGGAGAUUUUAUUGAAAAGCAAGAAGCCACCAAUGCUCGAGUUGAUCAAAGAAUGGAUGGAAUGCAAAAUGAUAUGAACCAAAAAUUUGAUAACAUCCAAUAUUCAAUUUCAAGGCUUACAAAAUUGAAUACACUGCAAGAAAAAGGAAGAUUUCCUUCUCAACCUCACCAAAAUCCCAAAGGUAUCCAUGAAGUGGAAAGCCAUGAGGGAGAAUCAUCACAGGUGAAAGAUGUGAAAGCUUUGAUCACUCUAAGGAGUGGUAAGAAAAUUGAGCAGCCAACACCCAAGCCACAUGUUGAGAAAGAAGAAGAGAUGAAGAAAGGGAAGGAAAUGGAAGAUAAAGGCAGUGAAAUCAGUGAAGAAAAGAAGGACUCUGAUGCAAAAAUGAAAGCAAUUCCAGAGAAAGAGCUUCUGAAGGAAGAAAUGCUGAAGAAAUCAACUUUUCCACCUUUUCCUCAAGCAUUACAGGGGGAAAAGGGGGUUAGAAAUGCAGCUGAAAUCUUAGAAGUAUUGAGACAAGUGAAAGUUAAUAUUCCACUGCUGGAUAUGAUCAAACAAGUUCCAACGUAUGCAAAAUUCCUAAAGGAUUUGUGUACUAUCAAAAGAGGGUUGACUGUAAACAAGAAAGCCUUCUUGACUGAGCAAGUAAGUGUAAUUUUACAGUGUAAGUCUCCUUUGAAGUAUAAAGACCCUGGAAGUCCUACCAUUUCAGUCAUGAUUGGAGGAAAGGUAGUGGAGAAAGCCUUGCUAGACUUGGGAGCAAGUGUGAAUUUGCUUCCAUACUCUGUCUACAAGCAACUAGGACUUGGAGAGUUGAAGCCAACAACAAUCACUUUAUCUUUGGCAGAUAGAUCAGUGAAAAUUCCAAGAGGGGUAAUUGAGGAUGUAUUGGUUCAAGUAGAUAAUUUCUACUAUCCUGUAGAUUUUGUUGUUCUUGAUACAGAUCCUACUGUAAAGGAAGCUAAUUUAGUUCCUAUCAUCCUUGGAAGGCCAUUUCUUGCAACUUCAAAUGCAAUCAUCAACUGUAGGAAUAGGCUUAUGCAACUCACUUUUGGUAAUAUGACACUGGAUCUAAAUAUUUUCUAUAUGUCUAAAAAGCAAAUCACUCCGGAAGAAGAAGAAGGUCCAGAAGAGCUAUGUAUUAUUGAUACUUUGGUAGAGGAGCACUGCAAUCAACAUAUGCAAGACAAGUUGAAUGAAAGUCUUGAGGAUAUUGAGGAAGGUUUUUCUGAAUCUCCUAUUGGGCUUGCUACUCUACAAAGUUGGAGAAAGAUAGAAGGAAUUCUACCUUUGUUCAAUAAAGAAGAGGAGGCAGCUGUUGAAAAAGAAAUUCCAAAACUCAAUCUGAAUCCUUUACCUGUGGAGUUGAAAUAUACAUAUCUUGAAGCAAAUAAUCAAUGUCCUGUUGUGAUAUCCUCAUCUCUGACCAGUCAUCAAGAGGAUGGUUUAAUGGAAGUUCUCAGGAGGUGUAAGAAGGCAAUAGGAUGGCAAAUAUCUGAUUUGAAAGGCAUUAGUCCUUUAGUUUGUACUCAUCAUAUAUAUAUGGAGGAGGAAGCAAAGCCAAUUCAUCAAUUUCAAAGAAGGUUGAAUCCUCAUCUACAAGAGGUGGUGCGAGCUGAGGUGCUGAAGCUACUUCAAGCAGGAAUCAUUUACCCUAUAUCUGAUAGCCCUUGGGUGAGUCCUACUCAAGUGGUACCAAAGAAGUCAGGGAUCACAGUUAUUCAAAAUGAAAAAGGGGAAGAAAUUACUACACGCCUCACUUCAGGUUGGAGGGUGUGUAUUGAUUAUAGAAAGCUGAAUGCUGUCACUAGGAAAGAUCACUUUCCAUUGCCAUUUAUUGAUCAAGUGCUGGAGAGAGUCUCUGGACACCCAUUCUAUUGUUUCUUGGAUGGGUAUUCAGGGUAUUUUCAAAUCGAAAUUGAUUUGGCAGAUCAGGAAAAGACCACUUUUACAUGUCCAUUUGGAACAUUUGCUUAUAGAAGAAUGCCUUUUGGUUUAUGCAAUGCACCUGCUACAUUUCAAAGAUGCAUGUUGAGUAUUUUCAGUGAUAUGGUGGAGAGAAUUAUGGAGGUUUUCAUGGAUGACAUCACCGUAUAUGGAGGUACAUUUGAGGAAUGUUUGGUUAAUUUGGAAGCAGUUCUUCAUAGAUGCAUUGAAAAAGAUUUGGUGCUGAAUUGGGAAAAAUGCCAUUUUAUGGUACGUCAAGGAAUUGUCCUUGGCCAUAUCNNNNNNNNNNNNNNNNNNNNNNNNNNNNNNNNNNNNNNNNNNNNNNNNNNNNNNNNNNNNNNNNNNNNNNNNNNNNNNNNNNNNNNNNNNNNNNNNNNNNNNNNNNNNNNNNNNNNNNNNNNNNNNNNNNNNNNNNNNNNNNNNNNNNNNNNNNNNNNNNNNNNNNNNNNNNNNNNNNNNNNNNNNNNNNNNNNNNNNNNNNNNNNNNNNNNNNNNNNNNNNNNNNNNNNNNNNNNNNNNNNNNNNNNNNNNNNNNNNNNNNNNNNNNNNNNNNNNNNNNNNNNNNNNNNNNNNNNNNNNNNNNNNNNNNNNNNNNNNNNNNNNNNNNNNNNNNNNNNNNNNNNNNNNNNNNNNNNNNNNNNNNNNNNNNNNNNNNNNNNNNNNNNNNNNNNNNNNNNNNNNNNNNNNNNNNNNNNNNNNNNNNNNNNNNNNNNNNNNNNNNNNNNNNNNNNNNNNNNNNNNNNNNNNNNNNNNNNNNNNNNNNNNNNNNNNNNNNNNNNNNNNNNNNNNNNNNNNNNNNNNNNNNNNNNNNNNNNNNNNNNNNNNNNNNNNNNNNNNNNNNNNNNNNNNNNNNNNNNNNNNNNNNNNNNNNNNNNNNNNNNNNNNNNNNNNNNNNNNNNNNNNNNNNNNNNNNNNNNNNNNNNNNNNNNNNNNNNNNNNNNNNNNNNNNNNNNNNNNNNNNNNNNNNNNNNNNNNNNNNNNNNNNNNNNNNNNNNNNNNNNNNNNNNNNNNNNNNNNNNNNNNNNNNNNNNNNNNNNNNNNNNNNNNNNNNNNNNNNNNNNNNNNNNNNNNNNNNNNNNNNNNNNNNNNNNNNNNNNNNNNNNNNNNNNNNNNNNNNNNNNNNNNNNNNNNNNNNNNNNNNNNNNNNNNNNNNNNNNNNNNNNNNNNNNNNNNNNNNNNNNNNNNNNNNNNNNNNNNNNNNNNNNNNNNNNNNNNNNNNNNNNNNNNNNNNNNNNNNNNNNNNNNNNNNNNNNNNNNNNNNNNNNNNNNNNNNNNNNNNNNNNNNNNNNNNNNNNNNNNNNNNNNNNNNNNNNNNNNNNNNNNNNNNNNNNNNNNNNNNNNNNNNNNNNNNNNNNNNNNNNNNNNNNNNNNNNNNNNNNNNNNNNNNNNNNNNNNNNNNNNNNNNNNNNNNNNNNNNNNNNNNNNNNNNNNNNNNNNNNNNNNNNNNNNNNNNNNNNNNNNNNNNNNNNNNNNNNNNNNNNNNNNNNNNNNNNNNNNNNNNNNNNNNNNNNNNNNNNNNNNNNNNNNNNNNNNNNNNNNNNNNNNNNNNNNNNNNNNNNNNNNNNNNNNNNNNNNNNNNNNNNNNNNNNNNNNNNNNNNNNNNNNNNNNNNNNNNNNNNNNNNNNNNNNNNNNNNNNNNNNNNNNNNNNNNNNNNNNNNNNNNNNNNNNNNNNNNNNNNNNNNNNNNNNNNNNNNNNNNNNNNNNNNNNNNNNNNNNNNNNNNNNNNNNNNNNNNNNNNNNNNNNNNNNNNNNNNNNNNNNNNNNNNNNNNNNNNNNNNNNNNNNNNNNNNNNNNNNNNNNNNNNNNNNNNNNNNNNNNNNNNNNNNNNNNNNNNNNNNNNNNNNNNNNNNNNNNNNNNNNNNNNNNNNNNNNNNNNNNNNNNNNNNNNNNNNNNNNNNNNNNNNNNNNNNNNNNNNNNNNNNNNNNNNNNNNNNNNNNNNNNNNNNNNNNNNNNNNNNNNNNNNNNNNNNNNNNNNNNNNNNNNNNNNNNNNNNNNNNNNNNNNNNNNNNNNNNNNNNNNNNNNNNNNNNNNNNNNNNNNNNNNNNNNNNNNNNNNNNNNNNNNNNNNNNNNNNNNNNNNNNNNNNNNNNNNNNNNNNNNNNNNNNNNNNNNNNNNNNNNNNNNNNNNNNNNNNNNNNNNNNNNNNNNNNNNNNNNNNNNNNNNNNNNNNNNNNNNNNNNNNNNNNNNNNNNNNNNNNNNNNNNNNNNNNNNNNNNNNNNNNNNNNNNNNNNNNNNNNNNNNNNNNNNNNNNNNNNNNNNNNNNNNNNNNNNNNNNNNNNNNNNNNNNNNNNNNNNNNNNNNNNNNNNNNNNNNNNNNNNNNNNNNNNNNNNNNNNNNNNNNNNNNNNNNNNNNNNNNNNNNNNNNNNNNNNNNNNNNNNNNNNNNNNNNNNNNNNNNNNNNNNNNNNNNNNNNNNNNNNNNNNNNNNNNNNNNNNNNNNNNNNNNNNNNNNNNNNNNNNNNNNNNNNNNNNNNNNNNNNNNNNNNNNNNNNNNNNNNNNNNNNNNNNNNNNNNNNNNNNNNNNNNNNNNNNNNNNNNNNNNNNNNNNNNNNNNNNNNNNNNNNNNNNNNNNNNNNNNNNNNNNNNNNNNNNNNNNNNNNNNNNNNNNNNNNNNNNNNNNNNNNNNNNNNNNNNNNNNNNNNNNNNNNNNNNNNNNNNNNNNNNNNNNNNNNNNNNNNNNNNNNNNNNNNNNNNNNNNNNNNNNNNNNNNNNNNNNNNNNNNNNNNNNNNNNNNNNNNNNNNNNNNNNNNNNNNNNNNNNNNNNNNNNNNNNNNNNNNNNNNNNNNNNNNNNNNNNNNNNNNNNNNNNNNNNNNNNNNNNNNNNNNNNNNNNNNNNNNNNNNNNNNNNNNNNNNNNNNNNNNNNNNNNNNNNNNNNNNNNNNNNNNNNNNNNNNNNNNNNNNNNNNNNNNNNNNNNNNNNNNNNNNNNNNNNNNNNNNNNNNNNNNNNNNNNNNNNNNNNNNNNNNNNNNNNNNNNNNNNNNNNNNNNNNNNNNNNNNNNNNNNNNNNNNNNNNNNNNNNNNNNNNNNNNNNNNNNNNNNNNNNNNNNNNNNNNNNNNNNNNNNNNNNNNNNNNNNNNNNNNNNNNNNNNNNNNNNNNNNNNNNNNNNNNNNNNNNNNNNNNNNNNNNNNNNNNNNNNNNNNNNNNNNNNNNNNNNNNNNNNNNNNNNNNNNNNNNNNNNNNNNNNNNNNNNNNNNNNNNNNNNNNNNNNNNNNNNNNNNNNNNNNNNNNNNNNNNNNNNNNNNNNNNNNNNNNNNNNNNNNNNNNNNNNNNNNNNNNNNNNNNNNNNNNNNNNNNNNNNNNNNNNNNNNNNNNNNNNNNNNNNNNNNNNNNNNNNNNNNNNNNNNNNNNNNNNNNNNNNNNNNNNNNNNNNNNNNNNNNNNNNNNNNNNNNNNNNNNNNNNNNNNNNNNNNNNNNNNNNNNNNNNNNNNNNNNNNNNNNNNNNNNNNNNNNNNNNNNNNNNNNNNNNNNNNNNNNNNNNNNNNNNNNNNNNNNNNNNNNNNNNNNNNNNNNNNNNNNNNNNNNNNNNNNNNNNNNNNNNNNNNNNNNNNNNNNNNNNNNNNNNNNNNNNNNNNNNNNNNNNNNNNNNNNNNNNNNNNNNNNNNNNNNNNNNNNNNNNNNNNNNNNNNNNNNNNNNNNNNNNNNNNNNNNNNNNNNNNNNNNNNNNNNNNNNNNNNNNNNNNNNNNNNNNNNNNNNNNNNNNNNNNNNNNNNNNNNNNNNNNNNNNNNNNNNNNNNNNNNNNNNNNNNNNNNNNNNNNNNNNNNNNNNNNNNNNNNNNNNNNNNNNNNNNNNNNNNNNNNNNNNNNNNNNNNNNNNNNNNNNNNNNNNNNNNNNNNNNNNNNNNNNNNNNNNNNNNNNNNNNNNNNNNNNNNNNNNNNNNNNNNNNNNNNNNNNNNNNNNNNNNNNNNNNNNNNNNNNNNNNNNNNNNNNNNNNNNNNNNNNNNNNNNNNNNNNNNNNNNNNNNNNNNNNNNNNNNNNNNNNNNNNNNNNNNNNNNNNNNNNNNNNNNNNNNNNNNNNNNNNNNNNNNNNNNNNNNNNNNNNNNNNNNNNNNNNNNNNNNNNNNNNNNNNNNNNNNNNNNNNNNNNNNNNNNNNNNNNNNNNNNNNNNNNNNNNNNNNNNNNNNNNNNNNNNNNNNNNNNNNNNNNNNNNNNNNNNNNNNNNNNNNNNNNNNNNNNNNNNNNNNNNNNNNNNNNNNNNNNNNNNNNNNNNNNNNNNNNNNNNNNNNNNNNNNNNNNNNNNNNNNNNNNNNNNNNNNNNNNNNNNNNNNNNNNNNNNNNNNNNNNNNNNNNNNNNNNNNNNNNNNNNNNNNNNNNNNNNNNNNNNNNNNNNNNNNNNNNNNNNNNNNNNNNNNNNNNNNNNNNNNNNNNNNNNNNNNNNNNNNNNNNNNNNNNNNNNNNNNNNNNNNNNNNNNNNNNNNNNNNNNNNNNNNNNNNNNNNNNNNNNNNNNNNNNNNNNNNNNNNNNNNNNNNNNNNNNNNNNNNNNNNNNNNNNNNNNNNNNNNNNNNNNNNNNNNNNNNNNNNNNNNNNNNNNNNNNNNNNNNNNNNNNNNNNNNNNNNNNNNNNNNNNNNNNNNNNNNNNNNNNNNNNNNNNNNNNNNNNNNNNNNNNNNNNNNNNNNNNNNNNNNNNNNNNNNNNNNNNNNNNNNNNNNNNNNNNNNNNNNNNNNNNNNNNNNNNNNNNNNNNNNNNNNNNNNNNNNNNNNNNNNNNNNNNNNNNNNNNNNNNNNNNNNNNNNNNNNNNNNNNNNNNNNNNNNNNNNNNNNNNNNNNNNNNNNNNNNNNNNNNNNNNNNNNNNNNNNNNNNNNNNNNNNNNNNNNNNNNNNNNNNNNNNNNNNNNNNNNNNNNNNNNNNNNNNNNNNNNNNNNNNNNNNNNNNNNNNNNNNNNNNNNNNNNNNNNNNNNNNNNNNNNNNNNNNNNNNNNNNNNNNNNNNNNNNNNNNNNNNNNNNNNNNNNNNNNNNNNNNNNNNNNNNNNNNNNNNNNNNNNNNNNNNNNNNNNNNNNNNNNNNNNNNNNNNNNNNNNNNNNNNNNNNNNNNNNNNNNNNNNNNNNNNNNNNNNNNNNNNNNNNNNNNNNNNNNNNNNNNNNNNNNNNNNNNNNNNNNNNNNNNNNNNNNNNNNNNNNNNNNNNNNNNNNNNNNNNNNNNNNNNNNNNNNNNNNNNNNNNNNNNNNNNNNNNNNNNNNNNNNNNNNNNNNNNNNNNNNNNNNNNNNNNNNNNNNNNNNNNNNNNNNNNNNNNNNNNNNNNNNNNNNNNNNNNNNNNNNNNNNNNNNNNNNNNNNNNNNNNNNNNNNNNNNNNNNNNNNNNNNNNNNNNNNNNNNNNNNNNNNNNNNNNNNNNNNNNNNNNNNNNNNNNNNNNNNNNNNNNNNNNNNNNNNNNNNNNNNNNNNNNNNNNNNNNNNNNNNNNNNNNNNNNNNNNNNNNNNNNNNNNNNNNNNNNNNNNNNNNNNNNNNNNNNNNNNNNNNNNNNNNNNNNNNNNNNNNNNNNNNNNNNNNNNNNNNNNNNNNNNNNNNNNNNNNNNNNNNNNNNNNNNNNNNNNNNNNNNNNNNNNNNNNNNNNNNNNNNNNNNNNNNNNNNNNNNNNNNNNNNNNNNNNNNNNNNNNNNNNNNNNNNNNNNNNNNNNNNNNNNNNNNNNNNNNNNNNNNNNNNNNNNNNNNNNNNNNNNNNNNNNNNNNNNNNNNNNNNNNNNNNNNNNNNNNNNNNNNNNNNNNNNNNNNNNNNNNNNNNNNNNNNNNNNNNNNNNNNNNNNNNNNNNNNNNNNNNNNNNNNNNNNNNNNNNNNNNNNNNNNNNNNNNNNNNNNNNNNNNNNNNNNNNNNNNNNNNNNNNNNNNNNNNNNNNNNNNNNNNNNNNNNNNNNNNNNNNNNNNNNNNNNNNNNNNNNNNNNNNNNNNNNNNNNNNNNNNNNNNNNNNNNNNNNNNNNNNNNNNNNNNNNNNNNNNNNNNNNNNNNNNNNNNNNNNNNNNNNNNNNNNNNNNNNNNNNNNNNNNNNNNNNNNNNNNNNNNNNNNNNNNNAAUUGGAGCCGAAACAGAGCAAAAACAGGGGAAAAACAGAGCUCUGCGAAAUUUCGCAGGGUGAAGGAAACUUCUGCGAAAUGUGAUUUUUGUUGCCAAACCACUCCGCAGCACUGUAGAAGCCUCUGCGAGUGUAUUUCGCAGCUGCGAAAGUGGAUUUGGCACACGAGUGCCACUUCGCAGUACAGUAGCACCUAUUUCGCAGCUGCGAAACCCAUUGCGAAAUGGAAAAGCAUGAUUUCGCACCAAAAGUCCCAUUCCGCAGGGCAUUUCGCAAUUGCGAAAGUGGUUUUGGCACACGAGUGCCACUUCGCAGCACAGUGACAUCAAUUUCGCAGCUGCGAAACUCACUGCGAAGUUGUUGCGAAAAUGGCAAGUUGCUGCGAAAUUGGCGUUUUGUUGCGAAACGUAAUCUGACCCCUGGGCUUACGUUUUUCCUAUUUAUACCGGUCAAAAGUGCUGCGAAAAGGGUUUCAAAAAUUAGAACGCCAUUCUCGCAGCCCCUUCGUCUUCUUCACCAAGCCACGCCGUCCGUUUCUCCGGUCGUCUUCUCCGCUUAGCAACGUCGGCCAAAGAUCGAUAUCUCCAAAAUGGCACGAACGCGAGGAGCAAAAUCUUCAUCUCCUUCGAACCGCAAAAGGAGUCUGCGAAAGGAGCCAAGUCCAGGCUCUGUUCCAGAACCUGCUCCACAGCCUUCGCCGUCGAGACCAAACCCUCCUCCAGUGAAGCCGGCGCCACCAAAGCCGCCGGCAAGGCGAUAUUUAACCAGGUCAGGUGGUCAGCCAUUGAAGAAGAAAACCAGGGUUGAGAGCUCUAAACCAAUAGAUUUGACUGAGCAAUCCCCUGAGAAAUCCCCAAAGCUAACACCGGUUCAAUCUCCGGUAUCUUCACCAAAUCCUUCACCGGUACAAAUUCCAGAACCGUCACCGGUUCCCUCGCCAAUUCUCUCACCAAAGGCAACUCCAAUUCCAUCGCCGGUACCAUCUCCGGCACCCCAAGAAAAAGCUCAGGAGCCUCAAGCGCCAAUUCCAGAGCCCCAAAUUGCAGCUGAAGCACCUCUGGAAGAAGUGAUCCGAAGGCCAAUGCUGCCCCAGCCCCCAAUCGAAGGAAACUUGGAUUGUCGAACUCGGGCAUUUCAUUCUGAGCUCUGCUUCGACUUAGCAGCAUUUAGAGUGAGGCCAGAGCUUGCCCAAUCAUUCCAGCUGCUGAGGAGAUAUCAUAUGGAGCAUCUGCUAGCUCCAAGGGAUUUUUUCUAUCCCCGGGUAGUCACGGAUUUCUACCAGACCAUGACAACCAAAGAAGUAAGAAAUCCAACUCUGAUUCAUUUUAUAAUUGAUGGAAGACAUGGUAUUUUGGGAGCAAGACAUAUUGCUGAAGCUCUGCAAAUUCCUUUUGAGCCAACCCAAUUCGACAAUUUUAAGGCUUGGGUAAAUCCAACUGAGCUAGAGAUGGUUAGCACCCUGUCCAGAGGAGCUGCCAAUCGGUCACACCUGCUGAGGGGGGAGCUACCUCCAGUGAUGUUUUUGAUUGAUGCCUUUUUGAGGCAUAAUAUCUAUCCCCUGCAGCAUUGGACCCAAAGAAGGGGAGUUCUCUUGGAAGCUCUAUACAAGAUGUCUGAAGGAUUCUUCUUUGGGCCUCAUCAUCUUAUCAUGGCAGCCCUUCUAUACUUUGAGGAGAAGGUUCACAAGAAGAAGCUUCAAAGAGCAGAUUGCAUUCCACUCCUCUUCCCACGGCUGCUAUGCCAAGUUUUGGAACAUCUCGGAUACCCCUCUGAGCCUCAGCAGGAAAGAAAGAGAAUAUGCCGUGAGCCAUUUACCCUUGAUAAAUGGAAUAAUAUGACGGCCUAUAAAAUUGAUCAGCCUGGGCAGCCUCAGCCAGCAGCAAGGAGAGCCUCCCCAAGACAUGCACCUGAAGGUAUAACACUUGCUACUCCUGCCAUCCCUCGAGCUCCACCAGCUGCACCUGCUCCAUCACAGCCAUCCACAUCAGCUGAGCCGAGGAUGGCCAUCCCUAUAUCCGAAUAUCGAGAGUUGUGCCGUGCAUUGGAGACUCUUACAGCUUCCCAGAGCAAUCUUGCUCAGGAGUUGGCAGCCAUCAAAGCAUGCCAGGAGCAGAUGUUAGCCUCUCAGGCUCAAUAAGCUGCCAUCCUAAGGCAGCUUCAAGUCCAUUUCGAUCUGCCACAAGCUGUAGAGCCCUCCACUGAGACUCCACCAGAACCACACUCUCAGCCUUCAGAGUCUCAAGCUCCAGAGCCCGAAGCCCCAGCUGAUCCACCUACUGAGGAGGCAGAUCCUUCUGCUUAGCACCAUCACCCCACUCAUCAGACAUUAUAUAUAUUUGCUAUUUAUGUUUUUAUGCAUGUUUGUUUUGUUUUAGUUGAAAUGAAAUCCCAGUAUUUUGGUAUUAUAUAUGGGAUUCCUUGUGUUACUUGUCUUUAGCAUUGUAAUCAAAUGAAUACAAAGUAAUACAAGUUGACUAUUUCUUGUUAAAAGUUAGCAUAAAGUUUCCUUAUUUCCUUUUCUCACAUAUUCUAUUCUUUUUGAAACAUGUGGUUUUCCCCAAUCAAUAUUCGAAUUUGAUAUCAGCAUGGAGGUACCACUUCCUCCCUUUUAUUACAGUCACUCAAAUCACAUUGAGGACAAUGCUCAGUUCGGUUGGGGGGUAUGAGGAAGGAAGUAUUCUAAACCUUUUUGGUAUUGCAAUUAUAUUGGUUAAUUAGUUGUAGUUUUUACUUUUUACUAGUGUUACUCUAUUCUCCAUGAAUUUUGAGGAAAAAUUUUCAAAUUAAACCAAGAGAAAUUGAACUGUUGUUUUUCACUUGACUUAGAGUAUGGAUUAUGCUUACUAAAGUGGUUCAAUUGUUAAACUUCUACUGAAAUUGAAUUGAGUUCUUCUACUUUAAGCUAUCCACACACUGUGCACAUUAGUUUCCGAUUAUAAGAUGAAAAGCUAUUUCCCUCUUGACUUAGGAUAAUUUUGAGACUUGGUAUAUUUGACCUCAUUUGAUAAAAAUUGAAACACCCUGCAAAAGGCCAAUGAGCCUUUGAAAUAAAGAAAGUUGUUUGCUUGCCUUGAAACCCGAGCAAGGUCUGAGGGGUAUAUGGUGAAAAUCUUUUAAGCCUGGUGCCCUAAGCCUUAAUUGGUUGGGAGACACCGACCUCAAUGCUCGUUACAAGGGUGAAUAGGUAGAGCUAGCAUAUGGUAGAUGCUUGGGUAUUAGAAAUUCAUUCUUAAAAGUCCGGGGAAAAAUCCGAGGAGUUAGUGGUUGAAAGAUCCUUAAAACUUGGUGCCCUAAACCUUAAUUGGUUGGGAGUCAUCGAUGGACCCCCAUUACAUGGACAAGUCAGAAAGAGUACCCCAUAAAGCUACCUUGAAAAAAAAAAAAAAAAAAAAUGGAUGAUGAAAGAGUGUUCUUUUCUUAUUGAUUUUGGUCAGUUUGCUAAAGUGUUGAAAAGACAUAGGUUGGGGGGUGAGACUAGUUUGGCAUAUUAUUCUCGGAAUCUAAGGAACCAAUACACAUAGAUUUUUGUGGAAGAUUGAAGUUUAGUUCUUAGAAAGUGAAAUGAUUUUAAAACUUCAGUUUGCAUAAUGCACUCCCUUGAUUGACAGUGCUUAGCAUAGUUUGUUAUGACUCUUGUUGAGAUUUGGGUUUGUAUUUCUUCAAUGCUUCAUGUGAGAGUUAGAUCAUCAUGCCACUUGAGAAUUGAUUUUGUUUAGCAUGAUGUUGUAAAUUUUAGAUUAGUUGCUAUUUAUUUUCUUUUUUCUCUCCUUUAUUGCUAAGGGACUAGCAAUAUGUCGGUUGGGGGGAGUGAUUACUACUCAAAAAGUGCUAUUUGAUAGCCUUUAAUUAAUCCUUUUUAACACUUUUGAGUAGUAGUUUAGGUCUUUUAACUCAAUUGGCAUGUUAAGGAUCCUUUAAAGCAAUUUUGAUCACUUUGUGCAAGUUUUGGUGUUUUUGUUAGUAUUUUGAUCACCAAAGCAAGUCAAGAAUGAGGAGAGCUAUGAGGAAUCAUGGGCAAAGCUUAGAAUUCAAUUGCCAAGAGUGAAUCCGGAUUGCAAGGAGAAAAAGCAAAGAGAAUCUGUCAUGGAGCAUAUUCUUGAUGACAGUCGUAGAAGCCACUUUUGGAGUACUUUCUGAAGUCCAAAUGAUGCAAGCUAUAUACCAUUUCAAAGCUCAGGAAGUCAAAAAUCCAAUGCUUCAUACGGUGCGCGAUUCGGAGUUGAAACGAAGAAGUUGUAGCCAUUACAAGUCAAUCACUCUAAAGUGUUGCGGAAUCAGCAUUUUGUUGUGAGAAUUUCGCAGCACUUUUGUACAGUAAGGUGUUUCUCCUUCUGACGAUGCACGAACCAUGCCGCGAGAAGGGAGCUGGAAACUUCAAGGUGGAAGCCAACUUCGCAGCCCUCUUGGGUGUCUGCGAAAUUUCGCAGGUACCACUUUUCUCCUGCGAAAUGGCUCCUGAAGCCUCCCGAAGCUUGCUACCGACAUUGGGAGAUAUUUUCCAUUAGAUUUUUGUUGUCUAAAUCCCAAAAUACUCCUUGUAAACCACCAAUUACAUGAUUCCUUAGUUUUUAAGUUAGUAAAAAGACCAAAUAUCUAUGUAAUAAUUAGUUUUAUAUUGCUUUGAUAUAAAUACCUCUCGGGAGCAUGUUCUCGAAGAGGAGUUCUUUCUGUAACCAUUUGGUAAGCAAGUAAAGUCUUUUCUUUCUACUGCCUUACCUUCUCACUUUGUAUUUUCAUUUUAUUUCUAAGUUAUGAAUUCUCUGAGGAGUUUUCCCCAGAGAAUGAGUAACUAAACCUCCAAUUCCUUGGAGCUAAGGUUGCCGGGGAAGGUUCCAAGUGCAAGAAUGCAAAGCUCUGUGGUUUUAGCUAGUAAUGAAGAGGAAGUGAAAUCCUUUAGUGAUUUCAAUGUUUUUAGUUAACUUAAAACACCUUGGAGUCACCUGGGCCAAUACUUGGUAAGGCAAGUGAUUUCCAACCGUGGAGAUGCACUAGUUUACCCCUUGCGAGCCUCUGGUAGGUGACUUCAAGGUAGGAUUUUCUGGAAUUACCAACACUUGGUAAGCUUUUGGACUCUUAGGAGGCAUCCAUUAGUUAUCUCUUGCGAGUUUGUGAAGGGGAAUCCAAGGUUAAAGAUCACCUUGAAUGGUAAGUGCUCGUGAGAGGCAUGAACCAUUGCAAGUUGCAUCAGUGAGAGAAUUAAAGUGAAAUCUAAUUGAAGGAGUCUCUGUACAUCACCGGUUAGAGAAUUGACUCUAAGUUGAAUCUCUAAUGCGAGGAAAUGAACCAUCUGACCGGAGCUAUGUAUUUUGCAUGAGGAACCACCCCAGUGAACCUAAAUCUCCAAGGAAUGCUUUUCUUCCUAAAUUAUUCCAAACUUCUGUUAAGUUAGUUAGUUUAAGUCUAAACCUUUACCAAUCAAACUUUGUGUUUUACUUCUUAAGCUAACCGUGAAAUGAAACAAGACCAAUUCACUUGGAAUUGGUAUCCUUGAUUGCUUGUUCAUCAUUCCCAGUGAACGAUCCUAGAGCCACUAUACUAUAGUAGCUUUGUAUUUGCUACCCUAGUGUAUGGUGUUAUAGGUAUAAAUUUUGUUGAUCACUUCCUCAAUCAAGGAGCACCAGCUGAACACAAAUCAGCUGAGACACCAAUUGGGCAUGAGUCAAUUAUUAUUUAUUUAUUACCGCAAAUUUUCAAUUUUUACGAUCCUAAGAAAUUUCCUACUAAAGACUAAUGUGGCACAAAAUUCAACUCGUUUGAUUGACCAAUAAAAUCUUUCAAAUUUCGUCAACCUAAAAUUGACACGUGUUCUCCAAUUACCUUUUUUUACUUUUCAACUACCGUUGAAUAGAAGAAUUUUCAAACUUGAAAUUCCAUGGCCUAAAAUACCCGGUCAUUAUAGUAGAAAAAAAGAAUGUGCCAUCAAAAGAAUCCUCAUUCUCUUGCGGGAGUUGGAAGAUAAUCUAGCUAAAACCGGUGUAUGAUGGAAGUGAUCAGAUGGAUCGUGGAGAACUGAUCCUUCUCUCUGCUACUCAAUGGAGGUCCAUCCUCUCUUUGUUUCUCUUUCUUUUUCCUUCCUUUAUAGCUUUCUCUCUCUUUCAACUCAUUCUCGGUUUCUUACCUCCCUAAACUCCCUCUGUGAACUUUUCUUUCUGUUUCUCUCUCAAAAUUUUCUGAUCUCUCUAUCAUAUUCCCUCUCUCAACCCUAACUGAAGCCUCUCAAAUUCUUUAGACAUGCCAUCCUUAUGCUACUCUCUGCCAACUACCAACAUAAAGAUCUUUCUUCUAUUUCUAACAUACUUCGGUUUCCCGAAUCACUCAGAAACUCUCUCCCAAAAUGAUCAUAAUGUGAUGUCCCAGGAAAAAAUGGUGAUCCUCUCCGAAUGUCUCAUGGUCAUUUUGAAUGCAUGUCUCUCUCUUACUCGGAGCGCAUGUGUGAUAGCCAUCCAGAAUGCACAUGCCUCUAACCUCCUAGAGUCUUCUGGAUUCCAUGAAUGAAGGUUUUCCUCUUCUGUGGUACACACUCGAAAAUCCAUGUGAGCAAUCUCAUAUAACAAUAACACUAUCAUCUUGUGCAAAUUGCAACAAAUUUUCCAUCUUGAGUGAAAGAAAUGCCCUUAGAUGCAUGCUUUGGCCAUUACACUUGUGUUCAUCCUAUGUUCACAGUAGGGUCUCUAUCUAUUUUUAAUAUCCCUUCAAACUAAGUCCCUGACCACUUUUGGGCCAUUGGUCUUUUAUAGAGACGACAAAGUAUGUAUUCUGAAAUGAGAGCCCACUCAAUGUGGCUUAUCUCAUCCAAGCACCAAAAAAAUUGCACAAAGAUAUCUUUUCCAAAUCCACAUGUCCCUAUCUCAUGACCUCACAAAAAAUAAACAUGUAGCACUUAUCAAAUCCCAAAAAAGAAAUAAACAAAAUGAAGUAAAUCCACAUGCAAAAAUAUAAAAUCCAAAUUACACACAUCUCAUACAAUACUAAAACUUAGUCUCAUGCAACCUAAAAGAAAAACUAAAAUAAACAAAAUCAUAUAGUAAGAGAAAACAAUGAAAUAUAUCUAUCAAAAAAAUUAAAAUUCAAACUUAUGAAAUCACACUAAAAAAACUUAAAACUUAAACAAAAAUCCUAAACUAAAAGUUAGAGGUUACUAAGAAAUCACACUAAGGAUCCCUUAAAAUCCCUCCAUGAUUUCUCUAAAGAAAGUUCAAAGACAAUAAUCAAACGAGUCAUAGUGGACCACCCAUGGAGACUCAAAAAUAGUUCAGGAGUGGACCCUAAAUGUAUAAUGAGCUAAUAUAUGCCAAUAGGACAAAAUGAAGGGUCUACGAACUCAACUCUCUUAAGCAUAGUAGAAAGCCUAUAAAUACCCCUAGUAGAGGUUAUGUUUUCAAGUCUUGUCAUUUCUCCUUGCAGUCUAAAGAGAGAACCCUAACCUUCGACCCCUAAGAUCUCCACCAUCUCAAUUCUAAGACUUAAGGAGGAGUUAUUGGGCGGAUGAUUAUGAGUUUAUGAGAUCUUCUGCAAAUUUGGAGCUUUCUAUAUCAAUAGGAAUUGUCGGGAACAUCCAUAUCAAAAGUAUGACACUUUUCUCUAGAUCUUUGAUAUGUUUUUGGUUUUAAAUGCCAAGUUUUUCGCUUUGCUUAAAUCUAGAGAAGUCUAGGAUAGGAUUACAUACACCCUAGCGAUCCAAGACUUGGGAAUAUAGUAAUCCAAGAUUUCCCAAUAGUUCAAUCUACCAAGAUAUGAACAAUAGCCUAACAACCAAAGUCAUCAAUCGAAAUAGGAAAAAUCAACCACAAUAGCGUCUCAAUAACUCCAACAAUGUUGGGAAAAAUACUUUAUGGACUUAGUCUAAAACUAGAACAUUUCACUUCACCAAUAACUUGAACAAAUGAGAAAAACAAACAUCAAGAAAAUUUAAACACUUUGUUAAGUCAAAAUUUUGAUACCGUUUUAAGCUUUAAUAAUUUGAUACAUCACCAAAUGCUUAGUUUAAAAAGAAUAGAAGCUAACCUAAUUUCAAACCUAUGUAUCCAAUGGCGACCUGUUUUUGUCCUUUUAUUUUUGUCCUUAUUUAUUAACGUAUCAAUUAAAAAUCACAUUUAAAUUUAUUAAGGAAAUAUACUUAAGCUAUUAUCUCUUAAAUUUUUCUUAAAAGAAAAAAAAAAAUCUUGGCCCAAACUUUAACUUUGCACGAUGUCCACUUGUCCCUUUGAGAAUGAAUUUGCUAUUGCUUGUCCCACGCAAGAAACAAUGCUUUUAGUUAAUUAAAAAUAAAAUUAGUCCAUACAUAUAGAUGAUCAUAAUACAUUUGGUGUUAUUACAAAGUGUUAAUUAGUUAUGCUUAAAUAAAAGAAUUGCUUUAAAUAAUUAGUUGCCUCCAACCACCAAAUUAUGCAUUUAGACAUAAGAUAAUUUUGCUAACUAACAUUUAAUAGUUUUACAACUUCUUUACUUAAAUCGUAAUGAUCCAAUUUUUUACCUAUUUGUUUUCAAUGAUCUUGUAAUUAUAGUUUUAUGUUUAGUGUAAAACUUUGUUCAUGAGUGGGAGUUGAUCAUUAAUUUCAAAGACAAACAGGCAUUGUAUGAAAUUUUUUUACAUAAAUCAUGAGAUCAAACAACUAAAUUGAAAGUUUUGAAGACAACUUAAUACCAAGGAUUUAUAAUAUUUUGGAAUUACAAUAAACUUAUUUUUAUAACAGAGUCAAAAAGAAAUUGAUAAAUUUUCUUGAUAACAUAGUUAAAUAAGUGGUUAGAAUAUUGUUGUCCACACAUAUAUAGAUUACAAUAAAAAUAUUUGUUAAUUUUAUAUUUAGAUAAUAGAUAUCAAACCACUUUGCAUAUUGGACGAUGACUCUUAUAGAAUUAAAUAUAAGACUUGUUAUACACUAUUUUGAAACAUAUAUAUAUUCAUUCAAGUCUUUACUUUUCCUUUUUGACUUGUUAUAAGGUUGGUUUUGUUUCCCAAAGAAUAAAAUAUUUGACCAUAUUUUAACAAGUUGAAUAAAAAAGUUAACAAAUUCUUUACAAGUCAAAAAGCUACAAGUAUUUUAUUAGAGUAGGUGGCAAUGCAAUUUAAACUAAUUCAAUAAAUUCUUUGCAAGUCAAAAAGCUGCAAGUAUUUUAAUCAAGUAGAUUAGAAUAAAAUUUAAACUAAUCAUAUAAAAACCUGAAUAUGAUUAGAAUAAAUUUUGUUUUUAUCUACUUUUUUCUUGUUUUUCAAGAGAAUUUAGCUCUAAUUUUCGCAUGAGUUGAUAACUAAAAAAAACAAAAACAACAAUAUAAAAGUGAAAUCAAUAUAAAAUAAAUCCUCAAAUUUCAAAAUUAUAAAACUAAAAUUCUACUAUAUUUAAAUACUAUUUUGACAUUAAAUUUCACUUUUUUUCAAUAAAAUUUUGCCUAAACAGAAAAAGUGAAUCUUUUUAUUUUUACUUAUAAAAAGUCAUUUAUUCUCUUUUGUCUUAUCAAUCGUCUACUUUAUUAUAAUGCUCAAUUCUAAUUUCUCAUACAAAAUUAAACUAAAUUUAUUUUCAAAAAUUUUAGAUAACUCUUGCUUCAAAAUCUAGUUAAACUACUUUAAUAAUAUAUAACUGAAUAAAAAAAUAUGAAUUUAUCAUAAAUUAACAAAGAUGUCAUUAAAAAAAAUGAAUAUGACUUGAAGAAGUUUUAUUUUUAUCCAUUUUUUUCUUUUGUUUCUUGUUAAGGUUGAAUUAGUAAAUCCAAAUUGAGAACAUUGGUUGACAAAACCAUGACCUUUCAAAGAUUGGGCUCCCACUAAAUUGUCGGGCCUCCAAGACAAGCCUUGACUAUCACACCAACCUGUCUAUGCUAGACCAAGCCUACCUUAAGUGUCGAUAAGGAAAUAAUAAGGAAUGUCUACCUGCUCAACCAAUGGGGAGAGAUGGUGGUCGUUUAUAUUAGGUUUUCCAUUGCAUCCGAUUAUUGAUCUGUGAAACUUCUUUGAAGGUUUAUUUUGGUAAACUAGUAACUGGUCUUGGUUUUUUUCCAUUUAAGUUAGACAAAAUUUUUGGAAAAACUCAAUAAAUGAGAUAAUGUUGAAAUUUUGAUAAAAUUUAUCAUUUAUAUUUAUUUGAUAAAAAAGUUAACAAAUAUUUGACCAUUUUUCACUAAUAUCAUGAAAGCUAAAAAUUAAUAAAAAAAAAUUAUUUUCAAAAAUAUGAUUUGGAAAACAUGUGAGUGUUCAUUACAAAUUUUUGAGACACUUUUUCAUAAGCAUAGAGCAAAAUAUUUGUCUUUGAAUGAAAUAACGGUUGAUAUUCUUCUCAAUCUUAAAGUACGUAGUUCUUUACAAAUGUGAUUAAUUUCACUUCUAAAGCUUGCAAUCAUACAAUUGAGUGUACAUAAAAUUAUAGAUAAAACUAUAUACAAAGAAUUACAAACAGAACUAUCACUAACGCCAUCUUCUUCUCAACCACAAUGAUUUAUCCACAUAACUGAAAUAGGUCUCACACCAAGAUUUCUUGAUUGUUAAAAUAAAAAAUGGAACAAAAAUGCCCACUACAAAUCCUAGCCCAAUACUCAAGUAAAACCAUUUAUCAAUGAAUCCAUCAUCAUUUUCAUCCUCAACGUUGCUUUGCACUUGCCCUUGAUCUAAAUCAUCACCUUGGCAUUUAGCAACAAGUGGACGUCCACAAAGACGAGGUUUCUAGCAAAGGUAGAUUCCCUAAAAGUUAUCAUUUGUCCCAUAAAGGGGAUCUUACCAGAGAAGUUGUUCGAUAGAUUCAAAUAGCUCAAAAAUUUUAAUGAAGAAAUGCUCAAAGGAAUGACAUUGUAGAGAUUGUUACAUGAUAAAUCAAAAGAUAAUAGCUCAUGUAACCUCAAGAUGUUUUGAGGAAUUAAGCCAUUAAUGUGGUUCCUUGACCAGUUGAAAAUCAUUAAACCAGAUAAUUUUGUCAUUUAUGUUGGAAACUCCCAACUAAAGUUAUUGCUGAAUAGAUCUAUGCUAACUGUGAGAGAAAGAAACUCUAUAUAUUCUAGCUCUUGGCCUUUUGCUUUUACGGUCAAACUAUCGUCAAAUGAUUUAUCUAUCAUAGAAAACUGGUAUAGAUAAGGCCUUAAAUAUUUCUUUUCAGCCAUUGCUUUAAGAUCACACAAAGUGGCUGGAAUGCUACCACUUAAAUUGUUUUCAACAAGGUCUAAAAUAUGUAAUGAACUUAAAUUUGAACGAUAAAAAAUAAUUCCUCCAGAAAAUGCAUUAGACCUCAAGUCAAGAAUUCUAAUGGUUGUGAAAGCAGCUCCAAUCCAUGUUAAAAUAUUACCCCAUAAUUUGUUGUAAUUGAGAUCAAGGGUUAAACUUGACAAGCUUUGGAAAGAUAAAGGAAGUUUUCCUGAAAGCUAUUUUUGCCUAGGUGAAUUGAUCAAAGCCAUUCUAACUAGCCAAAAGAUUUUGGAAUAGUCUUGGAUAAAUUGUUCUUUUCAAGUGUUAGAAAGUACAGGUAAGAGUAAUUACUUAUGAAUGAAGGAAUGCUUCCUAUUAAACUAUUCCUUGAAAGAUCAAGGAUUUCAAGAUGGCUCAUAUAUCCUAUAGACUUUGGGAUAAUUCCUGUUAUUUGAUUGCUUAAAAGAGAGUAUAGAAAAUUUGGGAUGGAUUCACCUAUAUUAGGUGGAAUAGGACCAGAAAAUCUAUUGUUGGAUAGAUCAAUAAUUGUCAAAGAGGUCAUAUUCAAUUGAUUUGGCAACUGACCUUGCAAUUGAUUGAAAGAAAUAACUAAAAUACCUAGUUGAGAAAAAAUAUUCUAGAACCAAUUGGUUAUUGAACCUAAGAUGCUAGCAUUUGACAACUCCAUAAUGGAGACCUCCUUUUGAAACUUGAGCCAAGUCGGAAAUGAAGGACUUAAAUUGCAUAAAUCCAUAUCGAAAGUAGAGAUUUGGAAUGGGAGGACCCAGGUGGCACUAACAUUCAGAACAAGACCUGAAUUUCCACUCAUGCACAACAUCUUCAACUUACUUAACUUUGCAAAAUGUUCUUCAGAAAGAACUCCAAUCAAGUGAUUCCAAGAAACAUAUAGGACAAUUAAUUCAAAAAAUUGUCCAAAGCUAACAGAGACACUCUCAUUUAGUUCAUUCCAUCCAAUCUCCAUAUACUCCAUGAUUACUACUCAAAAAGUGUUCUUUUAUAGCUUGAAAUUAAUUGUUUUAAACACUUUUAAGUAGUAGUUAAUACUUUUUAACUCAAUUGGCACAUUAAGGAACCUAGCAAGGGUUACUAAUCAGUUUUUGGCUAGUUUUGGUGUUUUUAGUAGCUUUUUUAUCAUUGAAACAAGCAAAGAAUGAGGGAGAAUUUUGUGCAAUCCAUGGCAAUGCAAGUUGAAGCUCAAAUACAUGAAGAAUCAGAGUUUUGGAGCACUUCAUAGCCCUUUGCCAAGCUUGGCAAUAGGUUGCCAAACCAAUCAGAGAUGCAAGGAAGAAAUCCAGAGGAAGAAAUCUAACAUGUAGAAAUUUCGCAUGUCUUUGCGAAAAUUUUGCAUAGCAUGUGAAAUCAAGAAGAGGAGCAGCUGUAGGACUGAGUGAAGGACAAUUUUGCAUACCUUGCGAAACCACAAGAUGCAGAAAAAAAUGAAUUUCGCAUGGUCUGCAAAAUCUUCUUGUGCACCGACUCCGUUAGAUUUUUAUCUCUAGAUUUUUUGUGUAAAUUACUAUUUUCUCCUUGUAAUGAACCAAUGAUAGGAUUUCUUGGUUAGGAACUAUAAAGGGGGAUUGGAAAGACCUCUCUAUAGAAUAUCUUUUUGUAUAAUAUUUUGGAUACAAAGGACACGAGUAAUUCCUGUAGGAAGAAAUAUAUAGAGCCCUUGCUCUACCUUUCCUUCUCAUUUUGUUUUCAUUUUUCUUUCUAGCCAAACAACCUCUGAGGAUGAUUUCUCAAGGGAUGAGUGGCUAAGUUUUAUGUUUCUCGGAGUAAUGGAAACUAGGUGAAGGACCCGGAUGCAAAGGUGGGAGUUUUCCUUGCUUUAAAUGAAGGUAGUUGUUAACCAUUAAUGGUUUUUAUUUCAAGGUUUAGCUUUAGAUCCCUUAGAAUCACCUUGAAUGGCCAAUACUUGGUAAGCUUUCCGGAUUUUAUGGAUUCUUAUUGCUAGAUCCAUGGAUGUCCAUUAGUUAUCAAGUACGAGCCAUUGGAAGGUGGUUCAAGGUGAGAAUCACCUUGAAUGGGCAAUACUUGGUAAGCUUUCCAGAUUCUAUGGAUGCUUAUUGCUAGAUCCUUGGAUGUUCAUUAGUUAUCAAGUACUAGCCAUUGGAAGGUGGUUCAAGGUGAGGGUCUUUAGUGUUUAAAGCCAUUAAUGGGAAGCAACUACCAUUUUUUAUGAACCCUUUGGAUCAAAUCUUAAUUGCUAAAUACAAAAACCGGUUUGGGAGAUAAUCAUUCUUUAUGUUAUUGUCCCUAAUGCAAGGAGAAGAUCCGGAAUCUCCCCAUUUGCUUAAAGAACCCAAUCCUAGUGACCUAAAGCUCUAAGAGACAUUCUCUUUGUAGUUAACUUCAAUUGCUAUUUUUGUUUAACUUAAAAUCAACUUUUUCAACCACAAUUCCAUUUUCUUUAAAAGCUAAUUUUCAUAAGGAAAAGCACCAUUUCAUUACCUUCACUAAAGUCAAUUGUACGAAGAAAACUCAUCCCUAUGGAUGAUCCUAAAGCCACUAUACUAUAGUAGCCAUGCUACCCUAGUGUAAGGUGAUUUAGGUUUUAUAAAUUUUGUUGUUAACACCCGUCUGGCGCAAGAAUCAAAUGGUGUCGUUGUUGGGGAUGAAUCAAAUGGCGCCGCUACCGGGGAUGGUGCCAAAGUACAUUGACAUUACUUUUGGUGAACACUUGUGAUCUUCAUCACAAGUUUGGUGAUUUUUCUUUUACUAAUUCUUUUUCUUUGUCUCUAUUUUAGCUUAUCUUUUAUUUAAUUUUUAGUUAACCUUAACCACUUCCUAGAAUUGUAUUUCUUUUGUUUUCUUUGUUUUUGUUUUAGUGAUCUCUAGUUGUGCAUGCCCUAUUGGAUAAGAGAUAUUGAGGGAAGACUUGUGAAGAUUGAAACUCCUCAAGAAACUGAGUUGGAAGUGUGCUUGAACAUCAUGGAUGUUCCAUCUGAAGACCAGAAUACCACUCCCACUGAGCAGCUAGUAAUUCGACCCCACAUUGUGCCACUCCUACCUACUUUCCAUGGGAUGGAAAGUGAGAAUCCCCACUCGUAUAUUAAGGAAUUCGAGGAGGUUUGUAAUACAUUCCAAAAAGGAGGAGGUUCAAUUGACUUGAUGAGGCUCAAGCUAUUUCCUUUCACCUUGAAGGAUAAGGCCAAGAUUUGGCUCAAUUCUCUAAGGUCAAGGAGUAUCCGAACUUGGACUGAUUUGCAAGCUGAGUUUCUCAAGAAGUUCUUCCCUACUCAUUAGACCAAUGGUUUGAAAAGGCAAAUUUCGAACUUCUCAGCUAAAGAGAAUGAGAAAUUCUAUGAGAGUUGGGAGAGGUACAUGGAAGUUAUUAAUGUUUUUCCUCACCAUGGCUUUGACACAUGGUUCUUAGUGAGCUAUUUUUACGAUGGUAUGUCUUAUUCAAUGACGCAACUCCUAGAAACUAUGUGUGGAGGAGACUUCAUGAGUAAGAAUCUGGAGGAAGCCAUGGACUUUUUGAGUUGUGUGGCUGAAGUUUCAAGAGGAUGGGAUGAACCAAAUGCUAGAGAGGUGGGAAGAAUGAAGUCUCAACCUAAUGCUAAGGGUGGAAUGUAUGUCUUGGAUGAAGACAUUGACAUGAAGGCAAAAAUUGCAGCUAUGGCAAGGAGAUUGGAAGAGCUAGAAAUGAAGAAGGUACAAGAAGUGCAAGCCAUUUCUGAGACAUCAGUGUAAGCUAUGCCUUAUUCCAUUUGUCAAUCUUAUGAGCACUUGGUGGAGGAAUGUCCUACCAUUCCAGUAGUGAGAGAGAUGUUUGGUGAUCAAGCAAAUGUUAUUGGUCAAUUCAAGCCUAAUAACAAUGCUUCAUAUGGAAACACCUACAAUUCAAAUUGGAGGAACCAUCCAAAUUUCUCUUGGAAACCAAAGCCACCUUAGUACACACAACCUGCUCAAGCACUUCAGCAAGCCUUGAAUCUUGAACAAACUAUUGUGAACCUUAGCAAGGUUGUGAGAGACUUUGUGGGAGAUCAGAAGUCCAUCAAUGCUCAACUGAAUCAGAGAAUUGACAAUGUGGAGAGUACAUUGAACAAAAUGAUGGAUGGGAUGAAAAAUGAUCUGUCUCAAAAGAUAGACAAUGUCCAAUACGCAAUCUCAAGGCUUACCAACCUCAACACAGUGCAAGAGAAAGGAAAGUUUCCUUCUCAACCUCAUCAAAAUCCCAAGGGUAUCCAUGAAGUGAAGGCUCAAGAGGGAGAAUCUUCAAAGGUGAGGGAAGUCAAAGCAGUUAUCACCUUGAGGAGUGGUAAAGAGGUUCAUCAACCCACAUCCAAGCCAAAGUAUGAUGAAGAGAGUGUAGCAGAAAAAGAAAAGAGUGAGAAAAUUAAAGGAAAGAGAAAAGGGAAAAGUACAAAGAAAGAUGACCAUGAUUCUAGUGUGGAUGAAGAACCCCGAGAGGAUAGUCAUCAAGGAAGAUAUGAUGAAGAAACACAUGCCUCCACCUUUCUCUCAAGCUUUGCAUGGCAAAAAGGGAACCAAUAAUGCAUCAUAAAAUUUUGAAGUGUUGAGGCAAGUGAAGGCUAAUAUCCCUUUGCUAGACAUGAUCAAACAAGUGCCGACAUAUGGAAAAUUCUUGAAGGACUUAUGCACUAUAAAGAGAGGGUUUAAUGUGAACAAGAAAGCCUUCUUGACUGAGUAAGUGAGUGCCAUCAUAUAGUGCAAAUCUUUAAUGAAGUACAAAGAUCCGGGCUGCCCUACCAUCUCAGUGAGUAUUGGAAGGACUUGUGUGGAGAAAGAUUUAUUGGACUUAGGAGCAAGUGUGAAUUUGUUACCCUACUCUGUCUACAAGCAGUUGGGACUUGGAGAGUUAAAGCCAACAUCCAUCACUCUAUCUCUGGCAGAUAGAUCAGUGAAGAUUCCAAGAGGGAUGAUCGAAAAUGUCUUGGUUCAAGUUGACAAAUUCUACUAUCCAAUGGAUUUUGUUGUUCUUGAUACGGAUCCGGUUUUCAAAUGAACUAAUUAUGUUCCUAUCAUACUUGGAAGACCAUUCCUAGUUACAUCAAAUGCAAUCAUCAAUUGUAGGAAUGGAGUCAUGCAACUCAUGUUUAGCAACAUGACAUUAGAGCUCAACAUCUUCCAUUUGUGCAAAAAGUAUAUCCAUCCGGAAAAAGAAGAAGGUCCAGAGGAAGUGUGCAUGAUUGACACUUUAGUGGAGGAGCAUUAUGAUCAGAGAAUGCAGGAGGAUUUGAUUGAGAGUCUUAGGGAUCUUGAUUAAGGGUUACCUGAACCCUCAGAUUUGCUUGCUACCCUGUCUCCUUGGAGAAAGAGAGAAGAAAUUCUACCCUUAUUCAAUGAGGAGGAGACACAAAGAGCUGCUAAGGAGGAGCCCCAAAAGCUUAUUCUUAAGCCACUACCCACAGAGUUGAAGUAUGCAUACUUGGAAGAAGACAAGCAGUGCCCUAUUGUUAUAUCUUCAGCUCUUACCAUUCAUCAAGAGGAUUGUCUACUUGAAGUCCUUAGAAGAUGUAAGAAGGCAAUAGAGUGGCAAAUUUCUGAUUUUGAAAGGGAUCAACCCUUUAGUUUGCACCCAUCAUAUUUACAUGGAGGAUGAAGUUAAGCCAGUUUGUCAACCUUAGAGAAGGUUGAACCCUCACAUGCAAGAGGUGGUGUGAGCUGAAGUUCUUAAGCAGCUUUAGGCCAGUAUUAUCUACCCCAUAUCAGAUAGCCCAUGGGUGAGUCCUACUCAAGUUGUGCCAAAGAAGUUUGGGAUCACGGUGGUGCAAAAUGAUAAGGGAGAAGAUGUCUCUACACGCCUCACCAUAGGUUGGAGGGUGUGUAUCGAUUAUAGGAGAUUGAAUGCAGUGACAAGGAAGGACCAUUUCCCGUUGCCCUUUAUUAAUCAGGUGCUUGAGAGGGUCUCUGGGCAUUCUUUUUAUUAUUUCUUGGAUGGCUACUCCAGGUACUUUCAGACAAAAUUCAUGUUGAAGACAAGGAGAAAACCACUUUCACGUGCCUAUUUGGCACCUAUGCAUAUAAGAGAAUGUCUUUCAGCUUAUGCAAUGCACCUGUAACUUUCCAAAGAUUCAUGUUAAGCAUUUUCAGUGAUAUGGAGUGUAUUAUGGAAGUCUUUAUGGAUGAUAUCACCAUAUAUGGAAGUGCAUUUGAUGAAUGCUUGGUCAACCUAGAAGUUGUUCUGAAUCGAUGCAUUGAGGAAGACUUAGUGCUUAACUGGGAGAAGUGUCAUUUCAUGGUACAACAAGGGAUUGUCCUUAGGCACAUCAUCUCUAAGCAAGGCAUUGAAGUUGACAAAGCAAAGAUUGAACUCAUUGUCAAGUUAUCAUCCCUAACAAAUGUCAAAGGAAUAAGGCAAUUCCUUGGCCAUGUCGGGUUCUAUAGGAGGUUUAUCAAGGAUUUCUCUAAGCUUGCAAGGCUUCUUUUUGAACUAUUGGUGAAAGAUGCCAAAUUCAUAUGGGAUGAUAGAUGUCAAAGGAGUGUGGACCCGCAUUUUUCACGUGCGUCCCCACUCGAUCGGCGAGACUUGCUUUUUAUUUGUGAAAAAUUAAUUUUAAAAAAAAGUUGGAGUCACCACCUAUUUUAUUUUUAUUUUAAAGGGAAAAUAAAACAAGAAAGAAAAACCCUAAAAAGUGACUCCAUAGUUUUGGAAAAAGCAUGUCUUUGAGAAACCUAAGUCUAGGUUUGGGGAUCAGGUUACUUAUUGGGAAGGUACCUCUAGGAGGUAGCACCCCUCUAAGCCCUAAAAGGUCUCUACUGACUAAGUUAAGGGAAGCAUGACAAUUAAAUGGUUGAUCAUGGAUACCUAAGUAGGCUAGGUGAUUUCAAAAAAAGUUGCAUGCUAAACAAGAUCAAAUCACAAUAAAGGAGAGUUAGGGUGCGUACCUGAACCGCUUCUCAAGCGCUAUCAUGAAACAUAAGAGAUUAGUUUGGAAAUACGACACAUUAUAUGUAUUUUAUCAAAGAUGAUUAAACAAACAUCAAAGCAAUCAAUCAUGCCAUCAAACAGGAUCAUAGCUCAUGAUAACGUACACAUUCAUAGAAUUUUAGAGUUUGUAGGGUGGGAAGAGCAUACCUGAUUAGUGAGCAUCCACACGUCUUAUGGGAACAAGGGCAUCUCAACAAUAAAUAUUAAUGAAUUCAAGUAUUUCGUCAAGCAGAAUCAAAAAUCAACAUAUCUAGCAAACAAUAGUGAUGAAAAUAUCAUGAAUGUCGGGCCCCCACCAAAGCCCUAAUUAAUUUCGCAUGAGUUGAUUCCAUAAAUUCCAUGACUUGGAAUUAUGAAGUUUUAUUCAUGCUUACUGAAAAUCAAGAAAAUCACGAAAAUAGUUAAAAAUCAAAGAAAACAGUGAAAGUGCAUACCCGAAGUAAAGUGGUAGCAAAUUGUGUGUUAAAAUUCGGAUUUUGUACCUAGAAGCUUCUAAAGAAGUUUAAAGAAAACUGGAGUUAUUUUGACAUAGAAUGGUUUUGAAAUCUGGAUUUAAGAUGUAUAAAAUCACAAAAAGAAGAAAAAAAACAAUAGAAGGAGUAUGAUGUGUGGUGAGGUGGCCAAACUGGAUUAGUGUCUAAGCUACUUUUGAGACUGAAUUACUUGGGUUGCCUGAGGAUGUUUCUGUAGAUUGCUGAAAUGGAAUUCUGCGUUCUUACAUCAGUGGUCGCUGUAUGCAAACUCAAUUCACUCAAAACAACUGUGGAGAAAUAAAUUUCACCGCCAUCUCUUCCUAAAGUUCCUGCCCACUGGCAUCACAACCCAAAUCAGAUUAGUGCACUCCAGUUGAUGUCUUCCAAUAUUUCUUCUAAUUCAGGUUCAGAGAAUGACAAGAAGUCAUUUGGAUUCACCACAUUGGAGAAAGUAGAACCAUUAUCAUCAUCCUAAAGAUGGCAGAAAAGAGGAAAUGCUGGCGGAAAAGCAAUUUCAGCUUAUCAUCUGAUCUGGAAACAUGCAUGAGCAAUUUCUCUUAUAUUAAUAUCUGAGUUCUAUUUCCGUUGUCAACUUGCUCACAAACAGUUUUCUUCAAUUGAGUACUUGCGUCCUGAUUGAUAUUCUGAUGUUCGGUUUCCCGAAUAAAUUUUCAUUCUUCUAGCAUAUCAAAUUGCCUAUGGUCAGAAAUUAACCUUCAGUCAAUAAGAUUCAGCAACUUCUUUGCAUGUGUGAAGGUAAAUGAGUAGUAGGCUAAGGACUUUCUGAUGGAUUCUGCAUUUCUGGAUUUUCGAGAGUGGCCGCCAAGAAGACACCAGGCUCCAUCAUUGAUGUUAUGGUUUCUGAGCCUUCUUCAGUCUACUCUCUAUGAGCAACAGAUACUUUCUGACUGCAAGUAUUAAUACUCAAGUGCCUGCUGCGAUUUUCUCCUGGAUCAUCAAAAAACAAUAUUGAGCCUAGUACAAUUUUCAGGACCUCAGCUUACAAUCCCUUAAAGAACCCUGACACCCUUUUUCUAUUCUAAAUAGCGUAAAGAACACUGUGUCCUGCUUUAUGGGAUUUCUAUGGAGUUUUGUUGGCUUCAUCAUCAUUUGAGUCUGCUGCUUGAAUCAUGACCUUACACCAGAUUGCUGACGAUACUCUUUGACAUCACACCUAACAUGAAAACCGAGAGGGCAGAAAGGGUUUCCGGGGAUGAGCCCUUCUCUGUUAUGUUUUGAUUCCUCUUCAGGCAUCUUUGCUUCGGCUGAUCAAAUACUGUAUACUUAAUUGCAGGGGUUCAUGGUCAGAAGAAGAGAAAUUCCAAGAUCAUCAAAGGCUUCACUCCAAGUUUAAGCUGUCAGGUUUUGUCAGAUUGUUUUGUUGUGGCAUGUUUGAGAUACUUUCAGCAAGCUUCCUGAAUGCAAUAGCAGCAGAGAACACCUCCAAGGCUUGUCAGAUGAUGGAUUAUCAGUACAACUAUACACCAUGUUCGGGAUACCUGUAAGCUAUGAUACCUAUCCAUAGGCAAUUGGGUAAUUCAAGAUUUUCAUCAAUGAGUAUAGCUGGAAGUGGGGCAGCUUCUGGUCUCGAGAAACUCCUCCAAAGGGGUUCAGAUUCUUAUAAUUGCUUGUUCUUUUCACUAGCUGUUAGGUAAGCGCCUCCGGCUUCCUGUAAACUCAACCUUCACACUUGGCAGCUCAGGAAUUAGCAUUUCCAGCCGAAACGCCAACUUUAUCGAUAUGUAAUCGAACCAAGAGAAAUCACUUCUCUCACAGCAAAAGGCUUAACUACAAAUUCAGAAAACAGGAUCGUUUCCGGUGUCAAAUAAGACUUCUCGGGAGUCAUAAUAGAGGAGAGAAAUAUGGUGAUUCGAGUUUCAACUUAUUCAACUCCUAUUGGACGGAUUUGGGGACAGGUCUUUCUGAUAAUUUGUGGAUCUCAGUAGCAAGAAAACUAGAGUGCUAGCAUGAAGAGUAUGACCAUCACCUGCGUUGGGGAUUUCUAAACCAGAAUUCACCAUCUCACAAUUAUUGGACUCAUCAUCCAUUCCUGAAGAUAUAUCAGAAUUCCUAGGCUCAAAUGGUGAACUGUACAGAUUUGCAAGUAUUUCAAGACUGCCUAGGCAUUGCCAAUCACUAUGCAAGUCUGUAGACAAAGUGACCAAUUCUGGCAUUCUUUCCACCUGUCCACUGGAAGUGCCAAUUCUAUCACUGAUUUUUGUACCAUCAUGCACAUUUGAUAUCUCAUUUGGCACAAGUGACUGAAUUGACAUAGGUUCACGUGCCUCUAAACACUCACCUACUUCUUAAAAAAAUUCUGGGGGUUCCUCUAGAAAAUGGACUAUGCACGUACGUGUGUUCUGUGAAAAUCAAAACUGUGCGUGGACUUCUUCAUGCGGCUGUGAAGACUUCCCGAAGUGGCGUGUUUCUGUUAGUGCGUGGUCCCCAUGGGAGUGCAGGCUGCCCCUCAAUCCGUGCUCUUGGAUUUCAAGUGUCCAUCCAAAGUGGCAACAUGAGAUGUUUGUUUCUCUUCCCAUUGUUUUCUGAGCAGGUUCUCAAACCUUUGGUGUCAUAUCCCAAGCUUCAUCCCAUCCAAGUCCUUCAUCAUUCAUCAGUAAUCGCGUCAAUUCUGGGAUUGCAAGGGUAGGAUGCGUAUCAUUCGAAUGUACUGCUAUCUUGUUGGGAAAUUCAGACCAUUGCCAUGAGUCCUCGUCUUUCCUCUCCAUGAAUCUGAAAAUAAUGUCUUGAAGUGGAGCAUUGCAUAGGAAAAAAUGUUGCUUUAGUCGCGAGAGCUUUCCAAUUUCGGUGUAGAGAAGUCAGCUGCAUCUUCCCAAUCAUCUGGCUUGGCCUUAGGCUGAUCAUCUUUAUCGCUUCCUAUAACAUCUUCUUGACCAGCAUCGGCACUGACCCGUUUUUCAUUACCAAUAGAAGUAUUUUCUGAAGAGAUGAUUAGUUUCCUUCCUCUCCUCUGGACCCUUAUAUGCCAUGUAAAGAUUAGAGGUUGUCUCAGCAGCGUCAGCUUUCUGAAGAAUUUCCUUCCUCGAGAUGCGAUCAAGACUAUUCUUGAUGUCAGCCAGCAGUUUUCCCUUAAGAAUUCUACACAUUUCAACUUGUUGUCUGGUCUUAAAAUUGUGUUCCCUCGAGCCUGCUAUAACAUUGAUCCGCAUGGCCAAUGGUGAAGCAAACCGUUUUCUGCAUUCAGUCCCAUCACUGUUUCUAAUAAAAUUCCCAUGUGACAAAGAUCUAGCAUAGACACAGCACCAUCCUUUACAACUAGCUCAGACCAGAUAUCCUCAAGCCAUGACUGAAUCAACCUUGUACAUCGUAAAAGCUAGGACUUCAUGCAAUGGAAAUCAUGGGCUAUAACCAUGAAAACUUCAUUGAAGGCGGUAUGAUCCUCUGCAACAAUAUGCUCUAUUUCCAGAACCAUGCUUCUUGUUUCUGUCAAAUCUGAAGCAACCUGCCUUUCAAGGUUUUCAUAUUGCUAAUUCUUCAAAUCGUUGGAGGGUUGCAAGCUUUGUACCCCACUAAUUAAACUACCCCUCUCUUUCUUCAACCUUUCUAUCUCAAGCUUCAUUAUUUCAUUUGUUAUCAUUAGUCCAUUGAUCAUAAUAUCUGCUUCUUUCGUUGUGUCUUUUGCCUCUUCAAAUGUAGAAAGAAAAACAGGGAGCCUCUGCAAUUUUCUGAGCUGCAACUAUCUUUGCAUCACCAUCUUGAGUCUAGAUUGUUCUUAGCCUUUCUCCGUUUGUGAUCAAAUAUUGUGUCUUCAGUCAUGAUUUGGGAUGUGCUCUCUAUUCGUUCAGGAAGAUCAGCUCUGUCGUCCAUGAAGUUCGUGAUGGCUACUAGUUGCAGAUUGGUAUCUUGUAGUUGGAUUUUUGCUGAUACCAGGUCCUUUCAGUUCAGCCUCUCUAGAAUAUAAAAAAUGGACUGACCAGGGUCCGUCUUGGAAUUUUUCUACUCUCUGCCUCUUCCAGAACCUCUGUGACAUGGAAUUCAAGCUGCUGUUCAUGAGUGCACCUUCUUGUGAGAGUCAACGCCUAUUCAUUAUCUUCAGUUUCAAUAGCAGGUGAACCUUCUUCUUCCGUCUCUUCAGCGUGCUAAAAGUCUUCUAAAAAAAAAUCCCUUUUUUUGCUAUCUUUUUUCUUCUCCCUUCCCUCCAAAACCUUCCAAGGAGAGUCCCACUUUCCUUAAACUCCCAUGGUAAGUUUCCUUGCAAAAACAUGAAAUUUUAGAAGUUAAAUAAUUGCAUGAAUAGAUAAAUAAGUAAAUAAAUUAGAAAAUGGUAAAAAUAAUAAAUAAAUAAAUAAGUUAAGGAAAAUAAUAUAAAGAGGAAGAUAACCAAUAAGAAGUGAAUGAUGAUCAUAAAACUAAAACUAAAAAUAAAAAAAUAAUAAUAAAAAUAAACAAAUUAACAAAAAAAAUGGGCCCUACGAGCCAUGCAAACACGUAGGUCAUAUAAGUCACGCUAAAAAAAAAGUCUUAAUAGGCCUAGUGUGCCUAAAUGGGCCUAGGGUGUCUAAGUGGACCUAAGUAGAUUACCCUAAAAGCUAUCCUAAAAAUGAAUGAAAAGUCUAAGUCUAAAUUAAGGCUGCCAAGGGUCACAAUAAGGGGUCAGAUAAUCCCUCGACCAAAAUCUCCGAGGUGGCUCAAAAAAAGGUAAGUAGUAUGAGUAGCAAUGGGCUACCAAGGAACUACAGUGGAGCACUGAAAACAAAUUUAAAAAAACAUGUGCUAAAGGGACAAAAUUGAGGGUCUAUAAGGAGUUUUGAAGAAUUGAAGCUAUUUUUGAAAACAACACCAAUAGUGAGGGCUCCCAACUAGCAACUGUCUUUUGAGGUAAUGUGUGAUGCCAGUGACUUUACCAUAGGAGCUGUGCUUGGGAAAAGAGAAGAUAGAAAACCCUAUGUGAUCUACUACACGAGCAAGACAUUGAAUGAGGAGCAAACAAACUACAUAACCACCGAGAAAGAAUUGUUAGUUGUAGUUUUUGCCUUGGAUAAGUUUUGUGCUUACUUGGUGGGGUCCUUCAUUGUGGUUUUCACUGAUCACUCUACUUUGAAGUAUAUGUUGACUAAGCAAGAUGUUAAAGCAAGGCCGAUUAGAUGGAUCCUCUUGCAUCAAGAGUUCAAUCUCCAAAUCAAAGACAAGAAAAUAAUGGAAAAUGUGGUAGCAGACCACCAUUCAAGGCUAGCUAUCGCACAUAAUUCCCAUGGUUUGCCCAUCAAUGACGAUUUUCCAGAGGAGUCUCUCAUGUUGGUGGAAGUUGCUCCUUGGUAUACUCACAUUACUAACUACCUAGUCACAGGAGAAGUUCCAAGUGAGUGGAAAGCACAAGAUGAGAAACACUUCUUUGCUAAAAUUCAUGCCUACUAUUGGGAAGAGUCAUUUCUAUUCAAGUAUUGUGCGGAUCAAAUAAUAAGGAAGUGUGUUCCUGAAGAAGAGCAACAGGGGAUCCUCAGUCAUUGCCAUGAAAAUGCAUGUAGAGGCCACUUUGCUUCUCAAAAGACAGCCAUGAGGGUGUUGCAAUCGGGUUUCUAUUGGCCAUCACUUUUCAAAGAUGCCCACACCAUGUGCAAGAGUUGUGAUCGAUGCCAGAGGGUUGGGAAGUUGACACACAAGAACAUGAUGCCUUUGAACCCCAUUUUGAUAGUUGAUCUUUUUUAUGUUUGGGGCAUUGACUUCAUGGGAUCAUUCCCUAUGUCUUUUGGCUACUCUUACAUCUUGGUGGGAGUAGAUUAUAUUUCUAAGUGGGUUGAGGCAGUCCCAUGCAAGCACAAUGACCAUAGAGUGGUUCUCAAGGAGAACAUCUUCUCAAGAUUUGGGGUGCCCAAAGCCAUAAUUAGUGAUGGGGGUACUCAUUUUUGCAACAAGCCUUUUGAAACUCUCCUAGCCAAGUAUGGGGUGAAGCAUAAGGUAGCUACACCUUACCACCCUCAAACUAGUGGGCAAGUUGAGUUAGCAAACCAAGAGAUUAAAAACAUAUUGAUGAAGGUGGUGAACACGAAUAGAAAAGAUUGGUCUAUCAAGCUCCUUGAUUCACUAUGGGCAUAUAGAACAACUUACAAGACCAUUCUUGGGAUGUCUCCUUAUCGCCUAGUCUAUGGCAAAGCAUGUCAUCUCCCUGUGGAAUUGGAAUACAAGGCUUGGUGGGCAAUCAAGAAACUCAACAUGGAUUUGAGCAGAGCUGGGAUGAAGAGGUUCUUAGACCUCAAUGAGUUGGAGGAACUGAGAAAUGAUGCCUACAUCAAUUCAAAAAUUGCAAAAGAGAGAUUGAAGAGGUGGCAUGAUCAGUUGGUUUCUCGUAAAGAUUUUCAAAAGAGACAAAGAGUCUUGCUCUAUGACUCUAAGCUCCACAUCUUUCCGAGCAAGCUGAAAUCAAGGUGGAUAGGUUUUUUUACCAUUCACCAAGUGCAUUCAAAUGGAGUAGUGGAACUACUCAACUCCAACAAGACCAGUAGUUUCAAAGUGAAUGGCCACCAUCUCAAGCCCUUUGUGGAGCCUUUUUCUCGUGACAAGGAGGAAUUCAUCCUCCUUGAUCCACAUCAAGCUCGACAAGACCAGUUUUUGAAUGGACUUAGUCUUUCUAAACACUAUCAAGUCCAUAUCUUUUUGUUUUAUUUUUUAUUUGAGAGUUUUCUUGUAUUGUAACUUGUUUUGAUUCUGAUUUCUCAUUUAAUUUCAUUUUGGUUUGAUUUAACUUAGGUUUUUGAUGAUCAAUUUCAGGGGGGGACUUCAAAGCAGUUGGGCAUGUCCUUAAAGAUUCUUGGCAGAGGAAAAACCCUGAAGAAAAAAAUUCACCAAGGCAUUUCACACACCCUUGCGAAAAUUUCGCAGGGUAUGUGAAACCCUUCUCAAAUAGUAAGACUCCAUUUCACUCAAGAUGUACCACUUCCUCCCUUUAUUUUCAAUUGCUCUUGACACAUUGAUGGCAAUGUUGAUCUUGGUUGGGGGAAGAGUUGACGAAGGAAGUAUUGUUAAUAAUGCUAGGUUAAUUUGUUAAUUUAGUUACUUUUUACUUAAUUUUAAAAGUUUUUACUCUACUCUCCAUGGUUAUUAAGGAAAAAUUCUCAAAAUGAAAUGGGAGAAAUUGAGUUCUUCCCUUUUUACUUGAAUCUUAGAGUUUGUAUCAUGUUUAUUGAGGUUGAUGAAUUAUUGAAACUCCUAUUGAAUUCAACCUUAUUUCUUCCACUUUAAUCUUACCACACACUGUGCAUACUAGGUUCCAAUUAUAAGAAGAAAAAAAACUAUCUCACCCCCUGAACUUAGAAAAAUUUCAACUUGGUACCUUUGACCUCGUUUUAAUAGUGUUGGGACACCUUAUAAAAGGCCAAUGACCCUUAAAAAAAAAAUAAAACAACAAAGUGUUUCACUUGCCUUGAAACCCGAGCAAGGUCUGAGGGGUAUAUGGCUGAAGUCUUUAAAACCCGGUGCCCUAAGCCUUUAUUGGUUGGGAGUCACCGACCUCAAUGCUCGUUACAAGGGUGAAUAGGUGGAGUUUAACUUAUUGUAGGUGCUUGGGUAUUGAAUUUCAAUCUCAAAAAUCCAGGGUGAAAUAUGAGGAGGUAGUGGUCGAAAGAUCCUUAAAGCUUGAUGCCCUAAACCUUGAUUGGUUGGGAGUCAUCGAUGGAUCCCCGUUACAUGGACACUUUAGAAAACAAUACCUUUAGCAUUGCACUCCUACAAUGAAAAAAAAAUAUAUGAAAUAAAAUAGGUGCAUUCUUAGCCUAUUGGAGAUUGGUUAGUUUGCUAAGGUUUGAGAAAGAACUAGGUUGGUGGGAGAGAAUAGUUCGACAUACUAUAUCGGAAACUAAUAAGCUUAACACUUAGAUUUUUGUGGAAGAGUAAGGAUUGGACCUUUGGGAGUGGAAAUUCUUUUGAUGCUUGAAUUUUCAUAAUGUCUACUCUUUAUAAAUUGUGAUUAAGCAAGAUAUUUGAUGACUCUUGUUGAAGGUUGGGUUUUGCCUCUUUGAUGUUCCAUGAGAGAGUAUGAUCUGCAUCAUGCCACUUAAAUUUUUUUUGAAGUGAUUAGCAUGAUUUUGUAAAUUAUUUUACUAUCUAUUUUUCUUUAUCUCUCCUUCAUUGCUAAGGGACUAGCAAUGUGUCGGUUGGGGGGAGUGAUUACUACUCAAAAAGUGCUCUUUUAUAGCUUGAAAUUAACUGUUUUAAACACUUUUGAGUUGUAGUUAAUACUUUUUAACUCAAUUGGUACAUUAAGAAACCUAGCAAGGGUUACUAAUCAGUUUUUAACUAAUUUUGGUGCUUUUGGUAGCUUUUUUAUCAUUGAAACAAGCAAAGAAUGAGGGAGAAUUUUGUGCAAUCCAUGGAAUUGCAAGUUGAAGCUCAAAUACAUGAAGAAUUCGAGUUUUGGAGCACUUCAUAGCCCUUUGCCAAGCUUGGCAAUAGGUUUCCAAACCAAUCAGAAAUGCAAGGAAGAAAUCCAGAGGAAGAAAUCCAGCAUGUAGCAAUUUCUCAUGUCUAUGCGAAAUCAAGAGGAGGAGGAGCUGCAAGACUGAGUGAAGGAUAAUUUCGCACACUAUGCGAAAUUUCGCAUGGUCUGCGAAAUCUUCCUGUGCACCGACUCCGUUAGAUUUUUAUCUCCAAAUUUUUGUGUAAAUUACUAUUUUCUCCUUGUAAUAAACCAAUGAUAGGAUUUAUUGGUUAGGAACUAUAAAGGGGGGUUGGAAAGACCUCUCUAUAGAAUAUUUUUUUGUAUAAUCUUUUGGAUACAAACGACACGGGUAAUUCCCAUAGGAAGAAAUAUAAAGAGCCCUUGUUCUGCCUUUCCUUCUCAUUUUGUUUUCAUUUUUCUUUCUAGCCAAACAACCUCUGAGGAUGAUUUCUCAGGGGAUGAGUGGCUAAGAUUUACGUUUCUCGGAGUAAUGAAAACUAGGUAAAGGACCCGGAUGCAAAGGUAGGAGUUUUCCUUGCUUUAAAUGAAGGUAGUUGUUAACCAUUAAUGGUUUUUAUUUCAAGGUUUAGCUUUAAAUCCCUUAGAAUCACCUUAUAUGGCCAAUACUUGGUAAGCUUUUCGGAUUCUAUGGAUGCUUAUUGCUAGAUCCAUGGAUGUCCAUUAGUUAUCAAGUACGAGCCAUUGGAAGGUGGUUCAAAUAAAAUUUAAACUAAUUCAUAAGACCUUUGACCAUAGUGUAAUUGUCUUCUUAAAAUAAUAGUAGUAUUAUAAUUUUAAUAAAAUAAAUGGUUAACAACCCACAGCCAUGUUAGGUUGGCUGAAGAAGGUGUUUCUCUUUUUAGUCACUUGUUUAUGCUAUGGUGUUCAUGCCUCUUGCUCGUCAUAAUUUUAAUUUGAUGUAUUAAGUGUUAGGAAAGAAUCCGCAAUGGAUCAUACUAUCACAUCAAAGGAUAUCAAAUCCCUUAAUUCAAGCUUCUCCAAAUAUAUCUACAUAAAUUAUGAUUAUCAUGUAUAUAAGGAUAUAUACAUAAAUUGGAAUCUAUAUCUUAUGAUGCAUAUUUUUAUUCCAUCAAUUUCAUUGAAUCUUGUUAAACUCGGAAAUAUAACUGUUUGGAAGGAGGUAUGAAGUUUUCUAGGAAUUUACAUCAUCUUUUUAUGAAGUUGACUAAUUUAAAAGAACUUUAAACAAGGAAAAGUUUUUCGUGUGUCCAACGAUACAAUUUUACCCAAGUGGAGUUUUUAUGGAUGUCAAUUUUCUAGGGAAAUUGAUUAAUCAUGAAAAUUGACCUGCCAUGGUGAAAAUUAAUCCUUAGAUUUAAUGGAAAGUUACUAGUAUGUAUCCCGCAACUAGGAAUCUAGUCUAGUCCAAUCAAUAGAGUACUUAUGUUUGGUUAAGAAAAAAAUAAGGAAAAAAAUACUAAAGAAAGAAAAAGAAAAAAAUAUUAAAAUAUUUUUCUUUCUAUUUUCUUUUAAAAGGGUAGAGAAAGUACAUUCAUUGGAAAUUUAGUUUUUUUUUCCUUUGAAUUACAAUCAAAUAACAAAAUAAUUUUAUAUUCUUUUUUUUUCUAGUACCAAAAUAUAAGAAAAUCACCCUUUUAGAUUUUUUUUUUCCUAUAAAGUUCCAAGGAAUAAUAAAAAAAAUUUCAAUGUUCUCAUUGUAAAUCUAUGUUUAGUGUAAAAUUUUGUUUAUAAAUGAGGAUUCGUCAUCAAUUUAAUUGGAAGAUGAAAACAAAAUUAUAUGAGAAAUUGUUACACAAAUCAUGAGAUUGAACAAUUAAAUUGGGAAGUUCAUGUACAAUUACCUCAAUCCUUAGGUCUUGCAAGUCAAUAAGAAGGCUUCAUAAUAUUUGGAAUUUAAAUAAAUUUAUUCUCAUAAGAUAGUUAAAAAAUCAACAAAUUUUCUUGAUGAACACAUUCAAGUUAUUAGAAUAUUGUUGUACGUCCAUGCGUAGGUUACAAUAAAAACAUUUAAUAAUUUCAAAUUAAUGUCAAAUCACUUUGCAUAUUUCAUUAGUUUUAUAAAAUUAAAUAUAUGGCUUGUUAUACACCAUUUCAGACAACAUAGUCAUGAAAUCUCUGCUUUUCCUUUUUGAUUUGUUAUAAAGCUAGUUUGUUUCCUCAAGAAAAAUAUAUUUGAUCAAAUUUCAAAAAGAAAUAAAAAAUAAAAAAUAAAAGAUUGUGGAUCCGCAUUUUUUUGCAUGUGUUCUCAUUUGAUGGUAAUACUUACUUUUUAUUUGAAAAUUUGAUUUUUUUUUUUUUAAAUGGUUUUAGAAUUGCCAUUUAUUUUUAUUUAUUUUUAAAGGAAAAAUAAAAUAAAAAAGAAAAAUCUUAAGUAUGACUCAUGAUAAAAAAAAAAAUGUGGGUCUGUGAAAAUCGAAUUUGGGUCUGAGGUUAGAUUAUCUAUCAGGAAGUUACGGUAAUAAGUUGUAGCACCCCUUCUAAGCCCUAACAAUAAGUCUCUACUAAUCAAGUUGGGCAAGCAUGACAAUUGACUAAUCAAUUGAUGGAUAUCGAGGAAUGAAAGUCAUAGAAUGCAAGCAAAUCAAGCACAAGAAUGAAUAAAUAAGCAAGAUGGAGAUGGGAGCAUACUUGAGCGACGAACGAGCGUUCAUAUGGAAACAGGGUUAGUGUACAAGUAUAGAGUAAUCAUGUGUAUAUCACAAAGCAUAUCAAAGUCAAUCAAUAUUCAAUCACAGAUGUUGGGCCGCCCCGCUAAAACCCAAUUUAUCUGCAUGAAUUAAUUCUCUAAAAUUCCAUUAUUUUUGGAAUUAUAUAUAGAAUCUAUUCAUGCUUAUUAAAAAUCAAGAAAAUUGAAAAAUUAUUAAACAUCAAGGAAAUUUGUGAAAGAUGUUUGGCAGGGAGAAAAAUUGCAGCAAAUUUAUUAAAAUUGGGAUUUUAUUGCUUAAAAGAGUCUAAAGAUGAAUUUUUUAAACCUAGGUUUAUUUUAGUUGAAAACAGUUUUUAAAUUUCAAUUUAAAAACCUGUAAAUUCUCACCAAGAUAGGAGAAGCAUACCUAGAGGAAGGAAGGUGGUCAUGCAGUAGGAAAAAGAAGCACAAGUGGGAAUGGGAGUAGAAUGGUGCUGGUAAUGUUGAGGUUAAGAAGUGGACCCAGUGCAGCUUCAGAGAGAACAGGGACUCUUCCUUUUCCGUAUCUUCUUUGUCUUCCGCUGCGUUUUUGACUUCCACACCUUCAUACCCAAGCAACCCAUUGACAGAUUCUGUUCAAGGCAUUGCCGAACACCUUCCAAAAUUUGAGGUGCCCGCAAGUUCUGGUACCUCUGAGUCGCAUUCUCACUAGUAGCCACCAUGAGUCACUGGCACAGAAGUUUGAACUCUUUGGGUGGUGAUGUUGGGCACCAGAUUACUAACAGUGAGUUCCGUACUUCUAAAAUUAGUUUCCUUCUUCUGGUGCGUGCCAGUCACUGAGGUCACCUGCAACUGAUCCAGAUUUUAUUGAAAGUCCCACAUUGACUGCUUCUGCUUCGUCAACUUCAUGUUGAUGAUCUGCCGGAUUGCUUUCCUUUUGGUCUUAUAUUGCCAGAUUAAAUCCUGCACAAAGCUUAACCACGAGUCUUCCCACUCUCAAAUGUAAGCUCCAGAUCAUUCAGUAAGAAAGCGAGAUGUUCUUGAGAAUUAUGCUGAGCAAGUUUUCCCUUAAACACACGUGGUGCAUCUGGUGUCCAGUCAGAGGACCAUAAUUUCUUCAACAACUCAACAAAAGCAAGUGCAAGCUCACCAUUCACUCCCAAUGGAUUUUGUUUGUUGAUCUCUUCAGCAUAGUCUUGCAAGAAAUGCCCAACUACAGGAUCCCAUAUCUCAUCACUUGAAGCAAUAUUCUGACAGCAUGUAUCAAGGAUCACAUCUUCAUACCAACUGAAUUCAACAGAUUUCACAUUGGAAGCCCACAUUGUCUUCACCUCGUCAUAGAACUUGCUGAACGAGAGGUAGGAAGAACAAUAUUGCUCCAAUACACAGCUUGCGUGCUCCUUAAAUUCCCUAGGCUUGCAGAAGACGCUUGGGGAAUGCUGUUGAUAGCUUCACCUACCCAAUUUGCAUCCACAUCGUGUACAAGGACCACGACUGCUUAAGAUGAUAACACUGGUCUUAAAAGAUGAACCACGGACUUCCUGAACCUGGCUGCCCCACAGGCAACUUCAAUCCUUUAGCUUUCCUGCCCCGAUCCCGAACACCAAUCCUCCUAUACUGUUUGCACAAGCCUUAAGAGAUUCCGCCAUUUUUCCAUUUCAGAAACUUCUUGCUUUGCCACUUCAUUGGAAUUGUGACUUCUUUAAGCCCAUUCAGGACAUACAUUUAGCUGUUAGCAUUGGCCCGAUACCGGUAGUGGAAUUCUCAUACUCUUCCUCUUGUAACCGCUGCCACUCUCCUGUACUCGCUUAAUCUUGAGGAUGCAUAAACACAUCUAGGAACCCUUUGGAAAGAUGACUUCCUCAAGAGCAACUAAGCCUCCCUGAACAAUGAAGUGAAACUCAUGGUGACGAGUUCCAAGAUAACUGGCAAUCAAAAUGAGAACAAAUUGACUCACUGGCUCUUUGCUAUUUAAGUCAAUCAGAUCUUUCUAAGUUCUCAUUUUUAUUCAUUUCCUUGCUCUUCUUUUUGCGAUCAAACUCUCUAGCCUUCUGUUCAUUUCUAGCUCGGAAGUCCCAAGAUCCAUGAGAUUCUUCUGAUCAUCCUCUGUCCACUCAACAACCUUAUACCCAUAUUCAUCCCCUUCAUCUUCAUCUUCAUCUUCUGCUUCUUCUGCACUUUCCGCUUCCAACUUACUGCCACGACCAUCGAUAAACUUGUGACAGCGAUCAUCAAAAACCAUCACCCAAUUCAGAAACUAGUCUCUCAUCAAACCUCUGGACUUCUUCUGCAUCAUGCCCACUGAGAGAGAAACUGUCUUCUCCUUCCAGAUUAGAGCACUUUUCUACUUCUCAACACUCUUGAUGUCACUAACAACAACAAUUUAACGCAUGUUCGGAACAGCAAAACACCCAAAUAGAGGAUAUUUGGAGAAAGUCUUCACUGCCGUGGGUUUGAUGAGAAUCAUCUUAACAAAAUCAGAAUCACCAUCUUCCAAAAACUCGGGCUCCUUCUCAAGUUCCUGGCCAGAACACCUGUCAACCGGAACAUCCAAGUAUGGGACUUCUUUUCCCAAAGCCGAACUGAUUGUACUUCUGACAGAAAGUAUGACCAACUGUAUCAAGAAACAAACUACCAACUCCUCCAUGAAAAGAAACCAAGUCCACAGUCCACGGGAACAACAAUCCUCCUCGGGCUUAGAGAAAAUCUGUGGCUCUUCCUCAACUCAAAAUUCUAGGAAUCAAUUGCAGAAGAACAAGUGACUCCACAAUCAAGACCCCAGACCAGACCGUAUCGGCCAUGCAUGGCCAUGCAGAAGUGUACACGUGGAGGUAAUAAGGUGCUUAUAGGCAUUGAUGUUGAAGCUGUCCCAACCUCCAAUGACUUCCAUGGUUUAAUUUUUCAAUUCUUCCCAUCGUGAAUAGCAAGGAUUUUAGUGUCACUAAAAUGAACCACUUGUCGGAUUUUGGGUAUGGAAACAAAUGACUAGCCCAAAAGACCCAAACAAAAAAUAGAAGUAAUACAAAGAAAAACUUAUCGACUGAGGCAUGAUAAACACUGUUCUUGAAACAGAUCCACCAUCUUCGAAGACAAACUCAAUGCACUAGGGUACCAGUGGUCUACCUCUAGGAUUCAAUAGUCAAAUUCUGCAAGCGAGAUGUAUAUAGUUCGAGUUUUGAAAAAAUUCCUCCAGAUAGAUGUAUAAAAAGGCUCCUUGAAAAACUCUAAAAAUAUUGAUAUUCGUAUAUAGAGAGUGAGGGGUGGCCUGCUUUUAUAGGGCACUAACACAGUCCCAAUGGGACUCUACUUGUAAUGAGAACAUGACUCAAAAUGGAAGGAGAAUCUACUUAUAAGUGGAAUGGGACUCCACUAGCACAAUCCCAAUAGGACUCUUCCCAAAAAUGUAAGACUAAUAGAAUAAAAUAAAAUAAAAAUAAAAAUUAUGUACACUUUUCCUACAAUCCCCCAUAGAGUGUAAACGUAUUUAUUUAUUUAUUUAUUUAUUUAUUAUUAUUAUUAUUAUUUGAAGAAAAAAUAAUCCAAUGCAUCAGUACCGGUGCCCAAAGGCUAUGAACCAGUCUUAGGACAAAUAAGUAUUGAAUCACAAUACAUGGUGAAAAUAAACUUCUAUGAACUAGUGUUUCUUGAUGUAACUCAAGGGGCUUUUAUCCACAUUGGUUUUCUAAACUACACUACGAGUUAUACAAAACGGGUUGGCACAAAUAGACCAUGCGCCCUGCCUAGAUAUUCAUGAGAGCUCUAGAGAAUCUGCCUAGGUUCUCAUAGGAAGCAACCCCACCUCCACUCUCAUAUAGGUGAAUCCAUCAAGUAUGUUCCACAUUUAAACAUACCAUCCAUAAGAAAUAUGCUAUUCAUUAAGAGUAAACACUCAACCUUAAUCAAUACAGAAUACGCUCUAUCUACACCAUAGGGAUAGACUCUCAUACAAUUAGAGUUGAUAGAGCACCUCAAGUCAACAAGUGAUUUGUUAUUACCCAUAUGAACCUACUUCAUGGAAUUUCCAUUCUAAUAGGUUGGGUUACAACCACACUUGACUUCUGUAAUAAGCAUAAGCCCCAUCCCCCUUGAUGUUUCUUCUACUAGUUUUUUUUUUUUUUUUUUAAUUUAGUGGUUUGGUCAAAGGAUCAACUAAAUUCAACUCUGACCUCACAAAUUCUAGGAACAUAACCCCUGUUUCAAGCAAUUACUGCACAAUAUUGUGCCUUAGGAGUAUAUGCCUGUUCUUCCCAUUAAAUAUUUUACUCUUAGCCUUAGCAAUUGCAGCUUGGCUAUCACAAUGCAUAGACACAUACGGAGUUGGUCUCAUCCAUAAAGGGAUAUCUGCUAAGAGGUUUCUAAGUCACUCGGCCUUAAAACUUGCCUUUUCUAAGGCAAUAAACUCAGCCUCCAUAGUAGACCGAGUAAUGCAAUUUUGCUUGGCAGACUUCCAAGAAACUGCACUUCCACCAAGGAUGAAAACAUAUCCACUAGUAGAUUUCAUCUCAUCUGAAUCCAAAAUCCAAUGUGCAUCACUAAAUCCUUCAAGGACACUUGGAAAUCCACUAUAGCACAAACCAUAGUUAAUGGUGCCUCUUAAAUACUUAAGGACUCUAUGACCAGCAGUCCAAUAGUCCUGAUUAGGACUUUGGGUGUAUCGACUCAAUCUACCUACUGCAUAAGCAAUGUUAGGUUUGGUAUAGUUCAUUAAGUACAUUAGGCUCCCUAUGAUAUGAGCAAACUCUAUUUGGGUAACACUAUGUUCUCUUAUUUUCUUUAGUUGUGAGUUGGGAUCACAAGGAGUUGACACUGGUUUACAAUCAAAAUGUUCAAACUUCCUUAUAUUCUUUUCAACAUAGUGCUCUUGAGAAAGUUUAAGCUCAUUAGGUGUUCUAGUUAUUUUAAUUCCUAAAAUCACCUCUGCCUCUCUUAGGUCAUUCAUAUCAAACUUAGAAACUAAGAAUUUCUUGGUCUCACACACAACCUCUAGGCUAGUUCCAAAUAUCAACAUGUCAUCAACAUAAAGGCAGAUGACUACACAUGUGUUAUCCUCAUACUUGUUGUAGAUACACUUAUCAACAUUAUUAAUGGAAUAUCCAUUAGUUACUAACACAUGAUCAAACUUGUUGUGCCACUGUUUCAGAGCUUGUUUUAACCCAUAUAGUGAUUUAACCAACUUACACACCUUUUUCUUCUUCCUUGGAACUUUAAAACCCUUAGGUUGUUCCAUAUCAAUUUCCUCUUCCAAAUCCCCAUUCAAGAAUGCAGUCUUGACAUCCAUUUGGUAUAUCACCAAAUUAUGAAUGGAAGUUAGAGCAAUCACUAGUCUAAUUGAUGCUAUUCUAGUUAUAGGGGCAAAGGUGUCAUAGUAAUCUACACCAUUCCUUUGUUUAAAGCCUUUGGCAACUAAACGAGCUUUACACUUAUCUAUGGACCCAUCUUGUUUUAACUUUCUUUUAAAGAUCCACUUACACCCAAUAGUUUUUGCACCAGGAGGUAAAUCUACUAACUCCCAUGUAUAGUUAUACAUGAUUGAUUCGAUUUCACUAUUAAUGGCCUCCUUCCAGAAUGGUGUAUCAGGAGAAGUUAUAUCAUCUUUGUAGGAUCUAGGGUCCUCGUGUAUUAGGAAGGUGUAGAAACCAUCUCCAAGGUUUGUUUGUUUCCUAUCUCUUUUACUCCUUCUAGGUUCAAAUUCAGAAGGUUCAAUAGACUUGUCUCUACUUGUUUUCUGAACUUGUUGUUCACCAUUUAGUUUCAUAGGAAAGAUGUUUUCAAGGAAAUCUUCAUUCUUUGUUUCUAUUAUAGUAUUGACAUCUACAAGACUUUUUUCUGACUUAGUAAUAAAAAACCUAUAUGCCACACUAUUCAAAACAUAGCCAAUGAACAUUGCAUCAAAGGUUUUAGGAUAUAGUUUUCGUUUUUUAGGUUGAGGGAGAAGAACUUUAGCUAAACACCCUCACACUUUCAGGUAUGCUAUAUUAGGUGCAUAACGCUUCCACAACUCAUAAGGAGUUUUACCAGUUUUCUUAUAAGGUAUUCUAUUUUAAAUAUGACAUACGGAUAGGAUAGAUUUCCCCCCACAAGUUCAAGGGUGCUCUUGAACUUACCAACAUUGCAUUCAUCGUUUCUUUUAAGGUCUUAUUUUUCCUUUCUAUUACUCCAUUAGACUUAGGGGAAUAAAGAAGAGUAGUUUCGUGAAUGAUCCUAUGAUCUUCAAAAAAAGAAUUAAAGGGGUUGGACUCAUACUCUCCUCCCCUAUCAGUUCUAAGUCUUUUAAUUUUCUUACUUAGUUGAUUUUCCACUUCAUUUUUGUACUUGGUGAAAACAUCUCUUGCUUCCUCUUUGUUUCUCAAAAGAUAUACCCUUUUAUACCUUGAGUAGUUAUCUAUGAAAGUUAUGUAGAAUCAUUUACCACCUUUAGUGAUUGUAUUUUUUAGGUCUUCUAAGUCACUGUGUAUUAAACUUAGUAUAUCUGAUUCUUUUUCAACUGAUUUGCAAGAUUUCUUUGUGGUUUUAGAUUCUACACAAGAUUCACAUUUUCUAUGGUUUUCUAAGGACAAUUUAGGGAUUAAACUCAAUUCAACCAUUUUCUUCAUAUAUGAAAAGUUCAAAUGUCCUAGUCUACCAUGCCAAAUAUCACAAGAAUCAACUAUGUAAGUAGAAGAAGAAGAAGAUGCAUUAUUAUUGAUAAUAUAAAAAACAUUCAACAUAAAUAAACCCUGAUUACAAUAGCCCUUCCCCAUAAAUGCAUCAUUCUUAGUUAAAACUAUUUUAUCAGAGUCAAACAAGAUCCUUACUCCUUUUUUUUUUUUUUUUAAUAAUUGGGCUCUAGACCUUGUUUGAUGCAUUGGGCUUGGUCCUAAAGUUUUGGUUUCUGGACCUAUUGUUUUUAGGUUUGGGUUUUUCUUCUACUACAUUAGCCUUAGAAGACAAUUCCUUAGCUUUCUCAACAUUGUCCCUGUUUUGGUUUUGUUCCUCAAUCCUAAUAUGGAUUAUGACAUCCUCUAGGGACAUUUGUUACCUUUUAUGUUUCAAGUUAUUUUUAUAGUCUUUCCAAAACUCUUGAAGAGUCUCUACUAAAUAACCAGCCACAAAAGGUUCGGGUAAUUUAAUUUCUUCAAUAGCUAAGUCAUUAAUCAACAAGUGGUAGUCAUGGAUUUGAGAUGAUACAUCUUUAUCCUCGGUCAUUUGGAAAUUUCUAAAAUUCCCUAUGGCAUAUUUCUAAGUUCUUGCAUCUUCCAAAAUAUAUUUUUUAUUCAUUCCAUCCCAAAUUUCUUUUGCAACUUUAAAUUGACAAUAAAUAUAAAAAAGUUCAUUAGAAAGGGUACUUAGAAUAGCAUGCCUAACUUGUUUAUUUCUAGUUUCCCAGGUUGGCAACAAAUGAGAACCAUCUUCUGGUUUUGGGUCAAUCAAAAUGUGUCCCAAGUUCACUACAUCAAUUGCAGAGAAAACCCUUUCCUGCCAUCUAUUAAAGAAUGUCCUGUUAAAGGGAUCAAUUUUAGAGGUGUCAAGACGGGUGUGAACUAGGGAAGCUUCCAUUUGGAUAUAUUUCAAGAUUGUUGGAAUUUUGGGUAUGGAAACAAAUGACUAGCCCAAAAGACACAAACAAAUAACAUAAUUAAUAAGAAAAAAAACUUAUCGGCUGAGGCGUGACAAACACUAUCCUUGAAAUAGAUCUACCCUCCUCGAAAACAAACCCGGUGCACUAGGGUACAAGUGGUCUACCUCCAAGAUUCAACAACUAGAUCUUGCCUUGGGUGUACUCUAUAAGCAAGAUGUGUACAACUCAUGUUUUGAAAAAAUUUCUCCAGAUAGAUGUAUGAAAAGACUCUCUGAAAAACUCUCUGAAAAAUUCUUUGAAAAUAUUGGUAUUCGCAUAUAGAGAGUGAUGAUGGGUGACCUGCUUUUAUAGGCCACUAACACAGUCCCAAUGGAACUCUACUUGUAAUCAAAAUAUGGCUCAAUAUGGAAGGAGAAUCUACUUAUAAGUGGAAUGGGACUCCACUAGCACAAUCCCAAUAGGACUCUUCCCAAAAAUAUAUGACUAAUAGAAUAAAAUAAAAUAAAGUAAAAAUAAAAAUUAUUUACACUCUUCCUACAUCAUCCACAUCAGUCUUAAUGGAAGCUGAACAAAAUUCCAUAUUUGAUUUUGAUAAUGAGAAUUUAGAUUCUUCAAGGUUUUCAGAGUUGUAACUCUCUUCACCAGAAGCUUAUCGGUCAUAAAUAUCAAGCUUUUUCGGAAUUGAAGAAGACUUUUGGCUAAUGGGGCCAUAUCCCAAUUCUCUGUACUAGGCAUGGUCGCAACUGAUGCAUGAGAAAUCAGCACCAACAAAAUGGUGUAUAUUGCCUGAAUCCAUGCAAUUUAGAUGCUAACCACAUAAAUUUGUGGGACCUUAGGAUGCAUCCAGUCAUCACCUGAAAUCUUCAUUUUGCCCUACAUGAACAACUACCCUACACUAGCAGUACACGAGGAGUUAACAGAGCCAGUUGAGAUCACUGCAUGAUGUUCUAUCUCUGAAAUACCUCCACACGACAAGGAAGCCACUUUUCGUUCUACUUCUACUUGCCUGAAUUUUCCUUUAGAACUUCUGAUCUUUCUCAAGAGCGUUGUGGUAUAAAUCAGAAUUAGCAUUUUCCUUUCCUAAGGAACGUUGAUUUUCUACGAGCCGUGCCAGUAAGUCUUGUUAUAUUUAUAUAAAUAUAUAUAUAUAUAUAUAUAUAUAUAUAUAUAUAUAUAUAUAUAUAUAUUGUUGGUUAAAAAUAAAGUAUAAGAAGAGUUACACUUUUGAAAAAUAACUUUUGAAAAUAAAGUGUAAGAAGGGUUACACUUUUAAUGUGUGAAUAAACACAUGAUUAAGUUUUGAAAUGUUACAAAACUUGAAAGGUUAAGGAAGACAAUGAGUCUUCUCAUCUUUGUAACUUUAUAAAACUUAAGAGGUUAAGUGUAAGAGAGUUACACAUUUGAGAUUAAAUCAUGUUUAAUGUGUGAAUUAAACAUAUGAUUUAAUUUUUGAAUGUUACAAAGAUGAAGAGAUUAAGGAAGACAAUGGGUUUUUCUCAUCCUUGUAACCAUUUUUCAACCCUAAGAGUGCUAUAUAUGACUUUUCUUCUUUUUGAAAUCAUAUGCAAAAAAGUGAAAAGGCUUGAUCAAUCCCAAGACUAUUUCCAUUAGUUCCCUAAAGAUUUCUAGAGGUGGAAGGAAAUAGAGUUUUUGGACAAAGUUCCAAGAACUUGUUUGAGUCUUUCUUGUGUUCUUCUUCUUCUUGUUCUUAUUUUGUAACUUUGAGAGUUUUAUUGUAUCAAGGUGAGUGUUUGAGAGUGUUUAUUUUCUCCAUUGUAUCCAAAUUUUUUCUUAUCAAUCAAAGACUCUAAUUUUCAAUGGAAUGAGAGACUAUCAAGAUUAUGAACCAAGACCUUGUGAGGUUGGAUCGUUUUGAUGGUUCCAACUUCACUAGGUGGCAAGACAAGGUGAGAUUCCUUCUCACAGCACUCAAGAUUUUCUACAUCCUUGAUCCUACCUUGGCACCGUUACCGAAACCAAAGGAAAAUGACACACCUCAAGUGGUGGCAGCAAAGAAGAAGAGAGAGGAGGAUGAGCUCAUAUGUAGGGGUCACAUUUUGAACGCCUUAUCCGAUAGGCUAUAUGAUCUCUACACCAACACCUAUUCCGCGAGGGAGAUUUGGGAGGCUCUUGAAAACAAGUACAAAGCCGAGGAAGAAGGUACCAAAAAGUUUCUUAUUUCUCAAUACAUAGAUUUCAAAUUUUUUGAUGAAAAGCCUCUCUUACCACAAAUUCAUGAGUUGUAAGUAAUUGUGAAUAAGUUGAAAGUUCUCAAAAUUGAACUUCCGAAGGCCUUCCAAGUUGGUGCUAUUGUGGCUAAAUUACCAUCAAGUUGGAAAGGUUACCGGAAGAGGAUUCUCCACAAGAGUGAAGAUUACUCCUUGGAAGAGAUUCAAAAACAUCUUCGCAUUAAGGAAGAAUCGAGAUCAAGAGACAAAAUGGUGGAAGAGUCCAAUGGUGGGACUAACAAAGCCAAUGCGGUUUCAAAGGCCAAUCAUCUUAGAGGUAAAAAUAACAACGACAAAAGGAAUUCCGGAAAUUAUAUGAGCCCCAAGAAAAAUCAAGAGCAAUUUAAGGGCAAGAAAGGUCUUUGUUUUGUGUGUGGAAAACCCGGGCAUUAUGCUAGGGAGUGUAGGUACCGAAAUGACCUAAAAGGGGCUGUGGUGAAUGCAAUUGAUGAGGAGAUAAUUGCAACACUAAGCGAUGUGUGCGUUGUCCAAGGAAAGGUGCAAGGAUGGUGGUAUGAUACUUGUGCCACAGUUCAUGUUACCUAUGACAAAUCUCUUUUCAAGACCUUUGAAGAUGCAAAGGGAGAUCAAGAGGUUCAAAUGGGCAAUUAAGGAAGAUCCAAGGUGCUUGGCAAGGGCACUAUUGAAGUUGUUUUUACCUCCGACAAAAAGGUUACCCUUAUAAAUGUAUUGUAUGUCCCCGAUAUGAAUAAAAAUUUGCUUAGUGGGGAUUUGCUUGGCAAACCGGGUAUCAAAGCGGUGUUUGAAUCCGAUAAGCUAAUUUUAUCCAAAUCGGGGAACUUUGUGGGAAAGGGGUAUUCUUGUGAUGGGAUGAUCAAACUUUGUACCAAUGACAAUAUCAAUAAAAUGGCGUCUACUUCCGCUUAUAUGUGUGAUUCAAAUUCUUUAUUUUUGUGGCAUAAUAGGCUUGCACAUGUUGGUUUAAGCACUAUUAAAAGGAUUGUGAAAUGUGGUUUGAUUGCUUGUGAUACCAAGAAAUUUGAAAAGUGUGAAAUAUGUGUUAAAUCAAAGAUGAUUAAAAAGCCUUUUCAUAGUGUUGAGAGAUCAUCUAAUUUGCUUGAUUUAAUACAUAGUGAUCUUUGUGAACUUAAUGGCAUGUUAACAAGAGGUGGAAAUAGGUAUUUUCUUACAUUCAUAGAUGAUUGUUCUAGAUUUACCUAUAAGUUUUUGUUGAAAAACAAAAGUGAAACUUUCAAUGCCUUUAAAGUUUACAAAGCCGAAGUUGAAAAUCAACUAGAAAAAAAUAUUAAGGUGCUUAGAAGUGAUAGAGGUGGUGAAUAUUUCUCUAGUGAAUUCAAUUCUUUUUGUGAAGAAUAUGGCAGAAUACAUGAGUGCACCACACCCUAUACACCUCAACACAAUGGCAUAGCGGAGAGAAAGAAUAAAACAUUCUUGGAAAUGGUGAAAGCUAUGUUAUUGCAUGCUAAAUUGAAUUUCAAUUUGUGGGGUGAAGCUUUGUUGACUGCUUGCCAUAUUUUGAAUAGAAUUCCUAUGAAGAAAAAUGAGAUAUCUCCAUAUGAGUUAUGGAAAGGAAGGAAGCCUAAUAUAGGUUACUUCAAAGUGUGGGGGUGUCUUGCUUAUUGCAAGAAAAUGGAUCCAAAUAAAACAAAAUUGGGUCUAAGAGCCAUUAAGUGUGCAUUUGUAGGCUAUGCCUCAAAUAGCAAAGCUUAUAGACUAUUAGACUUGGAGUCUAAUGUGAUAAUUGAAUCAAGAGAGGUAGAGUUCUUUGAGAAUUUGUUGAGUGAUAGCAAUUCUCAAGUACCUACUAGUGUUGGAGAGUCUCUAGAGGAAACACCUUCAAAGGUUGUUGAGCAACCCAUUGUGCCUCGGAAAAGCCAAAGAGCUAGAAAAGAGAAAGUGUUGGGAUCGGAUGAGAUUGACUCUCAAAGAAUUUCCUUUUACUUAGUAGAGGAAAUAAAGAAGAUAUUAUAAGAAAAAUUCCUAUAGUACUUCAAAUAGAGGAGGAUCCCAAAACAUACAAAGAAGCUAUGGCUUCUAGAGAUGUUGCUUUUUGGAAAGAGGCUAUCAAUGAUGAAAUGGAUUCAAUUAUGUCCAACCAAACAUGGGAAUUGGUAGACCUUCCACUAGGAUCUAAACCAAUAGGGUGCAAGUGGGUAUUUCGAAGGAAAUAUCACACCGAUGGCAUGAUUCAAACCUUUAAGGCUAGAUUAGUAGCUAAGGGGCUUAAACAAAGAGAAUGUAUUGAUUAUUUUGAUACCUAUGCGCUGGUGGUUAGAACAACAUCGAUUAGGAUAUUGUUUGCUUUGGCAUCAAUUCAUAAUCUAUUUGUUCAUCAAAUGGAUGUCAAAACGGCAUUCUUGAAUGGGGAUCUCAAUGAGGAGGUCUACAUGGAACAACCGGAAGGUUUUGUUCUACUGGGGAAUGAAAACAAAGUGUGUAAGCUUGUCAAAUCAUUAUAUGGUUUAAAACAAGCUCCCAAAUAAUGGCACGAAAAAUUUGAUCAUGCUAUUCUUUCGGAUGGAUUUAGACACAACAAUGUGGACAAGUGCUUAUAUUCUAAGACUUGUGAUGACUAUAUGGUCAUAGUGUGUCUAUAUGUGGAUGACAUGUUAAUCUUGAGUGAUGACAUGAAAGGAAUAAUAGAAACGAAAAGGUUUCUAUCCUCAACCUUCAAGAUGAAAGAUCUUGGAGAAGUUGAUACUAUAUUGGGUAUCAAAGUGAAAAGAAAUAGUGGGGGUUAUGCUUUGAACCAAACCCACUAUAUUGAGAAAGUAGUUAGCAAAUUUAGUCAUCUCAAGAUUAAAGAUGCUAAUACUCCAUUUGAUUCAAGUAUAAAACUUGAACUACAUGAUGGUAGAUCGGUGGCUCAACUUGAGUAUGCAAGUGCAAUUGGAAGUCUUAUGUAUGCUGCUCAGUGUACCAGGGCUGACAUUUCAUUUGCAGUUAGCAAAAUAAGUAGGUUUAUUAGCAAUCCAAGCGUGGAACAUUGGAAAGCUAUUGGUAGAGUUCUUAGUUACCUAAAGAAUACCAAAGAACUAAGCCUCCAAUAUUCAAAGUUUCCUGCUAUACUUGAAGGGUAUUCAGAUGCAAGCUGGAUAUCGAGUGUGAGAGAUAAUUUAUCUACCACAGGUUGGGUGUUUACACUUGGUGGUGGGGCUGUCUCUUAGGGAUCCAAGAAACAGACUUGUAUAUCACACUCAACCAUGGAGGCAGAGUUUAUAGCUCUAGCUGCAACUGGAAAAGAAGCUGAGUGGCUUAGGGAUCUCAUGAUGGACAUCCCUUUUACUGCAAAUAAUGUGUCAACAGUGUCGAUACAAUAUUGUGACAGUCAAGCCACUCUAGCUCGUGCAUACAGUGGGGUGUACAAUGGGAAGUCUAGACAUAUAAGCAUUAGACAUGAGUAUGUGAGACAAUUGAUUCAAUAUGGAAUCAUCUCAAUCUUAUUUGUGAGGUCAAGUGGAAACUUGGCGGAUCCUUUUACUAAACCUCUUACAAUAGAUUUAGUAAGGAUAACAUCUAGAGGGAUGGGACUAAAACUCCUUAAAUAAAAUUCACCAAUGAUGGUAACCCAACUUAAUACUACGAAAUGACUAGUCUUAAGUUCAAUAGGUAAAAACAAGUCAUUGAUAAGUGGGUUGUGGCAGCAUUAGAACAUGUGAGUUCCAUCUGUGAUGAUUAAUGCUGGUUGUUACCGUUGGAGGGUUAAGCUUAAAGCUUUUAAUGAAAUUCAGUCUAUGUGUGACAAACAUCUUAAAGGUAACAAGGAUGCUGGAAGAAUUUCACCUAUGUGAACUUAGGGGUGGUGCCGCCUCUCAUGAGAGUUGGAGUUUUCUUUCAAGAAAGUUCAUGAAUGGAUUGAGCACAUGGCCAUAAAAGUGCUAAGCAAGAAAAUAAUGGGCACUCGUAUGGUUAGUGGAAGUGUGUGUUGUUACCGGUUUCGUUACAAGGAAUAAUUGGUUCAAUGCUACAAGCAACCUGGGAUUUUAACGGAGCUUUGUGACAAUUACACUAAGGUAAAAUUCAAAUCGAAAGAUAUUUUAUUUUAUGCAUUUUCACUGUUGAGGUUAUAAGGGUUGAUGUUUAAUUUUAACCAAGUGGGGGAUUGUUAUAUUUAUAUAAAUAUAUAUAUAUAUAUAUAUAUAUUGUUGGUUAAAAAUAAAGUGUAAGAAGAGUUACACUUUUGAAAAUAAAGUGUAAGAAGGGUUACACUUUUAAUGUGUGAAUAAACACAUGAUUAAGUUUUGAAAUGUUACAAAACUUGAAAGGUUAAGGAAGACAAUGAGUCUUCUCAUCCUUGUAACUUUAUAAAACUUAAGAGGUUAAGUGUAAGAGAGUUACACAUUUGAGAUUAAAUCAUGAUUAAUGUGUGAAUUAAACAUAUGAUUUAAUUUUUGAAUGUUACAAAGAUGAAGAGAUUGAGGAAGACAAUGGAUUUUUCUCAUCCUUGUAACCAUUUUUCAACCCUAAGAGUGCUAUAUAUGACUUUUCUUCUUUUUGAAAUCUUAUGCAGAAAAGUAAAAAGGUUUGAUCAAUCCCAAGACUAUUUCCAUUAGUUUCCUAAAGAUUUCUAGAGGUGGGAGGAAAUAGAGUCUUUGGACAAAGUUCCAAGAACUUGUUUGAGUCUUUCUAGUGUUCUUCUUCUUCUUGUUCUUAUUUUGUAACUUUGAGAGUUUUAUUGUAUCAAGGUGAGUGUUUGAGAGUGUUUCUUUUCUCCAUUGUAUCCAAAUUUUUUCUUAUCAAGUCUUGGCAAGUCAAGUUUGUUCUUCAUAUCAUGCUGAACCAAGAAAGCCUCAAGCUCCAAAUCUGAUUUAUCAUAACCAGAAAUCCCAUUAUAGUCCUUGGCGAUCUUACACUUCAAUUGUUCAUAAACGUCAGGCUUGAAGUAGGAACUGAAGAACCAGGCACCCCGGAUGCUAUCGAGCCACUUGGAGCAUCAAAAAUUCGGAAAGCCACCCCUGUCUCAUUAAGCUGCCUAUGAAGAUUAAGGGAAAUUUCUCCUCUUGAUCCGCAUAUCUAAAGAAUAAACCUGGAGGAGCAUUCAGAGCUUUCUUUUUAUCAAUCUUUUCACUAUUCCAGAGGUUUAAGACACCAUUUUCUAUAGAGCUUCCAAAGAUAGAAGCCUUGUCCACUUUCUUGAAUUUGAUUCCAAUCGAAAUGAGCAUUUUGGUCAAGUUCCCUUUCAGUAGUAGUCAUUUCAAUCUUCGAACUUCACAGCAAGAGGGCAAUCUGCCUCCUUGUAACACAACAUGUCGGUUGUCACAUCAAAUAAAAUGGUAGGACCAAUAAAGUUGCCUUAUUCACAUCUAGGAACCUCAAUAUUUCUUCCAUCAAGCACGUGUCUGGCACCACUCUCCAACUCAGCUUUCUGCGUUGCCUACUCCUGUAAGAAUUCCCACUCCAGACUCUGCAAGCAAAGCUUGAUGUUGUCAAACCACCAAGAAUAAGACCACCAUCAUGCAAUUUCCCCUUUCACUGACGAACCUUCCUCAUGUUCAAACAUCAGAGUCUGCAGCUAAGGAUCCACAUAAUAUAGUACUGGAGUUGCAACUCUCAGUAACACCCCAACCAAGAUGGCCAACCUAGCUGGGGUACUCAACACCCCAAACUUACCAGAAACAGAGGAAUAGAAAGCAGAGAUAGGGGCAGAGUAAAGACUGAGGAAAUGACAAAAAGGAAAUCAAGCAUAUGAUGAAUGUACUAAGCCUCAUUUCAUAUGACAUCCAUGGGCUAAGGACAGGUGGAAUUAUCAGAAAACAAUGGCAUGAUUUUCAGGUAAGCCCAUAUACAAGAUAUCCUCAAUCAUGACUAAGGAAACCCAUAUAGAGCUAAACCAAAGCAAACAUGCAGGCAAUCUCAAAUUUCUACAAAAAUAAUCAUAUGGCCCUUAAUGUCCAUACACAAACAACAAAUAAGGCCCAGAAAUCAUUAGAGAAUAGAGCAAAGAAACAAUGAGAAAAUGAAGAAAAUGGGACUCGAACUGAUCUUUACCAGAUAACCUCCCCCUCAAGCAAAAAUUUGCUUGGCUUCAAGCUGGCUCUCCUCUCCAAAAGGCUCCCUAAACAGCUUCCUCUCUUCUGCAGCUCUCUCACUCAGUUUUUUUUUUUUUUUUAUAUCUCCCGCUCAGCCAAAACCAUCCUUUGUUCUACUCCUAUUUCUUCUCUAGCACAAACCCACCAAAAAUCGAUUUCUCACUUCUCUCCCAUCUCAACAACCAAAACCCACCAGGAAAAUCAGAAUGCCCCUCCCCUCAGGUCACCAGCAGCUGCCAUCUUCUGCUGCAGCCUCUCUAAAAUGUCUAUCCUCUCCAAAAACUCCUGAGAAUCCCCUCUGCUUCCUCUCUUUCUUUUCUUUGUUCUCUUCUUGCUCUCCGGUUCCUCUCUUACUCUUAACUUUCUCCCUAAAUUCUUCUCUAACGAACCCAAGAAUCUCCCCCCCUCUGUCUUUCUCUGUGUUCUAAAACGUCCUCCACCUAGAAGGAUCCCCCAUACUCUCUACCUUACUACACUAUCAAUCAACCUCUUAGCAACUUUUCCCUGCUUCCACACUUUCUGUUUCCCCUCUAUAACUUACAUUGCCCUGCAACAAAGAAUGCCUUCCUAUCCUGCAGAAAAACAAAUCUCCACGUGGUCAGAAAGUGCUCCCCAAAAGUCGGGGAAAAAGACCCCCACAAAAGGCCAAAAAAACUGCCCUAGCUGCUAACAACUCUAAAGUCAUAAAAAUGUAAUUAAAAAAAUAAAUAAUGAUGCUCAUACCCGAAAUAAUGCUCUAAUGGUUUCUAAAAUAUAGUUCAAAGCCAAGCAAAUAUGGAGCACUAAAGAACAAUAAAAAAAAAAAAAAAAACCUCAGUAAAGAAAGUCCUAAAUACACAUAAGAAAAGAGUGGGGUGACAGAAAAAAUAUGUAUGUGUGCUAGGGACAAAAUAAACGAUUUACAAAAUAACCUGUGUCGAAUACAAACCCGAUUUAAUAUUUUUAUAAUAUUUAUAAUGUAUUUAUGUUAUAUUCAUUUUCUUUUUAUAUUUUUAAAAAAAUAUUAAAUUAUAUUAUUUCGUAUACUUUUCAUUUUUUUUGGAAAUAUAUGCAAUUUUUUUUUAUUACUAAAACUUUUUUUUAAAUUUACUAAUUAAAUUUUUAUAUAAAUAUAUAAUAAAAAUUCUUUAAAAACAUUAUAGAUGGAUUUUGAAUUAUGCAAUUGCAUCAACUUGUUUAUAUAUAUGAAUAUAAGGUAACAAACCAAUCAAAUAAAUCCUCUAAACAAUCACAAACCCCAAAGAAAAUCCAACAAAAAUAAAGAAGAAGAAAGAAAGAAACCUAGCUAAGUGUUGGAGACAAAGAAAAAAAAAUCAUAAGUAUAUUUCAAAUUAAAAGAAUUAUUAUUAUUAUUAUUAUUAUUAUUAUUUUGAAGAGAAUCGUAUUAUUUUUUAAUGGGAAGAGUUUUUCAUUUUUUUUAUUAUGAUUUUGAUAUAAAAAGGGAGAGUAAGGUUGAGUUUUUCAUUUUCUAAAAACAAAUUUUCUUUUAUUUUAUUUUAUUUAUUUUUUAAAAAAAUAAGCAUGAUUAAGAAAAAGAAAAUUAUUAAUCAUGGUUCUCAAUAUAAAAAGAAAAGCCAAAAGAAAAAAAAAGUUAAAAUCACAAUAAAAUGAAUAAUUUCUCAAAAAAAUAUUAAAUAUUAUCAAUUAUAUUAAUUAACUCUAUUUUAUAAGCUAGUUAAACUACCUUCAUGUAGUACAAUUUAAAUAAAAAAUGAAUUUACUAUAAAUUAAUAAAAUUAUCAUUCUCAAAAAUUUAAUAUGACUAAAAUAAAUUUUGUUUUUAUCUAUUUUUCUCUUUUUUUCAAGAAAAUUUAGAUCUAAAACUUUCCCAUGAAAUGAUAACUCAAAACCACACCAACAAUAUAAAAGUGAAAUCAAUAUAUAUAAAAUAAAUCCACAAAUUUCAAAAUCAUAAAACCAAAAUUCUAUCAUAUUUAACUCCUAUUUUGAACUUUAAUUUCAAGUUUUUUAAUAAAAUUUUACCUUAACAAAAUCAUGAAAUUUUAUUUAUUUAUUUUGACCUUAAUAAAAAAUUUAUUUUUUGCUCCUUUAUCUUUUCAAUCUUCAACUUUAUUAUAAUACUCAAAUCUAAUUUUAUACAAAAUUAAACUAAAUUUAUUUUUGAGAAUUUUAGAUCACUCUUGUAUCAAAAACUAGUUAAACUACAUUAAUAUCAUACAACUUGAAUAAAAAAACGAGUUUAUCAUAAAUUAACAAAGAUAUAAUAAAAAAAUGAAUAUAACUUAAAUAAAUUUUAUUUUUAUCAAUAUUUUUUUGGCAAAACCAUAACCUUUCGAUAGCCUACUUGUGCUGGACUAAGCCUAACUUUAUGUAGGGGUAAGGAGAUAAUAAGAAAAGCUUGUUGCUCAACCAAAAGGGAGAGAUUGUGCCGACUUAUAUUGUGUACUUCCAUUGUACUGGAUUAUUGGUCUUUGAAACUUCUUAGAAAGUUUAUUUUGGGUGUUUUUUUAGUCCUUUUUUUAGUGUAGGAUUAGUAAAAAAAAAAAUUGCUUUAAUUGAAUCUUUGUUGUGCUCUUAAUUCAUACAAGAGAAUGACAUCUUGUGGGAUGAGAAUUCUUUGAUCCCUAAAUUUUUUAUAUCACAAGCUGCCAACAAACAAAUUGCAUACACCAAUGUUUUAAAAAUGUGACCAGCCAAUCAAAUUAGUUGGCUCUACUCAGUCUGGAUUCGACUUGGUGAUUGGUAAAUUGGUAGAACCAACUGGGUUUGGAACUGGUCUAGAUAUUUUUCCAUUUAGGUUAGACAAAAAUUUUGGAAAAAAUCAAUAAAUAGAAAUGUUGAAAUUUUAAUAAAAGUUAUAAUUUAUAUUUAUGUUCAACUAUGUUUCAUUAUAAUAUAACUGGAAAAUGUAGUUGCAAACUAGAAGAAUAUAGUUGGAGGAAUGGUAUAUGCUCUAGUGGAUGGUGUCUCAAACUCAAUUCCCAUGGAUGGAGGAGUAAGAGUCAGAGACACAACAGAUGGAACUAGCACUAAAAUGGGUUAUGAAUCUUAUUGAGAAAUAACCAACCUCAUGAUAGACGAAGGAACAAAUGUGCUAGGAAGAAUUGGGGUUUUGUCCUUGAUAUUGUUCUCUAUAGGUUGAUGAGUUCUUCAGUCUAAUACAUGUAAUUUUCUCACUUCUGAAACUUCAUUUUUAGUUUUGAUCCAUUUUAGAGAAAAUAUGUGACACAAUCCAAAAUGGGGCUACAUUGUUUCUUAUUUUUGUCUGUUGUUAUCAUUUGUUGCCUUCAUAUGCUAGGAUGAUGUUUUUUAAUGAAAACUUCUAUGACCAAGUUGAAUUUGAUACUUGGUUGGAGCUUAUUUGUUUAAAUAUUCAUGUUUUGGUGGAUACAGGUCAUUGUAAUUGAGAAAAAAAUGCAUAUAAUGUAGAAGAUGGAUAAAAUUAAGUUAAAUACUUACAAAAAGUUAAGAUUAUAGGACUCUUCAAUUUAAUAAAAGUUUUGUUGUACUAAGGAUUACAGGCUAUGCAUUCAAUUUUGGGUAGAAGGAAAAUACCAUCCAAACAAGGCCUACAUAUAAUCCAAAGCAUUCCCAACCCCUAAAAGCUUAGAGAACGGAUUAGAUUAAAUAAGUUAGCUUAAAAGUGAUGCAAAAUAUGGGUAUGUUUUAUAAAAACACAUAUUUUCUUCUUGUUUUUAACCCUUCAAAAAGCUAUGAUUUGCUUAAUUUGAUUGGAAAAAAAAAUAUAGUAAUUUUUUUUCCCCAAUUAUAAAUUUUAGCUGUUUUUUGUCAAAAUUAACUUGAAUUCUAUAGACACCAAAAGAGGGAAAAAGGUCCCAGAUUUAGGUUAAUAAAGAAAUAUAGUUGGGACAAAUAAUUAAAAUAUCUUACAUUGGACAAUCAUCAUAUCCUAAUCAAAUUUUAUAAAAUAGUAGAAACAUAACUAAUAAUUAUAUUUUCAAAGAGAAUCUGAAAAUUUGAAAUUGGAAAUUUCUUCUAUUCAUUUUUAAUAUUUUUUAAGGGCUACUAUAAAUUUUAUCCACAAAGGGAUAAUGUACUCUUGUUUUAGUAGUAGUUAAACAAACUAUAACCUUUGAGAAUCACUAUUUAUCUUAAUAAAGGUCCUCUUUAUUUAAAAAAAAUUCUCUUUAAAUAAAUUAAAAGAGAAAUCUUGCCUUUUAUUGCAACUAUAAUGAAAUUCACUUCCAAAGAUUGUAAUUAUACAUAAAGCAUAUAAAGAUCUACAAACAAAAUUUAUCACCUUCGUAGGUGAUCUUUGGCAUAGGUUGCUCUUCCUCUCAACAACCAUUUGACAAUUUCAUCCACAAAAUCAAAGUAGGCCUCACACCAAGAUUUCCUUGUUACCAAAACAAAAUAUGGAACUAAAAUGCCCAUCACAAAUCCCAAGCCAACAUUCAAGUAAAACCAUUUAUCUAUAUAACCACUAUCAUUUUUGUCCUCAAUAGCACUUUGCUUUUUAUCUGGAUCUUAUUCCUGACAUUUUAUAACCAGUGGAGCUCCACAAAGAUCAGGGUUUCCAACAAAAGUCAACUCAGUGAAAGUUGUCAUUUGCCCUAUAAAGGGGAUCUUACUAGAAAAAUUAUUAUUUUAUAGAUUCAAAUAAUUCAAGAAUGUUAAUGAGGGCAUGCUUAAAGGAAUGUUACCAGAAAGCUUAUUAUUUGAUAAAUCAAGAAAGGAUAGUUGAUGCAACAUUGAAAUACUUUCCGAAAUUCGGCCAAUGAUGUGAUAUAUUCUCCGAGAAGUUUAGAGCCACCAAACCAAUUAAUUUUGUUAUUUCUUAGGGAAACUCUCCACUUAAAUUAUUGUGGGAUAGGUCUAUGCCUACAACAAGAGAAAGAGUCCUAGUGUAUUCAAGACUUUGGCCUUUCAUAAUCACAACCAAUCGUUCUUUGUACCAAGAGCUGCUCCCAUUGUCAUUGAAAGGAUAUAUAUUCAUGUUAUACUCCUAAGCCAUAGCUUUAAGCUCAACCAAAGUGACUGGAAUUUCACCCAUUAGAUUGUUUUGUGCAAGGUCUAAGACAUGUAGGGAGCUUAAAUUUGAAAACUGGGAGGGAAGUCUUCCAAAAAAUACAUUUGACCUCAAGUUGAGUAUUACAAGAUUUAUGAAAGCAGUUCCAAUCCAUGAAGGAACCUUACCCAAUAAUUGGUUAUAACUGAGAUCAAGGAGUUCCAAUCUUGAUAGAUUUUGGAAAAAUGAGGGGAACUUUCCUAAAAGCUUGUUGUCGUUCAAGUACAGUGAUUCGAGCCAUCGUAAUUGGCCCAACGACUUUGGUAUCAUCCCAGAUAAAUUGUUAUUUCCAAGGUCUAGUACAAUUAGGCUAGAGAAAUUAUGUAUGGUAUAAGGAAUGCUUCCAGUCAAAUUAUUCCUUGAAAAAUCAAUUACUUGAAGAGAGGUGAUGUGUUCUAUGGAAUCUGGGAUUGUCUCUGUUAUUUGAUUUUUUGAAAACAAAAGGUAAUGCCUGUCCAACAUAGAUUCACUCUUCUCGGUGGGACAGGGCCAGAAAAUUUAUUGUAGGAGAGAUCUAGUAAAUAGACCCCUUUGAUUGAAAAAGGAAUAGGUCCCUCAAAGAGAUUGUAACUGAAAUCAAUACAUGCACAAUCACCAGAAGGAAAUUUUAAUGAAUUUGGUAGCUAACCUUGUAAUAGAUUGUGAGAAAGAAUUAAGUACUGCAGAUUGAAAGAAAUAUUAAUUCCAAAACCACUUGGGUAUGGAACCUGAGAUGCUCGCAUUUGACAAAUCCAGAAAGGAAAUCUCCAUUUGAGACCUAAGCCAAGUCGAAAAUGAAGGUCCUAAAUUGCAUGAAGCCAUACUAAGAUCAGUGAUUUGGAAUGGGGGGAUCCAGGUGGAACUAACAUUCAAAACAAGACCUGAAUUUCCAUGUAUCAACAAUAUCUUCAGCUUACUUAACUUUGAAAAAUGUUCUUCAGAAAGAAUUCCAAUGAAGCCAUUCCAAGAAACAUCCAAGGCAACCAAUUCAGAAAGUUGUCCAAAACUAACUGGGAGACUCCCAUUCAAUUCAUUUGAUCCAAGCCAAAUCUCAUUCAGAUUUUUGAAUGUCCCAAAAGAAGCAGGGAUAGGGCCUUGAAGCUUGUUGUCGGAUAGAUGGAGAUGUGUAAGUUUUUCCAACUAACUAAACCGUUCUGGCAAUCUGCCCACUAACGGAUUCUUGGACAGGUCCAAAUACCUCAGUUUUGGUAAAGGACCUUCAGAACUAUAGUUUUUGAUCUAUUUGAGAAAUUUAGGGAAACUUCCUGAAUUUCCGAUGUUCUAAGUUGGAACCCAAAUCAAAUGUUCUAAGUUGCAAAAAUCUCCGAUGAAGGUUGGAAUUAUACCUGCAAUCAUCAUCAAGAGUAUUAAAAUAAUUUGAUUUAUUUAUUUUUAUUUAUUUUAUGAAAAAUAAGAAAGUUCAUGAGAAAGGUAAGAAACUUUGCCUUCUUAAUGCAUUAUCAAGUGUCUAUAGAAUAUUGUUUUUAGAAAUUAGAGUUUCCAAACAAAAUUUUGUUCCAAAAUAUAAUAUAAUAUAAUAUUUAUAAAAAUUAUUAUAAAAAACUCAAAAUUUGAUUUUGAAAAAAUAUUUUUAAAAUGUUUAUAAGAAACAAAAUUCAUUAUACUAUUUGUAAAUGAUUUUACAAAACUAUUUUAAAAAUUGUUUACAACCAAAACCUAGAUUUUGUAGUGUAAUAUUUCAAAUACAUCAAAAGCCCUAAAAAGUCCCCUUUGUUGGUCAAUUGUGCAAUGAAUUUAUGACAAAUCAUGCAUCAUCAAGAGUUAAAAUAAUUUAAUUUAAAAUAAUUUUCAUAAAAAAUUAUUGGAGAAGAUAAUUGAAGUUGCUUUGAUGGUCUAAUGAUAAAAGUAAGAGAUUAUUGGAAAGUCAGAAUAACUUAAUGCAAAAUAUUUUUUAAAAACAAGUGUUAAACUGUAUAACCACUACAUUAUUUUGAUGUAUCAAAAUCAAUAAGCGAUAACAAUUUUUCUAAGCAAAAAACGUAUCAAGAAAUUUAUUGCCCGCCAACUCCAGAAAUUCUAUCUUCUUCCAGCUUUCACUUAACAAUUGAGAGCAACUACCUGUGAGAUUUUUGUUCCAAGAUAAAUCCAAGUGCUACAAGUUAGGUAGUUCCCCAAGACCAGGUGAAAUCUGCCCAUAUAACUGAUUAGAUACAUCAAUGUAUACAAGGCUGCUAAGGUUUAGAAGCCAUAUUGGGAACUUUGACCGGAAAGAGUUGCCACUGAUGCUUAUGACAGACAAUGAAGUAAAAUUGAUAGAGUUUAGAGAUGAAAUUGAACCAAAGAGCCCACAAUCUUCUAGGUGCAACUCUAUUAAAAAUGAAAGGUUGUUGAAUACCUCCAUCCAGUGAGAUCCUACCAUUGACAGGUUGACAUAGUUCAACUUGAGAUGCCUUAAGGAAACAAGAUUAGUCAUCCAUUCAAGGUCCUUAACAAAUAACUGAGAUUCAUUGGAAGAAAGAUCAAGAAAUUGCAAAUUAGAAAUGUUUCCCAAGGUUAGAGGAAUUGCACCUCUGAAUCCACAAUUUGAUAAGUUUAGAUAUUGUAAAUUUUUCAAAGAUCCGAAGAAUUUAGGAAUUGGAAUAUGCUCAAAUGAGUUGCCACUCAAAUCUAAAGAUCUCAAAGAUUUGAGUUCUAUCAAAGAAGGUCGGAUUUCCCCGUUUAAGUUCAUUGAGCUCUAAUUUUCAUAUGCUUCUUCAAGAGAAUAUGGGUUAUGAAGAUUGAUAGAAAUAACAACUCUUGUGUUCUUUUUCACAACCAAUUCCCUCCCAUUGACAACAAUUGCCUCCUAUCCAUGAUGAAAGCCAAUUGCUAGAAGAAUCUUUGAGACCAUUUUUUAAGUCAAGAAGAGCUUCUCGAUCAGCUUUUAAGCAAUUUCCCUUCAGGAUUUCACCUUUACAAGCAAGAUCUCUUGUUAUGAAACAUAGAAUGACCAAAAGGAAACCAAAUUUUGAAAUUUUCUCCAUUUAAGAACACUUAUAAAAACAAGUAAUUAAUGUUAAGUUCCGACAAAAGAAUCAAAAUAACGAUGAAAUUCUAUUAGUAAUAAGAACAUCAAGAUAUUGGAUAAUAAAUAAUACAUUUAUUGUAAUCAAUCGUAAGUUUAAUAAGAUUAAAGAUAUGUCAAGUAAGCAACAUCCUUGAACACAUAUCAAGAAAAAAUAAUUGUGACCUUCUCACCAAUAUCAAAUAUGCUCGGAUAAUUGUUAUCGAUCAAAACUAUAGAAAUCACCGGCCCACAAGAGAAACUUAGAAGCAUUAGAUAAAGGAAAACACUAGGGGAAACUUGGCAUUAUUGGUGGAGUAAGAUCUUACCUAUUAUCUCUUUUUUGUAGUUGUACUCAUUCCUUUGGUUACAAGGGAAUAUUUAUAUAUGAAAGAUUAUUCAAGAACUAUGGGCUUUUAAUUAAAGAAAAGUAAUCCACACGUCAUGAAUUAGUGCAUGACCUAUGAUGAUGAAGCAAGUAUACAAGUCAUGUUUGAAAAAUUAUAAAUAAUAAUAAUAAUGAAUAACACAUCAACAAGUUUUUUCGCAUACCAUUUAAUAAUAUAUGAAAUUUCUUAGACAUUGUAUUUUAGUAAGAAUGUUUCUAACAUUUUUUCUUUCUUUAUUUUAACAUCAGCAAAGCAAUGCACGAGUAAAUAAUUCCAUAUUUAGUAUAAAAUUUAUUUCAUGAAUAGGGCUUUAUCAUCAAUUUAGAAGACAAAAAGGAUAUUACAUGAGAAAAUAUUUCUUCACAAAUUAUGAGAUUUAACUACUAAAUUGAAAGUUUUAUAUACAUCUAUCUUAAUCAUUAAAUACAACUUAAUACCAAGGAAUUAUAAUAUUUUGGAAUUACAAUAAACUUAUUUUUAUAAUAGAGUAAAAAAGAAAUUGACAAAUUCUCUUGAUAAACUUAGUUAAAUAAGUAGUGAGAAUAUUGUUGUCCACACACAUAUAUAUAGAUUACGAUAAAAAUAUUUAUUAAUUUCAAAUUUAGAUAAUAGAUUUCAAACCACUUUGCAUGUUGGAUUAUUAGUCUUAUAGAAUUAAAUAUAAGACUUUUUAUGCACAAUUUUGAAGCAUAUAUUCAUUCAAGUCAAAAGAUAUAAGUAUUUUAUUAGAGUAGGUGGUGAUCUAAUUUAAACUAUAUCAACAAAUUCUUUGCAAGUCAAAAAGCAGCAAGUAUUUGAAUAAAGUAGAUUAGAAUAAAAUUUAAACUAAUUCAUAAGACUUUGACCAUAGUGUAAUUGUCUUCUUAAAAUAGUUUUAAUAAAGUAGAUGGUCACAGUCAUGUUAGAUUGGCUAAAGAAGGUGCUUCUUUUUUUAGUCUAUUGUUCAUGCUAUGAUGUUCAUACCUCUUGCUCUUUAUAAUUUUAAUUUGAUGUAUUAAGUGUUCGGAAAGAAUUCUCAAUGUAUCAUACUAUCACAUCAGAUGAUAUCAAAUCCCUUAAUUCAAGCUUCUCCAAAUAUAUUUACAUAAAUCAUGGUUACCAUGUAUAUAAAGAUAUAUCCUAUGAUGCAUAUUUUUAUUUCUAUUUCUUGAUUUUUCCCAUUUACAUUCAUCAAUUUCAUUGAAUCUUUAAUAAAGUUGGAAACAUAACUUUUUGGAAGGAGGUAUUAAGUUUUCUAGGAAAUUUACAUCAUCCUUUUGUGGAGUCCGACCAAUUUAAAGGUACUUCAAACAAGUAAAAGCUUCCCAUGUGCCCAAUGAUACAAUUUCCCCCAAGUGGGGUUUCCAUGAAUGUAAAUUUUCUAGGAAAUUGACUAGUCAUAAAAAUUGACAAACAUGCAAAAGUUUCCCAUAUGCUCAAUGAUACAAUUUUCCCCAAGUGGGGUUUCCAUAGAUGUAAAUUUUCUAGGAAAUUGACUAGUCAUGAAAAUUGACAAACAUGCAAAAGUUUCCCAUAUGCUCAAUGAUACAAUUUUCCCCAAGCAGGGUUUCCAUGGAUGUAAAUUUUCUAAGAAAUUAACUAGUCGUGAAAAUUGACAAAUAAGCAAAAGUUUUCCAUGUGCUCAAUGAUACAAUUUUCCCCAAGUGGGGUUUCCAUGGACGUAUAUUUUCUAGGAAAUUGACUAGUCAUACAAAUUGACAAACAAGUAAAAGUUUCCCAUGUGCUCAAUGAUACAAUUUUCCCCAAGUGGGGUUUCCAUGGAUGUAAAUUUUCUAGGAAAUUGACUUAGUCAGAAAAAUUGAUAAGCCAUGGUGAAAAUUCCUUAGAUAUGAUGGGAUAAUGGUAUGUAUCCCUCAAUCAUGUCAGGUUCUUGGAAUAAUGUGGAACCUAGCGCAAUCCAACCAAUGCAAUACUUAUGUUCGGCUAGAAAAAAGUAAGAAAAAAUUACUAAGGAAAAUAAAUAGAAAAAAUAAUUAAAUUUUUUUUCUAUUUUCCAAAGGGUGGAGAAAAUGCAUUUAUUAUGAUUUUUUUUUCUUCAAAUUUCUCAUUGACAAUCAAAUAGGAACAAAAUUUUAUAUUUUUAUAUAUUUUUUUUAUGGUAUCCAAAUAUAAGAAAAUAUACUUUUUUAGAGUAUAUUUAGUUCCUAAAACAUUCCAAGAAAUGGAAAAAUAAGAAAAAUUAUGUUUUUCAUGUUUGAAUACCUUAGAGAAGAUUGAAGGAAAAAAUAUGGUAAAAUGCUAAAAGAAUUUCCUCCCUAUUUUAGAUGAAAAAGUAAAGACACUUUGAGGAUAGUGUGUUUUUAUUAAUGUGUUUGAAGGGUGUUUUUGUGUCCAUUUCCAUCUUUUCCUACUUUUUUCCAUUUCCAUGCAUUUCACCAAAUCCUUGGUAAACUCAGAAACUUAAACUUUAUGGGAGUUAGAAAUGAGAUUUCCAGGAAAUUUACGUAGUCCAUUUGUUAGAAAUUUUGUCUUCUCCUUUUUCCAAAGUUGACUAAUUCAAAGGUCCUUCCCAUGUGUUUGCAUACAAAUUUUUCCAAGUGGGAAGGGAUUUCAUGGAUUUCAAUUUUCCAAGAAAAUUGACCUGCUAUGGAAAAUUCCUCAAAUUUGAUGGAAAGUCUUUUGCAUGGCCCAAUAAGCACUUUCCUCUCAAUUUGUAGGACUUUUUUUGCCUUCUCUCAUCUCUCAUGUUUAUAUAUAUAUAUAUAUAUAUAUAUAUAUAUGAAUGAAUAUAAGGUAACUAACCCAUCUGACAAAUCCUCUAAAUAAUCACAAAACCCCAAAGAAAAAUCCAAUAGAAAAGGAGAAAAAGAAAAGAAAAAAACCUAAGUGUUGGAGACAGAGGAAAAAAAUUCAUAAGUAUAUUUUUAAAUUAAAAUAACUAUAUUAUUAUUAUUAUUAUCAUUAUUAUUAUUUUAAAAACAUCAUAAAUAUAUUUUAUUCAUAUUAAUAUUUAUAAUAUUCAUCUUCCUUUUAUUUUUUCUUUUGUAGAUGAAGUAAGAUCUCCAAAAAAAGAAAAAAAAAGAAAGUGCUAGUAGUUUAUAUGAAAAUCAAAAUGAAAGUGUUAGUAUAACUUUUGAAAAUUGGAAAAUUGUAAAUAUAGAGGUAGAGUCAGAUAAUGAGAUAGAAUUUGCAAACAUUAUCACAAGAUAUUUUGUUGAACAUCAAAAUAAUAGAAAAACUAUAUAGAAAUUCCGAGCUAGUUAAUAUAAUUUUAUAAGAAUUUAGUAAUCCAACGUUACUAGAAGAAUAGAUAGAUCAAGAAAACUUUGUUGAUAUAAUGUGUAAAAUCUAUAUAUACGAACAAAUAAUUGAAUAACUUUACAAAACCAAUUUGAUUAAAAAAACUCGUAAAUAUAGAAACAAUAAACCCAUUUACUAUUCAACCAAAAAUUAAAGGAAAACAGAGAUAAUUACAAAUGAGUUAGUAAAUGCAAUAGAAGAAGAAAAUAAAAUAGAAUUUGUAAAUGUAAAAAUUGAAAUAGUAAGGUAUAUGAAAUCGUAAAGCAAGCCAAAAAAAAUUAAAUUAAAAAUAGUAAUACAUUUGGCUUAUGAAACUUUGUAUAGAGAAAAAAAACAAAGUUAAAUAAUAAUUUUAAAAAACUAAAAUUCUUUGUGGCUUGAGAAAGUUUUAUUAAUCAUUUGUUUUCAAAGGCAAAAUGAAAAACCAAAAAACAAUUAAAAUCAUAGUAAAAUGAAUAGAAAUAAUAGAAUGUAUGAAAGGAAAUAUUAAAAUAUUAACAAUUAGAUUAUAGUUUUUAUAUAUAUUCUAAAAUAUAUAAUUAGUUUUUAUUUUUUAUAUUUUAGUUUGAAUUGAGAUGAUAUUUGAAAAUUGUUUAUUAUUAUUAUUAUUAUUUUAUGCUAAUAUUACUUUUUCUUUUCUUUUUAGAUAUUUUCAACAAAUGAUUCGAUUCAAUUUUAUUUGUGUUUUAGUUUUAUUCUUGAGAAAGUUAUUUUUACUCAUAUGAUUAAAAGAAUUUAUUGAAUUGUAAUUUUAAAAAAUCAAUUUGAUUUUAUUUACAAGAAAAUUGUUUUUUUAUUUAUUUUUUUCUAGAAAAAUAAUGAUUUUUAUAACUUUUUUAUGAAGGUAUUUCAAUUUAAUUUUUAUUUUUACAAGUUAUUUAGAAAAAUAAUUUUUAUAAAUUGAUCAACAACUAUAUUUAAAUUAAAUUUUAUUUGCAAGAAAAUUGAUUUUUAUUAUUUUUAUAUAAAACAAGACUUGUACAUUUUAUUUACAAAAAUAUCAAAAUUGGAUCCAAAUUUAUCAGUAAAAAUAAUUUUUAAUACUAAAAAUGGCUUUUUUUACAAUUUUAUUUACAAGAUAUACUUCAAUCCCUUUUUUAUUUACCAAAAAUGAUUUGUUUUAUAUAAAACAAGACUUUUACAUUUUAUUUACAAAAAUAUCAAAAUUGGAUCCAAAUUUAUCAGUAAAAAUAAUUUUUAAUACUAAAAAUGACUUUUUUUUUUACAAUUUUAUUUACAAAAUGCACUUCAAUCCCUUUUUUAUUUACCAAAAAUGAUUUGUUUUAUAUAAAACAAGACUUUUAUGUUUUAUUUACAAAAAUAUCAAAAUUGGAUCCAAAUUUAUCAGUAAAAAUAAUUUUCAAUACUAAAAAUGCCUUUUUUCUUUUUUUUUUUUACAAUUUUAUUUACAAAAUGUACUUCAAUCCCUUUUUUAUUUACCAAAAAUGAUUUUUUUUAUUAUUUGAUUUUUAAAAAAUAUCUUUAUUUGGUUUGAGCUAAGUUUUUUCCAUUUUAUUAUAAGAAGUUUGAAAAUUACUUCAAUUUUAUGAAAAUAAUUUCAACUUUAUUAUUUAAAAAAAGUUUCAAAUUUAUUAAAAAAAAAUUGAAAAUAUUUUUAUCCUUUUAAAGAAGAGAUUUCCAUAACUUUAUCCACAAAAGUAUUCUAAUAUAUUUUUACUUAAAAAAGAAUUUUAUUCCAAUAGGAUUUUAAAAAUAGUUUUUUAUACUUUUAUUAAAAAACGGUUUUUCCAAUUUUAUUUAGAAGAAAAAAAAUUCAGAAAAUAGUUUUUAUUAAUAUAAAAUUAAAAUUUUUCUUUUAACAAAAAUGGUUUCGAACAAUAGUUUUUAUUAAUAUAAAAAUAUAAAUCUUAUCUUUUAUCAAAAGCUGUCUUCCUCGUGGGGCUGUCUUUUCGGUCAAUCUAGCCAUCUCCCAAUCAACCCAUGCAAACAAAGGUCCAGACCAAUAAAAAUCAAUAUGCCAAGUAACAUUCAGCAAAGCCCAAUCAUAUAAAGCCCAAAUGAAUAUAAACUAAUCAAGCCUAAACUCAAUGAAUGAAGCUUAAAGCCCACAUGAACAAAUUUAGGCCCAAAAAUAGUCACAACUUAAUGUCUUGAGAGCCCACCAAUAAAACCCAAUGGUCAAAAUAUCAAUUGUGAAGAUCAAAGGACGGCUUUACUUCACUUUUAAAUUUUGUUUAAAAAAUAUUUAUAUUUUUAUUGUAUAUAUUAAAUAGAUCUCAAAUACAUAUCAUAGAGAGUAGUUUUCAUAAAAAUAUUUAGAGUGAGGGGUUCUUUGUUUGUUUGUUUUAUUUUUACUUAAGUCUUAAAACAAGUUACUUUAUUUAGAACUACUUUUUUAAUUUAUCACAUUUUUUAAGACAAUUUUAUUUAUUUAUUUAUUAUUCUCUUAUAUUACUUUUGAUCGAUAAGAUAGGAUAAGAUAUAUAUAUAUAUAUAUAUUUCAUGUCCCAGAAUAUGAAAUAAUAAAAUAAGAAUAACCUACAAAUAAUAAAAUAAGAAUUAACUAAAUUUUUUUCUUGGGUCAAGUUUUUUACUUUAAGCUUUUCAUUUCAGGCAGUUUUUGUUUUAAACUUUACUUUUAGACUAAAUUUGAUAUUUUUAUAAUAUUUAUAAUGUAUUUAUGUUAUAUUCAUUUUCUUUUCAUGUAUAUAUUUUCUUAAAUAUUGAAUUAUAUUAUUUCAUAUACUUUUUCAUUUUUUUAGAAAUAUGUACAAAUUUAUUUUUACUUUUUUAUUGCUAUAUUGAAACUUUUUUUUAAUUUACUAAUUAAUUUUUCAUAUAAAUAUAUUAAAAAAAAAUUAAACAUUAUAGAUGGAUUUUGAAUUAUGCAAUUCCAUCAACUUGUUUAUAUAUAUGAAUAUAAGGUAGCAAACCAGUCAAAUAAAUCCUCUACACAAUCACAAACCCCAGAGAAAAUCCAACAAAAAUAAAGAAGAAAUAAACCUAGCUAAGUGUCGGAGACAAAGGAAAAAAAAAUAAAUCAUAAGUAUAUUUCAAAUUAAAAGAACUAUUAAUAUUAUUAAUAUUUCUAUUUUGAAGAGAAUCGUAUUAUUUUUUAAUGGGAAGAGUUUUUAUUAUUAUUAUUAUUAUGAUUUUGAUACAAAAAGGGAGAGUAAGGUUGCAAUUUUCAUUUUCUAAAAACAAUUUUUAUUUUUAUUUUUAUUUUUUCUUGAAAAUAAGCAUGAUUAAGAUAAAGGAAAAUUAUUAAUCAUGGUUCUCAGUAUAAAAAGAAAAUCCAAAAGAAAAUAAAGUUAAAAUUGUAAUAAAAUGAAUAAUUUCUCAAAGAAAAUAUUAAAUAUUACCAAUUAUAUAAUAUUUUAUAUAUUCUGAAAUAUAAAAUAAUUUUUUAUUUUGGUUUGAAUCAAGAUGACAUUUGAAAAUUUUUUAUUAUUUCAAAUUUUUUGUUGUUAACUAUUAUAUUUCUAGUUUUACCCUUGGGUGAAGAGAAAAAGGGCGGGGUUCCUUGGCCUAGAAAACCCUUGCAAGAUUUUGACCUAGGUUGGGUUUCAAAAUUGGGCCUUCAUGCAUGAUUCAGCACAGAAGGUUUUGGGCUCACAGAUGAUGCGGGUGUAAGAUAAAUCAUAAUUAAUGGAUGUGUAGACCCCAUUCUGGGCUUGCUUUUAUGCAGCCAUUUUUGACAGGUGUAGCCAUCUAGGGUGGCCACGUGUCAAUCUCUGGUUGGCUGUUAGGGGCACCGGAGUAGUGUUUUUUAUGGCCAACCAGAGGUCGACACGUGUCCAAAGAAUCUGCAAAAAAUGCUGCAGACAGUCAGAGGAGCAGGGUUGCCAGCUGCUUGGUCUCGCUUUUCCUGGCCGUUGGGGGAUAUUCUGGAGGGGGUGCUUUUUCCAUUGUGGAGGGGAGGUCUCCAGAGGGGUUUUUCUUUCAGGUGGAGGAGAUAUUUUGAUUCAGAGAUGCCGUUAGGAUUUUUUGGAGAGAUGGAGGUUUUUCUUGGGAGCCAGAGGAGAUAUGUUGGGGGUGUUUCUUUCUGGCAGUGGGAGAGGAAGAAAAAGCUAGAGAAAGAGCUUGAGCUGAGAAGAAGGGAGAGAGAAAGUUAGUGCGGAGGGAGAGAAUUCCAUUGACGACUGUGGGAAAUUGUGGAGAGCUUUUGGAAGUUGCUUGGACAGGAGGGGAAGUUCACUGAGAAAGCUAAAAUUUGAUUCUCGUUGAUUAAGGAACCAGGUAUAUACACAGUUUUUCCCUCGUCUCUCGUUAUUCAUUGAUUUUCCUUAACAUAAUGCUGUUUGGGGUGGAUGUUGAAGGCCACUGAUUUGUUUGUUGAUAUAUAUGCCUGCAUUUGUGUGGUUACGAAAUGCUUGAGAAUCAUAAGGGUGGUUACAUUUGAUAUGGUUUACCCACCUACACAGAAUGAUUCAUGAAGUGGAUUUUCUGAGAUUUUUCUUUAUUUAUUCAUCUUCUUUUACACUCUGUUUCUCUACUUCCCCUGUUUCCUGGUAAGUUUUCCUAUCUCUGCUUGAAGAAGUAAGAUACUGCAAGAGAUAUGUUCUCAAGCCAUGGAUAUGGGAAGUUGUAAUGCGUUUAUUGUAGCCGGGUGAUUUUAUGCGCAUAUUUAGUGGUUUAUGAGAAAAAUCGGAUGAAGAAGCCGCAAAGGGUCAGAGCUCAUGAGGAUAGAGCAUGAAAACGGGAUGUAAAGGAGGUUUAACAAUCGAUUGUCAACUCACGACCCCUGACAAUGCUACUGCUAUUUCUCAUAUUGGUUUGGUUAUUGCAAGUAGUAGCAUGUAUAGGAGGAACAGACAAUUGUGGGGGAAGGAUUUCUCGGGAUAGAAGGUUUUUCUAUACGUCAAGAUCAUGAAGUUUUGGGUCCUGAUGCGUAAAUUGGUGUGUUUGGGUCUAAGCUACAAGCGAAACAUUGGAGAACGAUAUAGCGUCAUUGGUGGAUAGGAUAUUUGAGCUCGACAAGGAUUCUGGAGUGAUAAUGGUUGCUUGUAUAAAUUCGUAGGUUGAAACACUCCCUAAGGACCCUGUGAUCUGCAAUUGCUGAGAUCUCCGCGAUGCAGGAAAUCAGAUAUUUGCGCCAUGUGUCUCAGAUGGAAAUACACAUAAGCAUCAGCGCGAGGGACUUAUAAUGGUCACGAUGCAUGAAACUGAUUUAGAUGCUUUCAAAUGGGCAUAAUUUUUGGGUAUAGUCAGAAUGAUUCUAUGGACGAGGCUCCAUGCUUGUUCCAGGCAAUGUCUCUUGAUGUUGGGUUGUUGAAAGCCAUGCUUGUGACUAAUGAAUGCUAUCCAAAACCGCCAUACCCAUCAAGCUCACAUAACUCUUCUUCACGCCCAUGUUCAUGCUUUUCUGCAGUGGCCCAAACCACCUUGUUCAUCCCACCACCUUUUCUCUCUCUAGUUUUUCAUACCCAUUUCUUGAUACCCACUUCAUUCAUCCAUCUCUCCUUUCCACCAUACCCUUCACAACCGGUUUCUAGACCCAUUAAUACCCUCACAUGCCUACCACUGCCCUUAUCUCUCUAUACCACAUGCCGUUCAUUGCUCACGGUUCCCCCAUUGGCCUCCAUCAUCUCAUGCUAUCAAUCCCACGCCUAUGUCCUCCUACAUCAUCCACAACCGUGUUCCAAUGCUACUAUAAAACCCAUUCUUCUCUCAACCUUUCACUUACUUCGUACCCACCAAGCCCCCAAGACCCACUUCGCACUUCACUCAUGGCUGCGCCUCAUGCUGAUCCCGUGCGUACAACCGACUUCAUGACUACUCCUCCCAAUUCAACGUUUCCAGGUGCAAUGUUACAGGGUUUCAACAUUUACCAGGGAAAACACCUAUGUGUGCAGCCUGCAUGUGUGCUCACUAAUGAAUAUGCUGGCCGGCACAAGACAUGCAAAAGCCGAGCCUAUGAUAGAAAAUGGGGUUUAAAAGAUCUGUAAGGAUUCAUGGUUCAAAUGAGGGUUCUAAAUCAGAUUGAGUCCCAUUGGGUGACGCGUCAAUAUCUUCUUGGUACUAGAGAAGAUGAAAGAGAAGGUGCAUAUGUAGUGUUCACAAUUCUCUAUCAGCCAUGGACACUAGCAGAGAAUAAUGAUGAUAUUCUCAUUAUUGAGAUUGCUAAAACGAACAAGAAUGUUGUUCAUGACGUCAUUCACGUUGGCGGGUCCGCUAUCGUUCCCAUUAUGCAAUAGCUAGCUAUUGUAAGAUCCCGACUGUCCAUCCCACCACUAGGGUGAAAGCACGGCGACGACCCUACUUAGAGAUUCCGUUGAUGCUAAAGGGUUAAAGCAGUUUAAGGAUGAGAUGAUCCGAAUGAAGAUGAUGAUGAACGGGCUGGUGAAUUGCAGGAGCAUGCAGAAAUGGUUAAUGUAGAGAGGUCAAGUUUUCACCUGCAUGAAUUCCCGUUCCUGUCUUGAGAUGAAUGCCUACAAAAUGGGUUGUAGACAUCAAUGACGUAAAUUGUGGUGAAGUCCAUACCCUGGACAUUCUUGGUGAGCUCUCUGCUUUUAAGAUACCUGCCAAGUGAGAUAAAUUAUGGUGCCUACAAGGAAGUUCCGGAUGCUGAAUCCCCCCAGAAUGAAUUCCCGAUAGUUCCACUGCUGUUUGCAUAUAGCGCGCUGCUCUCUUCACAAUCCUUACAUGCGGAAGACAUCAUUAUCGGUUUUUUUUUAUAAGGGAAUAUUCUGUAGAGCAUGCACUUGAGAAUGCUUGCAGCCGCACCUUACAUUAUUGCAACCCAGAUCCUCUUUACUGAAUAAUAUACACCGAGGACGAGUUCUACGAUGUGGAGAGGUCAAACCCAGUUUAUAAAUAUGCUUUUGUUAUGAAUGAAGAAGAGAUGUAUUAUACUUACGAGCUUGUUAAUAGCUCUGUUACUUUGAGGCUGGUUUUAAAUCCACAUGGAUGUGUGCGGUGUUUCAUAUGGAUUGAUCGAACACGUGGGUGGAUCAUUUAUUCAUUUGCACAGAAGGACGACUAUGACAGUCAUGUUCUGUGUGGUGCAUAUGGCAGCUGCAACAUUAACCAUCCCCGAAAAUGUACAUGUAUGGAAGGAUUUGUGCCAAAGUUCCUCAAAGAAUGGAACAUGGUGGGUUGGUCAAAUGGAUGUGUUCGGAGCACUCCACUGGAUUGUCACAAGGAUGAGAGGUCGUCGCUUGGUUCUUCUCUGUGGAGCCGCGACGCUCAACACUAUAUUACUAGUGCAGUUGCAGCGGAGGUAGAUGCUUCCGUGACCUCAACUGCAUCUAAACCUGAGCAUGAGCUUCCAAUAUUUGAAGUCCUUCAAGUGGACUUAGACGAGUAAAUGGACAAGGAUUCCCGAGUAUGCAUGCUGGGUGAAGACGUGGGUCACUAUGGAGGUUCCUACAAGGAGACAAAAGGGCAUGGCUACAAAAUAUGGGAUCCCAAGGGCUAGUAGGGUCCACAACAUCAUGGUCUGAUUUGGUGACCUAUACAGCUUCAAACCGCACCUCUAGGGCAGGUAUUGCAUGGCCACCUUUUGGACAUGCUACUUUGGCCACGAGCUUUUCCUAUGUGUCUUCACUUCAUCUAUUCUAAACAUAAUUUCUAGCACUCUCAUUCCUCCAAACAAUUUAUUUAUUUUUUUUAAAUCCCAUUUUAUAAAUAAUUUUUCACAUUUCAAUUUUCAAAUAAAUUUCAACUCUUUUCCUCUUCAUCUUUAGGGACUCUUUAGAUUUCAAAGUCUCAUUUUCAAAUAAAUUUUUGCUGCCACCUCUCUUCGGCAUGCAACUUUCAAGACUUCCCUGAUUUUAAAAUGUUUUAAAAUAAGCAAGAAUAAAAUUCCGUAAUUCUAAGCAAAGGAAUUUAUGGAAUUAAUUCAUGCAAAAAUGAAUCGGACUAUGGUGGAGGCCCCACAUAUGAGUUUUCAUGACUAAUUGACUGUUUGAUUGAUUUAUCUGUCAUGUGUGAUUGAUUUAUUCUGUUCCUUGAUAUACAUAUAAUCAUUCUGUGUUCAUUCACUAACCCCGCUUUUGAUAAUGCAUUACAGCUCGUGGCCCAAGUAUGCACUCUCUAUACCUAUUCUGAUUUUCAUAUGUGCAAGUUUGAUUUGAGUAUCCACUAAUUUUCUCAUUGAUUGCCACGUUAACUUCAAUCUAUUAGUAGAGACCCGACUCUAGGGACUUAGAGGGGUGCUACGGUUUAUACCGUACCUUCCCGAUAAGUAACUUGACCCCCGAACCCAAUCUGGUUUUUCACAGACCACCUUUUCCAAAAAUCAGGAGUUGUACUUAAGGUUUUCUUUCUUAUUUUGUUUACCCUUUAAAAUAAAACAAAAAUAAGUGGCGAAUCUAAGUCAGUUUUUUUUUUAAUUAAUAAAAAAUCAUUUUUUUUUCAAAAUAAAAAAUCAAGCUGGCCAUUCGAGUGGGAAACGCAUUGAGCAUGAAAUGCGGGGUCCACAGUAUGAUUAUUGAUUUUUUUUUUUUUUAAGCAAGUUCAAAAUCAUUGAAUUGGAUAGAAAUUUGCUAGCCCCGUUUGGAUUAAAAGAAAAUGCUAGGAAAAAUAAAAGUUGAGAAAUAAAUUUAAAAUUUUAAAUUGAUUUUUUCAUGAAAAAUGUGAAGAAAAAUAAUAAAAUAUAAUGGAAAAUACCAUAAAAUAUUUCAAAAUUUUCAAAGUCUUCUUUCCAUUUUAUAAAAGAGAUAAAUAAAUUUGGAGAUUUAUUUUAUAGCUCUAAAUGUAAAAAGGGAAUAGAGGUGUUGAAAUGGUAAUCAAUAAAAACUUACAAAAGUUUUCAAUAAAGUAAUUUUUUCCUUAUCACUAACUUUAAAAAAAUAAUAAGAAGAAAUAUUGAAUAAAUAUUUGGAAUAUAUAUAUAUAUCCAAUUUUAAAGGUUUAUUUUCAAGUUUGAUAAAUAUAUUUUCAAAGUUUUGCUGCUUUUAAUAUUUAAUUUCUUUAGUAAUAAGCAAUUUUUCUGAGAAGAAUUGUACAAAGCAAGAAUAAAAAUAUAAAAAAUUUACAAAAUAUUGGUAGUUAGAUUUUAUGAAGAUAUCCAAAAAUAUUAUAUAAAAAUUCCUAAAAAAUUAUGCUGUGAUCAAAAUUGGCCACAACCCAUAACAAGAAAGGAAAAUCCUCAAUUUUAUUUUCAAUCCUAAACUUCAAAUACUCAAAUCCAAUUUUUCAUAGAAAAUUGAACUAAAUAUAUUUUUGGAAAUUUUAAUUAACUCUUGUUUUAGAAACUAGUUAAACUACCUUCAUGUAGUACAAUUUAAAUAAAAAAAAUGAAUUUACCAUAAAUUAAUGAAAUUAUCAUUCUCAAAAAUUUAAUAUGACUAAAAUAAAUUUUGUUUUUAUCUAUUUUCUCUCUUUUUUUCAAAAAAAUUUAGAUCUAAAACUUUCCCAUGAAAUGAUAACUCAAAACCCACACCAACAAUAUAAAAGUGGAAUCAAUACAUAUAAAAUAAAUCCACAAAUUUCAAAAUCAUAAAACUUAAAUUUCAAGUUUUUUAAUAAGUCCAAUUUAACAAAAUAUAAGUUUAAUAUAAAAUUUCAUCACAAAAUCCAUAAAAACAAACUUCUUAGAUUUUUACAUUUAAGUUUUAGUUCCAAAUUCUACCAAGGCAUAAGUACUUAUAUGUGUUGUUGAUAUAAAUGUCUCUUUGUGGCAUCUCCAAAGUUCCAACUUUUCAUGUUCGUCAUUAUCUCUUCCUCGCCUAAAAAAACCCUAAUAAAUUAAUUAAAAUUUUUUUAUUCACUAAUUACCAUCAUUUUCAUUGUCAAUAUCAAAACCAUCGAAAUGGAAAUUCUCCGAUAUUCAUUAUAAGAAUAAAUUUAUUUAACUUCCACUUUGGCCUUUGACAACAUGAAUAUAGCUUUCAUGUAGGAUUAUCUUUACUCUUUCUCCUAAUAUGAUCAAUUUCUAACCGUUUUGUAUAUAUUUCCUUUAACAAAAUACUUUUGCUAAAAAUUAUGAAAAAUAGCUAAAAGUGUAAAUAUCAUUUUAUCAAGCAUUGGAUGAUGUAUCGUAUAUGUUUCAUAAGAUACACUUAAAAUAAGAUAGGGGUUGCUAAACGCCUCGUAUCAUGUAUCCUAAGUUUUUAACAACUAUGAUCUAGAUAAAGUUUGAUCCAUAUGCUGAAUGGUGAAGUCAAUGUAAAUAUAACAAAGACAAGAACAUUGAUGCCAAAGGUGACCUCUGAAAUGAAAUACUCACGGGUGGAUAGCAUCAGGAGCACGCCUUGAGCUACUCAGACCAUAUGCAAGAAGAGCCUACAUUGUGAAUAUGUAUUAGUUUCUCUGCGUUCAAUAACUACAAAAUCAACACAAAUGUAAAACAAGAGUAAAAGAUAAGAAUGUCAGGAAGAUGAACAAUCAGACUAACAGGAGUACCUGAUUUGCAAAAUCUGCGGCUGAGUGCACAACUUCAGCCAACAUAACAUGGCUAGAGGUUGUUAACCAGACCCCAAACUUGAGAGAAAAGACGAGGAAGUUACACCAUAAUGCAGUUCUGACUGCUCGUUGGCUAGAAUAAACAUGUUAGGCAGAAACAAAAGAAAACAAAAAAGGUCAGAUGGUGAAAAGUGGGAGCUAAAUUUCUGGUCCCUAAUUGCAAAAAAGGCUCAAAAUUCUUGAUAGGUUUGGAUUCAGUGCAGUUCAUUAAUAUGCAGCUAGGAUUGACGUCAUCCACAAUCACUCCACAUCCUAAGAAAGUGAUCACCCAUAAAAUCACACUAGAGGAGAGAAUCAAGAAACAAAGGAAUCAAAAGAAUGAAAAGCUUUCUCUUUCAUGACUGCUUGCAUCAACUAGUUAAUUUACUCUUUUCUUGUAUUAAAUCAAAGAUAAUGUUACAGAAGAUUAAGAAUUUCCAAAACCAUAAAUAUACACACUCCUAAAGGUUUUGUAGCCUAUUUCUGUGAACUGGGACAUUCCAACUAACCCCAUUUUCAUUUUCGGGUUGCUAUAAAAUAGUGCCCCAAAAUAAAACAUUCCCAUAAAUCUUGCCUUACUUUCCCAAAACCAAAAUACAUGUACUCCGACUCUUAUUUGCAAGUCAACCACACAAAUGCUCACAUGAUCAAUCAACAAACCAACUUACAGCCCCAAAAAUGGCCAGAAAACAACUCAAUUUACCUGUCCUAUAGUAAGCCCUUAACAUGAACUGAAUAGUCCCAAAAAUGCAAUUCAAUUCAAUUCAAUUUGUUUAUCUUAUGGUAAACUAUUAACAUGAAUCAAACAGGCCCCAGAAACUUAAUAUACUAUAGUAAGCCAUUAAUAUUUUUUUUUUUUUGAUAGAUAAACACACAGAAAUAUAUUAUAAAGGGGCAAAAAGGCGACCCAGAGUAUACAGGGAGUAUACAAGCAUCACCUACAAAAAAAAACCAGAAACUAAAAGGACAAACCCUUACCAGCCCUCAACAAGAACCCACCCAGUCCACAAAAUUAAACAAGGAAAAGGGGCCUUGAACUAUGGAAGAAUUAGCCCAAGAUAAGAGAUUACACAUGAAGGAAUUUUUCAAUCUUUGAAUUGAUAGGACUUCAUUUUCAAAAACUAUCCUAUUUCUUUCCUUCCAAACCGUCCAAAAUAAGCAAAGAGGAGCUGCCCUCCAAACCUUGCUACGCUUCUUAUCCUUUAAGGGAGCAAGCCAACCUAAAAGAGUGUCUCUAACUGAAAAAGGGAUAACCCAAUUAACACCAAAUAAGGAGAACAAGAGAUCCCACAAGACCUUUGCCUUAGGACAGUGAAUAAGGAUGUAAUUUAUCGUCUCUUCUUCAUCACAACACAAGGGGCACCUGUUAGCUAAUUUCCAGCCCCUCCUCUUUAGUUGGUCUUGAGUGAGCACCUUCCCCCAAGAGGCUUCCCAAGCAAAAAAGCCCACCUUGGAAGGAACAAACGAACUCCAAAUAAUUCUCCAAGGAAACGGGACUGCACUGCUGUGGUCAAGAGAGUUGAAACAGGAUUUUACAGAGAAUAUCCCAUCCUUCGUCUCCUUCCACACCAUCCUAUCCUCCAAAUCAGCAUUCAGCCUUUUUCCUUGAAUGAUCAGAAGGAAACUCUCCACCUCCUCCACCUCCCAAUCAUUGAAAGGUCUAAGGAAGCGGGGAUUCCACCCACCCACUUCCCCUAUUGAGUCCCAACAGUCCGCAACCUUCGCGUCUUUAGAAACCGCUAAAUCAAACAAGGAGGGGUAAGCCAUUAAUAUAGCUCAACUAGGACCCGAAAAUUCAAUUCAAUAUAAUUCCACAGUAAGCUAUAAAAUCCAAUCAUGAUUAGAACAAUAGCAAUAAGGAAACAAUGUAGGUCAAUAAAAGAAACCAAUGAAAACUAAUAAUAUCAAUAUCACCUGUGCUGAUCAUUGAUUUCAAUGUUCUUAACUUCCUUGGCUCUAGUAAAAAAAUCUGUAAAGAUCAAAGAAAGCCAACAUCAACCCACAAAAUGGAAAAAGAAUAAAAAUAAAACCACACCAUUCAUCCACCUUCAAAGAAAAAAAAAUACUCACUACGAUUGAUAUAGUGGCGAUUAGAAUCUAAAGAGGUCCCACAACUGCACAGAAAAUUCCGCAAUAUGGGCCUUGGAGCGAAAAAAAGGGCUCCAUUUUCUGGGAAUUUACAGUAAGAGCUGGGUUGUUGAAGGUUGUGGUUGAAGGAUGGAGAGGAAUGUAGGAACUGGGAGAAAGUGAGGAGGCGAGAGAGGGGGAAAUGGGAGUAGUGGUGGCGCGUGAGGAGAGCUGGAGAUGGGCUAGGCGUGAAUCGAAGAAGGCAAGAGCCUAUCUUCUUGUUGAUGCUUCUCUGCAUGCUCCUUGCUACUCCACCUCCAUGGAAGCCCUCGUUUCAGAGAUUUCAGGGUUUUGAGCUUUUUGGUUUUGUGAGUUGGAAGGGUUUUUGGAGAAAUGGGAGGAGAGGGGUUUCUGGAAUUGGAACAUGCUUUCUGAUGUGUUUUUCCACUUUUGGGUAAAAAUAAAAAUAAUAAAAUAAAUAAAUUUAUUAUUAUUAUUAUUAUAUUAUGACUCUAUAUGUUCAAGUCAAAAUUUAUUUUAUGAUACAAUUUAUUUUAUAAAAUUGAAAAUAUUUAUAUUAUAGAUAAAAUAAAUAUUAUAUAAAAAAUUAUUUGAGAAAAAAGGUAAAAAAGAUGGUAUUUAUGUUGAGGAAAAACUUUCCCAAUUUUAAAUUUUAGGUUUUUUCAUAUAAUAAUUAUAGAAAAAUACUUCAUUAUCUAAAAUACUUCAAAGGUUGGCUUCUCUUGCUACUUAUGUUUUUAUUAUUUAAACAAUGAUUUUUCUUCAAAAAAAAAAAAAAACCUACUCUUAAACAUUAUUUUAAACAAUAAAUAUUGUAUAUAAAUAAAAUAAAUAUUGCACAAACAAUAUAGUAUAUAAGAAUAUUAUAGUUAAAAAUAACUAUAGUACUUUUGUUUUUUUGGAUAAAUAUGUAUACAACAUAUUCAUUAUACUAAUUGUAUUUUUAUCAUAAUAUUAUAAAUCGAUACCAAUUUUAACUUAGUUUUAUGUUUUUUGGUUGUGAAUGAGAAAUUUGCCGGAAAGGAAAUUAAAUUUAUUAGGCAUGACCUAAAAGCAAAGAAUAAAAUCCAUUUUAUCCCCUCAACCUUUUGUGUCUCUUACACUUUGUCCCACAUUCAAAAUCCAACGCACUUCAAACUUCUUAAUGGGUAGCACUCAACUUUUUUUUUGGAUAAUUUUUAUUUUCAUUAAAUGGAUGUGCUCCACACGUGAUGUGAUAAGAGGGUAAAAAUGUCAUUUAAAAGAUAUCCAUGGCCCUAAAAUCUAUUCCUUCAUUUUUCUUUUUCUGAAACCUUGAAAUCCUCAAGUCUAAAAAAACACACCUCCUCUAAUCAAUCUUCCUAUUAUGCUGAGACAAUGAGUCUAGUACAUUAUAUGUUGGCAAUUUUGUUUCAAUAUAUUCUAACUCAUGAAAGUUUUUAAAUAGUGAAUUACUCUUCAUUGAAGAUUCAAGGUUGUUGUUGGUUAAACCAUAAAGUUACAGGUAAGUUUAAAAAUGUUUAUUUAGUGGCAAGUUAAAUGAUUAAAGGGUUAAAGUGGAUUAGUAUUUUUUUCAUAAGCUAAAAAUACUUGAAUUAAUGUUUUGGAAAAAACAAGAGACACUUGAGCGGUGGAACCAACACUCAAGUGCUUAUCUAACACUCAAGCUCACAAGGCAUUCGAGCGAUGGUUAAGUGCAUUCAAGUGGUUGUCCCAAAACUGCUAGAAUAUGGUAGAUUUCUUUUUGAAAUUUUAUAAGUAUUAUUUUUUGGAAAUUCUAUAUAUCGAUCCCUUAGGCCUAUAGGCCUAUAUAAACCCUCUAUUAACCCUUUUUAGGGUUAGACACCUUGAAAGAGUUGACCAACUUAACCUAUCAUUCCUAAUCUCUCAAGAAAAAAUUCAUAAUAUUGAAUUUCGGGUUGUUGUAAGAACUUGCAUCCCCUAAGAGGUUGAGAAGAAUCUACUAGAGCAUUAGAGGUGUUAUGUCGCGGAUGUGGAUCAAGGUAUAGGUGCUAGAGAAUAAGUUUUUAAGGUAAAAUGGUCAAGUAAAUCUGUGUACUUUGAUAUGAAAUAGUGGAUUGUAUAUUAAAGGUCUUAGACCUCAUGGUUUUUAUUUCCACAGUUAGUGUUAGGUUUUUCCACAUAAAAAAUUAUUAUGUCUCUUGUUUGAUAUUUGAUUACUUUGAUUAUCCCUAAUAUCUUCAAGUUUUAUUUUGGGAUAAUUUUUCAUCACUUAUAUUGUAUUAUUUAAAAACACCUAUUCCCUCAUCUCCCCUCUCAGGUGUUAUCCUAAUAGACAAAAGGUUUUUUCAAUUGGUAUAAGAGCAAGCUUUUCUAAAUAAAAAUCAUAUUUUUAUUGAUCUUGCAAGUCUAAUAUGGAACAACCAAGGUCUGAAGCUCCCCUAAAUAGUCCACUCUAUUUCGAUGGGAGUAAUUAUCCCAACUAAAAGGCCCGAAUGAUUUUUUGAAAAUGCAAGGAGAAAAGGUCUAGAAUGCAACGAAAUAUGGAUGAAGACUUCAUUGAAACUAUAUGUGAAUGGGAAAUCUACUUAUGAAUUAAAACCCAAAAAAGAAUGGCAUAAAUUAGAUAAUGAAGAAAGUGAUGCCAAUGCUCGGGUUCUCUUUAGCAUAUUCAAUAGGGUAAGUCCUAAUGAGUUUUGCAAGAUAGCCACAAGAUGCUAAAAAAGCCUAGGACAUUCUCCAGGUUACUCAUGAAGGCACUUUAGUUGUGAGGUUGGCUAAAUUGCAAAUGUUAACCUUCAGGUUUGAAAGCAUUAAAAUGCAAGAGGAUAAAACUUUCUUUGCAUUCUAUGCUGAAUUAAGCGACAUUUUGAACUUCUUUUUUUAACUUAAGAGAACAAAUCCCUGACUUUAAAGUAAGUAGAAAAAUCUUGAGAUUUCUUCCUGAAAGGUUUAAACCUAAGGUCACCACAAUAGAGGAAAACAAGGAUAUUUACUCCAUGAGGGUUGAUGAACUUGUUGGUUUUUUUCAAAUCUAUGAAAUGACCUUUCUAAACUCUCACAAGCCAAAAGAGUCUACUUUUAAGGAUAAUGAAAUUGAAGAAAAAGAGUCUGAAAAUCAUAAUGAGAUAACUAGGGAUGAACUAGCGUUCAUGGCUAAACGUAUUAAAUGGGUUUGAAACUUAACAAUAGACCUAAUAAGAACAAGCACUUGGGAAAGGAAAAAAGAUUUGGUAGGUCUUCUAAAGAAAAAGAUAAGGAAAUUACGAAAGAGAAAAAAGGUAAAGUGUUUUAAUUAUGGAGGUUUGGAACAUUUUUCUAUUGACUAUGUCCUAGUCUCAAUGACAUUAAAAAAAAUUGUGCAAGCUACAUGGAGCGACACUUACUCUGGUGAGAGUGACUCUAUGACUUCUGAAGAUGCAAGGUAUGAGCAAAAUGAUUAUUUAAAUUUUAUUGCAUCUGUUGAUUCUAAGCAUGAUACUAAUAGUCAUGAGAGUGAGUAUACUAAUGAAUAGAAUGCUAGUUUUCUUAGAAAUAUUUCCAUUGAAUAUCAAAAACUGAUUGAACAAUAUUUGAAGACUCAUAAUAUUCUUAACUCAUAAAAAGCUAAAAUUGAAUAUUUUUAGUGAAAAAAGACUAAUUAUCUUGCGAAAAUUUGAUUCAUUGAGUUUGAAUAUCAUUCUCUUCUUGAGAAAAACAAUAUUCUAACUUAAAAAAUUGAGACUAAAAAACCAUCAAUAAGGCUUUUCACCUUGGGACUAGUGUUGGAUGAAAUUCUUGAGAAAUGCAAGUCCCAAGGAGAUAAGAAAGGCCUCGACUAUAUUAGCAAAACCAAGACUUCCACAGGUGGAGGCAUAGUAUUAGUUAAAAGUAAGGAGGAAACUCCUAACCAAGAAACAUCUUCUAGCACUCUCUCACUAUUCACACACUGUAAGAAGUCUGAAUAUACUCAAAGUAGGUGUCACACUAGAUUUCUUGAGAGCAAUGAGUCUCAAUUGAAUAGGCUUGUGAAUGAGUUUAAAUCUCUAAAGAAUAAUAUUUUGAACACCAUGAGAGGGAAGAAAACCAAUACAGAGCUUAAGACUCAACAAAGCUCCUCCGAGUCACCACCUAAAACAAGUGUGGAUGAGAAAAGAUAGGCUUAAGUGUUAGAUUGUUUUCACAGCCCUUAGAGCUAAAGCCCUUAGUGAAGCUCUAGGCAUAUGACAGAUGAUAAGUCUUUGGUCACCUCUCUUGAGGAUUUUAAUGGAGGAAAAAUCACCUUUAGGGAUGGUAGUGUAGCCCAUGUGAAAGGUAAAAGUAGUAUCUCUAUCCCCAUAUGCCUAGAUUUAGAUGGAGUCCUUUAUGCUAAUGAACUUAAGGGUAAUCUUCUUAGCAUUAGCCAAAUUUAUGACAGUGACUAUAGGGUAAACUUCUUUUAAAGUUUGUGCGAAGUGAUAAACAAGGAAGGAGAAGUCAUUUUCAUUAUGCUUAGAACAGUGGAUAAUUGUUAUGCAAUAAAUUCUAGUUCUAAAACCUCUUUGGUUUGUAGUAGGGCUAAGCUUGAUAUCAUUGAGUCAUGGCAUAGGAGGCUAGAUCACAUAAACUAUAGACACUUGGUCCACAUAACUAACAAAGACCCAGUUAGACGUAUCCCUAAGUUGAGUAGUCAACCUAAAUCUAUUUGUGGAGAGUGCCUAAAAGGUAAAUAAGUAAGAAACUCACUAAAAAAUAUUCAAGGGAAUAACACUUCUAGGCCUUUAAGCCUUCUUCACAUGGAUCUCAUGGACCUUAUAUGAAAAUGGAGAGUAAAGGAUGUCGUUGAUUUUUCCAGGUAUUCCUUUGUAAGUUUUCUAAAGGACAAAUCUGAAACAUUGAGCACUUGAAGUCCUUGUGCACUAGAAUUCAGGUGGAAAUAGGUAAUCCUAUUGUUAGGAUUAGGAGUGAUAGUGGGAGAGAGUUUGACAAUGUAGAAGUUGAUCUCUUUAUGAAUUAAAGGAGAUUAAACAUAAUAUUUUGCCUUUAGAACUCCUCAACAAAAUGGAGUGGUAGAAAGGAAGAACCGUGUUCUUUAAGAAAUGACCUGAGUAAUGAUUAACAUGCAUGAUACUUCUAUGUAGUUUUGGACUGAAAUAAUUAACAUGACUUGUUAUACUGCCAAUAGGGUUUUCCUUAGGCAUGGAAAAAAGAAAACAUCCUAUAAAUUGUGGAUUGGAACAAAGAAAACAUCAUAUGAAUUAUGGAUUGGCAGUGAGUGCUAUAUUCUCAAGGAUAGAGAAAACCAAGAUAAAUUUAAUUCUAAGUCUAAUUUGGGUAUUUUCCUAUGUUAUUCCAAUAAAAGUAAAACUUAUAAAGUUUAUAAUCAGAAUACUAAAGUUAUCCAAGAAUCUUCAAAUGUAGUCAUCAAUGAUUUUGGAUAGGACUAGGAAGUCAUUGACUUUGAAAGUUUAACCUAAAAAUCAAUUGGGAAUAACCUUGAAAAAGUUAACUUAGAUGAUAGUCUUAAAAGUAUCCUAAAGAGGUAAUUGACCCCAACAGGGAUGAAAAACCACUUGAAAUUGCUAAGUUGGGCAAAGAGGAAAGUAAACAUAAAUCUAGAGUGCCCAAAAAUUACCCUAUCUCAAAUGUAAUAGGAAACAUGGAUGAUUCCAUGGUUACAAGGAGACAAUCUAGACAAAAUGAGAUAGAUUUUUUUUUUUUUUUUUUGUUAUACCUCCUAAUUAGACCUAAAGAAUGUAGAGGAAGCCUUAGGAGAUAAAUCAUGGACUACUACACUAUAUGAAGAAUUAAAUCAAUUUGUUAGGAAGAAUGUGUGGUACUUAGUCCCUAGGCUUAAAGACAAACCUGUAAUAGGCACAAAAUGGAUAUUUAAGAAUAAACAAGAUGAAAAUGGGUUCAUUGUGAAGAACAAAGCUAGGCUAGUAGUCCAAGGAUAUUCCCAAAUUGAGGGGAUUGAUUUUGAGGAAACUUUUGCACCUUUAACUAGGUUAGAAUCUAUUAAAAUCCUCCUAGAUAUUGCAUGCUCAUUGAGAAUGAAGCUUUUUCAAAUGGAUGUUAAAAGUGUCUUCCUAAAUGGGAUUCUUAGUGAAGAAAUCUAUGUUGAACAACCUAAGGGAUUUGUAGGUCCUAAACUUCCCAAUCAUGUUUAUAGGUUAAAUAAAACCCUUUUUGGAUUAAAACAAGCUCCUAGAGCUUGGCAUGAGAGGCUUACAACUUACCUUUUGGAAAAAGGGUUUGAGAGAAUGAAAGUUGAUAGAACUUUUUUUCAUUUAUAGGUCUAAGUCUAAAUUAUUAGUGGCUCAAAUUUAUGUUGAUGGUAUAGUUUUUAGAGUCACCCUUACCCUUAACUUUGUUGUGGAUAUGAAAAAAGAGUUCAAAAUGAAUUUGGUAGGUGAACUCAAUUUCUUUCAAAGACUACAAAUUAGACAACUCAAAUAUGAUAUCUUUCUAUCUUAGUCUAAAUAUGAUAGGAAGUUAGUAAAGAAAUUUGGACUUGAGUCCACUAAACACUUUAGGAUACCCAUGAGCACCACUACUAAGCUUUGUAAGAACACAUUUGGGAAGGAUGUUGAGAAAAAGCUUUAUAGGAGUAUGAUAGGAAGUUUGUUAUAUCUUACUGCAAGUUGUCAGGACAUCUCCUUUAGUGUGGGAGUUUGUGCUAGGUACUAAGAAAAUUCCAAAAAGUCACACUUAACUUUUGUCAAAAGAAUCAUUCAUUACAUUAGUGGGACCUUAGAUUAUGGGUUAUGAUGUCCUUAUGCUUCCUCUUGUGUUAUUAUUGGAUAUUUCGAUAUUGAUUGGGUUGAAAAUGUAGAGGAUAGAAAAAACACUUUUGCGGCUUACUUCUUUAUUGGGGAUUGUUUAGUCACUUGGCUAAGUAGAAACAAAAUUUAAUUUCUUUGUCCACCGUACAAACGAAAUAUAUGGUCAUAGGAAAUUGUUGUACCUAACUUCUUUGGAUGAAACAGAUGCUCAGUGAGUAUGACAUUGAGUAGGGCACUAUGAGUCUCCAUUGUGACAAUCUAGUGCUAUUAACAUUUCAAAAAUUUUUGUUCUUCAUUCUUGAACUAAAAAUAUAGACAUCUGUCAUCAUUCUAUUAAGGAUUUAGUUGAAGAUAAAGUCAUUUCUCUAGAGUUUGUCUCAAUGAAACAUCAAUUGGUAGAUAUUUUCACUAAACGCUUGGAUUCUCUUAGGUUUGAAUUCCUUAAGAAGUCCUUGGGUAUAUGACUAAUUGACUAAAAGUCAAAAGGGUAUAAACCUAAGGAUUUGUGUUUUUUUAUCUAUCUUAUUUCUUUUAGUCAAUCCCAUCUUCCUCUUAGAGCACUGGUCUUAUACCCUUUUUCAUUUGCCUUAUUAGUAAGAAUUUCAAUCUCUCAAGUUUUAAGUCUAAGUGAAAUAUACUAAACCUACAAGGGUUGAUUUUAUUUUCCCUAGAAUUUUUAUAAUUACUUUUGAGGUAAAGAAUCAAGGUAUAUAAAAAUCUUUGUAUAGUGGGAUAUCUAAAGAGAAAUAAUUGGCAAGUGAUCCAUGAGGAAUCUUCUUAAGUUUAACUAAUAAAAUAGAAUUUGUUUUUUUCUUUGGAAAUAAUAUCAUGCCUAAUUCUUUUUCAUUCACUUGCCUUGUUUGUCUAAGUUCUAUAUUAUUUUUUCCCAAAACGUCUUAAGGCAUUCUUGGAUUCUUAGUUAAAAUAAACUAAAAUAUUAUUUCCAAGAUUCUUUCCAAGUUUAUAUACUUUCACUUGCAACAUUUGGAAACACCCUCCUAAGUGGAAUAAGAAAACCAUAGUGAAAGUAUGAUUUCCAUAAAUGGUGUACAAUGCCUCCAUUUCUCGGAAAAAAAUAAAAUAAAAAAAUCAUGUUAUGAUUAAGGGGGAGUCAAAGUUAUGUUAUAUGUAGAUCAACGAAUGCCGUGUCAAAUAGUCUGAUGAACUUAACACAAAUUGACUGAAUGUGAAUUUAUUGGAUCACGACAUGACUUAGUGACUUUUAGAAAUUCAAAUUUGAAAUAUGAAAUUAGAUAGUAAGUUGUUUUCCCCUGAAAAUCAAUGCCAUUGAAUUCUCUUAGAUUCUUAUAUAUUUUGAUUGUUAUUCAUCUGAUUUCCAAACUAAGAUUAUGAUUAACCUUGUUCUUUAGAUUUGAAAAUAUCAAUCUUGUUUGGUUGAACUAUGUUUUUUGGGCAUUCUAUUUGUUUUAUUACUUUUCUUUCUAAUUUUGCAAGUUAUUUUAUUUGAAUCUUGCCUUAAGUUGAAUGUUUGACCUAUUUCUAAGGUUUUUACAUGUCUCUAUGUUGUUAGUUGGUUUCUUAAUUUGUUUUGUUUUGUUAGUUCACUUUUAGCGUUCAUAAUCCUUCUAGAGUUUUUCACAUAGUCUCGAGCGUUUAUCCUAAUGCUCAAGCAUUGGCUUCAUCGCUUAAGCGCUCAAGUGCCCUAAGUUUUUUCUAGUGUCACUUCAUGUGGUUGUAUCACUCAAGUACUCCUUAAGUUACAUCCAACGCUUGACAUAGAUAUGAUCGAGAAGAAAAACAUCGGUAGGCAGAGAUAUAUCGGUAGAUUCAAUACUUGGAUUUUAAGAAUAAUAAAUAUGAAUUUUGGAAGCGCAUAAAGUUAGAAUUGAGUUAAGAAAUAUUUGAUUUUAUUAAAUAAAAACAUAUUAUGCAUAAAUAUAAUACAUAUGACAUUGCAAUAGUCCUUAGUACCAAAAUAAAGAUCAAUGUGGUUCCAUCAUAUUGUUAGAUGAAAGGAGCCUAUCUUGUUGAAGACAAUAUUUAUUUAAAAAAAAUUAAAUAUUUUUAUUAAAACAUGUUUUAUUACAUUUUAAAUGAAAAAUUAAAUUAAUUUAUAUAAAAUAUUUUAUUUGAGAUUUAAUUUCUAAAAUUUUAUUAAAAAUAUGUGAUAACAACUUUUUCUAUUAACAUUAAUUUAUUUAAAUAAUUAAAAUUAUUAAUAAUUUAUCUUAUCAAAUUAAUUUUAAUUUAUAAAAUAUUAGAACUUUCUUAAUUUUUUAUAUUAUAGCAAUUUUUUGGGUAAAAUUAUAUUUUUAAUAUUUUAAAAUAAAAACAUUUAAAAUUUAAAUAAAAUUGAAAGGAUAAAUGUAAAAAAAUAAUAAUAAUAGUGAAGUGAUAAUAAUUUUUAAAAAUAAGAUUAAUGAGAUAAAUAUGAAAAAUGUUAAAAAUAAAAGGAUAAUAUAAAAUAAAAUGAUAAUAUAAAAACAUGGUUGAAAUUUGGACCAUCUCAAAAAUUCAAAUCUAAUAAUUUUAAAAAAAAAACCCCAAAAAAAUCCCCGAUUUUUCGAAGAAUUUUUUCCGUUCUCCCUCAUAUCGCUCCACUUGCGAUUUUAUCGCCGAUUUAUCAGUUCCAGACCGAUAUAUCGCCGAUAUUUUGACAAUUUGCACAAUAUUUUUUUUUAUAUUCCUCUUGUUCAAUAAUUAGUGCUCAAAAUCGUUUCGGGGCCAUCCGAUAUUCGAUAUAUCGGCGAAAUAUCGCCGAUAAAAACCAACAUUUUAAUUCAUGCUCUUAGCACACCUUUUUGAAUCUAUUUCACUUCUUUAGUUCAUUUGAGCACUUUGGGUUGCUGCUUUUUGGCUUCUAGUGAUCUGUUCAGGGCUUGUUUCAUCUUUUCAUCUUCAUAGUAUUGUUUAAGACUGCUUUCUAAGCAUUUCUAAUGGUUUAGUUUCCUCAUAUAUUUUUCUCGAUUUUCGAGCUUUUUUACUUUUAGUUUUUGUAUGAUAUGACGUUGUUGUCUUAGGGAGGUGUCUUCUCCGAAGCCUUACUCUCACGAAGUUGUUCAGGGCAUCCCUAUCUAGGGUCUUUUCGACUUGAAUAAUCUUCCAUUGGAGCAUUUUCACUCUAAGGAGGCUCAAGAUAGAUACUACUCUGUUCUUCGGAGUCAUCGAGUCAAGGUAGAGCUAUCCAUUGAUCUUAGAGCCUUUAAGGACACCUCUUUCUUGGUUUCUUCCAUGUUAGGGGCUUGGAAACUCUUAUGACUAUUUGAGAGACCUCGUAUCCUCAUUACAUUCAGAUAUUCAAUUCAAACAUCCAUUCAAUAGUUUGUGGUCUCAUAUUUAGUGUCACCAUGUAUGGCUAGACCUUCAUGGUCUCUACUUGAUCUAUCAGGUGUGUUAUGGGCAUGUUUUUUCUUAGUAAUCAGCUAGCUUUUAGUCUUCUUUCCGGAGGUUUAAGCACUCACUAGAGGUGAGCUUGCCUCUAUUCCUAUUACUUUGUAUGACGAGUCCUAUCCGUUGUCGACUUACGUUUCCAUUGCUAACUUCACCAAGUUAGCUUGGGUCCUCGCUAUGUUUAUGUCUUAUUCCUUCUACUCCUCCUUCCAUCGUACUCAGAUUCGUCACCUUGUGGCUUGUUUUAUUCAUACCAUUCUCUUUGGGUAGUAGUUCGACAUUGCCUAGGUGAUCCUUGACAUGAUGACAUCAUACCGCGAUCCCACCAUCCGCAGUGGAGCUCCCCUAUUCACCCUUCUUAUUACUAUGAUUCUAGAGCACAUCAGUUUCAAUUUCGACCUUGCUUUGGUAGCUUGGGUGUCUCGUACUCUCAUUAAUGCGAGUUCUUGGGUCAAGCACUAUAGCCAUGUGUACGGUUGAUAAUCCCUCUGGCCUCAGCUCAAUCAAUCUCCAUUCCUCUAACUUCAAUGUCAUAAGAGGUGGCUCAAGAGACCGCAAUAGAGAAGGAGGAGAUUAGGCCAACGGAGUAAGAUUCUCCCAUUUUAAAGGUGGUUUCAAGAUGGGGAAUAGGGCCCUUGUUUUCACCCGUCUCUAAUUUUGGAUCUUUAACAUUUGUUGACCUCAACCCUAAUUAUUUCUUCCAAUCUAUGCCCCAUUACAAGCAUUUUUUGUUAUCUCCUUAUCCCCACUUUAUGGUGGGCUUAGUCCAGCACAAAUAGGUUGGUGAGUUAGUUAAGGUUUGUCUUAGAGGCCUAAAUGGACCAGACAUGAGCCUAGUUUUUUAUAACACCUACUAGUGGUGGGCCUUUGCUCUUCUAUUGUAAGCUCCAAGGCUUCAUUGACAUAACAAAUGAUUAGGCAAAACCAUUUUAUAUUUUUUAUUGUUAGCUCUUAUAUUUUUACUUUUAACCAUAAGUAAGGAGAAAGGGGCUAGUUUCCUUGGCCUAAAAAACCCUUGUAUUCAAGCUUAUGAUCUAGGCUAGGGUUUCAAAAUUGGGCCUUCUAGCCAAGAAGAAUUUGGGCUCAGGGCGUUAGAUAAAUCAUAAUUAAUGUAUGAUUUUUGAUUUAUUUCUUUUAAGCAAGUUCAAAAUCAUUGAAUGUGAUAGAAAUUUAUUAGACCUGUGUGGAUUAAUAGAAAAUGUUAGGAAAAAUAAAAGUGAGGAAAUGAAUUUAAAUUUUUAAAUUGGAUUUUUCAUGAAAAAUGUGAAGAAAAAUAAUAAAAUAUAAUAAAAAAUACCAUAAAAUUUUUCAAUUUUCAAAGUUUUCGUUCCUUUUAUAAAAGAAAUAAAUAAAUUUGGAGAUUUGUUUUAUAACUCUAAAUGUGAAAAGGGAAUAGAGGUGUUGAAAUGGUAAUCAAUAAAAACCUACAAAAUUUUCAAUAAAGUAAUUUACAAAAUAAGAAUAAAAAUAUAAAAAAAAUUACAAAAUAUUGGUAGUUGGAUUUUAUGAAAAUAUUGAAAAAUAUUAUAUAAAAAUUCCUAAAAAAAUUUGAUGCAAUCAAAAUUGGCCAAAACCCAUAACAAGAAAGGAAAACCUACCUUUUUCUUUUCAAUCCUAAACUUCAAAUACUCAAAUUCAAUUUUCAUACAAAAUUAAACUAAAUAUAUUUUUAGAAAUUUUAAAUAACUCUUGUUUUAGAAACUAGUUAAACUACCUUCAUGUAGUAUAAUUUAAAUUAAAAAAAAUGAAUUUACCAUAAAUUAAUGAAAUUAUCAUUCUCAAAAAUUUAAUAUGACUAAAAUAAAUUUUGUUUUUUUCUAUUUUUUCUCUUCUUUUUCAAGAAAAUUUAGAUCUAAAACUUUCCCAUGAAAUGAUAACUCAUAAACCACACCAACAAUAUAAAAGUGAAAUCAGUAUAUAUAAAAUAAAUCCGCAAAUUUCAAAAUCAUAAAACCAAAAUUCUAUCAUAUUUAAUUCUAGUAGAAAAAAUGCAAUUUAUGGCGCUUGAUUCCUUGGCGCCUCUAAAAAGUGUCAAGGAAUUGGGUCAACCUUGGCGCUUGUAGAAUAUUUAUAAACCGAGGCGCUUCUAAAUAUAUAUGAUUCAAUGACGCUUUUUAAGUUGAUGCUUUUGGAAGUGUCAUGGUUGGAAAUGGAAAGUAACCUUGGCACUUUUAUAAGUGUCAUUGAAAUGGAGUUCAGACAUUGGCACUUACAUUAAGCGUUAUUGAAUUUACUAGUAUAUAUUUCUUUCUUUUUCCUCAUCCUAACACAUUACACUCUCAUCCCAACCCUUGGAGCCCUAAGCCAGGACAAUCACCCACAUCUUCAACCACCACCAGCACUAAUCGAUGAGAAAAUGUUACGAACAUGUUGAAGGUACUCUCAUUUCAUUUCUUUUUGGUUUGUUUGCUUACCUAGAAAAUGCGAGAAAAAACCAUAAAUUAGGUUUAAAUUUUUUGAAUCUAAAAUCUUGAAAUUUUUUGGAUCCAAAAUCUUGCAUUGGUUGAUUAGAUUGUUUCAGUUAUAUAUAACCUUCCGAUUUUUAUGUUUGAUUGAGAAAAACGUGAGAGGGAUUUGAAAAAUGCAGAGACCCUAUUUUCCUAAACCCUAACUCUUUAAACAAUCCAUUAUUGAGGUUUUCUCCAUUGCAAGGAACCUCGGGGUGCACUUGUUUUAUCCAUUAUCAGCUUAUAGAAUUGACUGCAUUUUUUCUUGGUUUCUCGAUCCACUUUACUUAACACCUCUAGUGUUGCUCCUGGAAGGGGCAAUCAGUGUAUAGAAUGAUGCCAGUUGUUUAAAUAUGUUUCACUUGUCCAAUAAAUGGUUGAAUUUUUGUUUAAGGUUUGGAGUAACACCAUUGAGUCCAUUAUGCAGACAAUUUUUAUUUCAGAAUUUCUUAAUUUUCUGAAAUGUUUUAUGUGCAGUGUCUGGGUUGCACGCAGACCACCAGGCUAUGCUUUUAUCGACUUUGAUGACCGUAUGUUUUAAAGAUUUUCUUAUAAUGGUGUUUAUUGUUCUUGAAUUUUCUCUAUGCUUGAACCCCAUGCCAACAACCAUUUCAUCUCCUUUCUCUAAUUUCUGGACAAGUUUGUCUUCCUCUUCACCUCAAUAAUUAUUAUUAAUUUUCAUUGCUAUUCAGGGUUGGAGACCUAAUAAUAAGAAAGAAUAUUCUGUUCUGUGUUGGGUUUUGGGGAUUUUUGGGUUUCAUGUUGUUGUGUUUCGAUCGUGUUGAUGUUUUUGUUUGUAUGAUGAGAGGGAUGCUAGAUAAUGACCAGGUACACCAGGUCCAAAGUAAUGGGUUAUAUCCCAUUGGUCACUGCCCUGUGUGAAGGGAUAUCUGAGUAAAAGAAAUUUAUCUCUUAAUGACUUCAUCAACUGAGUUCAAACAUAAUUUAGUUUUUCUAUUGGCGUAAUUAUGUCGUUAAUUGAACUCACUUUAUGGGACAUCUCACCAUCUCACACAAAAGCCCCCCAAAAUACAGAAGAAAAGAGAUCAGUGCAAGGGGCACGUGAUUCCUUAAAACUACAAGAUGCAUAUCUAGAUUGGUAGUUAUUAUUAUUAUUAAUUUUUGAUAAGCAAAAGAGCAAUAGAAUGGGUAUGAAUUGGAAUUUGCGCUAGCUUUGAUUGCUUUUUUUUUUUUUAUAGUGAAAAAGACUUGUAAUUUUUUUUCCCUUUAAGAUUAUUGGCUACCAAAUUAAAAAUUAUUGAAUUUGCAUUUACCAAACUUGGUAUUAGAUAAGAAUUGCAUAACAAAGUUUUCUCUUAUGUUAAAAUAAUUGUUUUUCAAACUAUGGAAUUGCAUAUAUAUGAGUAAACUGAUUGUACACUUAGAGUGAUCAGAUGGAAAGAUGACGGUUAUAAGUUCCUCAUUACCUAUUUCUUCCAACUUAGCUUAAAUAUAUUAUUUUACUCUUUCUAGUGUGAUUCUGUAUUCUGAUUGUCUUCUAAGCCUCUAUACAACAACUUAAUUAGAAUAUUUUCCAUAUUUUGAAGUAUCUUUUAUUUGAUAAUUCAACUUAUGUUUAUCCUUUAAGUUUCUUUCCCUUUGUCAUCCUCUAAUUUUUCCUUGUUGUCUUCGGCCACUUGAAUUCUUGAUAUAAAUCUUUGGGAGUUUUUUUUUUGCAUAAUGAUAGUUAAAAAAAAUAUUAAUUGAAUUUAUUUUAUUUUAUUUUAAAGAACUAGAUGAUUUUAAUAUUUAAAAAAUCAAAUUUAAAAAAUAAUAAUUUUAUUGUUUAAAAAAAUUAGUGAUUUUAAUAUUUAAAAGUUAUUUAUGAAUAUCUUAUCAACUUGAAAAGGUAAUUUGUAAACUGUUUGAAAAUUAAGACAAUAUUUUUCUAUUAUGGAGAUUAAUUUGAUUUAAUUGUAAAACGAUCAAAUUUUAAAUUUAUAAUUUUAGCAAUUAUUGAUUUUAAUAUUUAAAGGUCAUUUAUGACUAUCUUAUCAAACUUGGAAAUGUAAUUAGGAGAGCGUUUGAAAACUAAGAUAAUAUUUUUCCAUUUAUGAAGAUUAAUUUGAUUUGAUAUUUAAAAUUUUAAAAUAAAAUUUUAAAAAUAUAAUUUUAUCGUUUAAUUAGUUUGUUUUUAUAUUUAAAAAUGUAAUUUUAGCUUUUAAAAAAAUUAGUGAUUUCAAUAUUUAAAAGUCAUUUACAACUACCUUAUCAACUCGAAAAGGUAAUUUGGGAAGUGUUUAAAAAGUAAGACAAUAUUUUUUUAUUUAUGGAGAUUUCUUUGAUUUUAUAUUAAAUAAAUCAAAAUUUUAAAAUUUAAUUUUAUUGUUUGAAACUUUUAGUGAUUUAAUUUUAAAUUUAAAAGUCAUUCAUGACUACCUUAUCAACUUGAAAAGGUAAUUUGGAGAUUGGUUGGAAAGUUAGAUAAUAUUUUUCUAUUUAUGGAGAUUAAUUAAUUUGAUUUGACAUUAAUUUUAAACUUUCCUUUUAAUAUAAAAUUUUAAUAGCUUCUAAGUAAAAGGUCAUAUAAGUCUUUAUACUUUAUUUUUUAAAGAAGUUUCCCCUUUAGGAAUUAUAUUAACUACAAUAUAGUAAAUUAAAACUUGUCUAAUACACUAACAGGCAUAUGAAAAUCAAACCAAAUUUUGAUACUAAUCUUGACUUGGUUGUUUUCAUUUGUGCUCUUGUAGAUCUUAGAUUAGUUUAAUUUCUUAAAUUUGGCAUAUUGGAUUAAGAUAUAUACCAUAAGUUUGGCAUAUAUUUUUUUACUCAUUUUAUAUCUUUUUUUUCAAUGAAAUAAUUUAGAUAAAAUGUGUAAUUCCACCUAUUUACCUAAAAACUAGAUGUUGAUGCAUGUAUACACUAUCAUUUAUUUUUUAAUAAAUAUAAUUAACUUUAUUUAUUUUUCAUUGUCAGGAUUGCAAGGUUUUGUCAUAUGUUGACAAGGUUUGUGGGUUUGUAAAAUAUAGUCUAGAUUAUGUGUUAAGAACAAGAAACCAAUUAUACCAAUUUUAUUAUUUAUUUCUCAAGUUAGUCUACCAAUGUAGGUUUAGAGUACGUCACUUAACAAAAGCUAUCCAAAUUCGUGAGCAUACCAUAUUUAUGUGGAGUUUGUCGUAGAUUUAUAAUAAGUUAAAAGAAACUUUAUUGUCUUUUCAAUGCCUUCUUCAACCUUGCGCACUCCACCUUAUACAAAGAAAAGAAAGAGGAUAGGUCAUUUCUAAUUUUUGUUUUUUAAGUGGACCUUCAUUUAAAGUAUUUGAGGUCUCUUUCAAUAUUAAAUGUAUAUAUUAUUUUAUUACUAAAAGUUACUCUAGAUGGUUGAGUGACUACACAACUAAUCCUAAUUUGAAAAUAUAAAAGUUUUGAGUAUUCUUUAUGUGGGUUCAUAAAUGUGUUCUCCUUCCCUCCUUAUUACGUUUCUAUUUUUUUUCUUUUUUCUUUUAUAAAAAAAACAAGAGAUCCAACUUUCAAUGUUUUUUAAUAAUAUAUCUUCAUUAUUAUUGAAUGGAAUGAGAUGUAGUGAUUAGACAAAGUGGUCUUCUAUUGUUGAUACAGGAAAACAAGUUAUCAUUUUAUAUGACAAUUAGGAGUAGAAGGUAAUGAUUGUGACAACUAGGAGUAGAGGGCAAGAUGCACAUAAGACAUUGUUUUUAAAGGCAAGUAUCUCCUCUAUUUAUAAAGGUAAUCCACCACUACACUAGAAACUUCUCUCUUAAAGAUAGAAUAGCUUGAAAGGAUGACUAAAUAGAAGAUAAAAUUUUAUUUCUAUUACUUUACAAAUUAAUUAUUUACUUUUAUAAUUGCAUAGGAGUUAUAUGUUAUCCUAAACAAGACAAUGAUACAUUUCAUGGUUUUAUUGAAAUAAAAUAUAAAAAGAUGUUUAUUUUCAUAUCCUUGGAUUCUUAUCAUACACUUACCUAAUGAUUUAUAUUUUCAAAAACUUUGAACAAGCACCUCUUAUCAACUCAAUAAAAUUAAAAGUCAAAGGAACUAAAAUAAAAGUAAAAACUAAUCAAGUAAAUAAAAAAUAAAAAUAUAAGAAAUUAAAAAAGAAAUUAAUAUUAACAUAGUGAUAGUAAGAUGGUUUCCAUCUUAUUUGGACCUUGGUAUUAUUUUUAACUGUGCAUAGUAGGUCUUAUGUUAUUCUUUUAUUUGAUAAUGUUUAAAGAGUUCUUUAUUAAAAGUCCAUAAGGAGCUGCCCCAACUCCUAUGCUUUAUUAAUUAGCUUUGAGGUUUGCAUUUGUUAAUAUUGAAAGAAACUAUGUGUUUCUUUCUUAUGAAGUAGGCAACUAUUAUCAUUGUAAUUCUUAAAAUUGAUGCUUUUGAUGUUACUUGUUGGGAACAUGCAAGUAAGUCUGCUAGUUGAAUAUUCAUGUUGAUCCACUAAGGGCAUAUUUGAGUGCAUUUUUUUCUUCUAUUAUUUUUCUUUCAUGAACUUUAUAUCAAUAAAAUCAACAUCGGAAUAAACAAGAGUUCAAGUUCAUUGCAUUGCUUUUCAAAUAUAUAACUUAAUUCAUUCAUCUUUCAUUUGCUUCAAUUUUUGAUUGACUGCCAUUUUUAUUUUUAUUAAUAAGUUUGAACUCGAUAAUGAAUCAAUUUUCAAAUCUCAUGUAUGAUUGUUUGAACAUUCAUCAGCCAGUAUAUGAUUAUGUAAAUUUUGUUGAAUUUUAAAUUUCAUCAUCCGGUUAGAUUUGGUUAAAACUCUUCAUAAUAUACAUUAGUUUUUCUUGUAAAUUAUUUUGAAUUCAUUUUCUUAUAAUUUUCUCAUUUUCUUGUAGUGGCUAUUUUGUGAAAAAUUAAAUUUGUCAAUGUUUAUUUUUAUUUUAUUUAAUUAACCUCUUUUGAUUUAUGUUACUCUAAUGUUAUUGAUAACCUCUUUGAAGCAAAAGCCUAAUGAAGAAGACUUUGACAGGGAUGAUGCCAAUGACAAGGUAAAUGAAGAUUUUUUUUUUUCACUAUCAACAUAGUAUAAAUCAUUUUAAAAUGGAUCUUUUCAAUAAUUAAGGAAACUAAGACAUAUUCAUGUGGUUGUUUACUUAAUGAUUGAGAUAAUUAUCUUACUUAGUAGCAGUAUUUUUUAACACUAAUAAUUUAUUUACUCUAGUAAAACUUUUUACCUUUGACCCAAUAAGAAGAAUAUUAGCAUGUUUGUUUUAUUGCUUUACUUGAACAAAAGCUAAUUAACGUGUUGGAUUAUUUUCUAUUCUCAUAUCCUCUUUGUUUCAAUUAUAUUGGUUGUUAUAUGUAUAAAUUUAAAGUUUUAUAUUUUUUUUUAUUUACAGCUUGCAAAGGAAAUUGGCUUACAAGAAGAAGAGAAAUCAUUACAAUAAAGCGAUGUUGGAAAUCAUGAAGAUGAUAUCAUUUAAAUCUUUAAGAGGUUGAACUAGACUUUUGUUGAUGAUGGUUUCUUUUUGUAGUUAUUGCACCAGUAUUUGUUCUUAUAUUGGAUUUAAAAAUUCUCAUUGAAAUAUUUUGAUCUAAUGAACAAAUUUAUAAUUUGUAUACAAGUAAUUAUACUAAUUAUUGAAACUAAGCCAUUAUAUAUUAAUAUUUGGAGAUAUUUUAAUUUGUACAAUUCAAUUUAAUUUUAUGAUUUUGCUUUUAUUUAAUUAUAUAGGAAAUUCAUUAUUUUAAAAACAUAAUACCAAUAUUAUUAUUAAAAUAAAAUGCUUAAAGAUGACGCUUCUAUUAAGUGUCAUUAUUAACAUAAACCAAAGAUGACGCUUUUAAAAUUGUCAUUGAAAAAUAAUCCAAAGAUGACGCCUUGUAUAAGCGUCAUUAUUGACUAAAACAUAUAAUGACAGGGGAGAAAAGGACGCUUUAGAGAAGUGUCAUCUUAUGCUUUUCUUGACGCUUAAAAAACGUCAUUAAUUCCCUUUUUUCUUGUAGCUACUAUUUUAAACUUAAAUUUCAAGGUUUUUAAUAAAAUUUUACCUCAAUGAAAUAGUGAUUUAAUUUUUUUUUUUACUUUAAUAAAAAAGUUGUUUUUUCCUCGGUUAUCUUUUCCAUCUUCAACUUUAUUAUAAUACUCAAAUCUAAUUUUUUUUAUACAAAAUUAAACUAAACUUAUUUUUGAAAAUUUUAGAUCACUCUUGUAUAAAAAAACUACUUAAACUACUUUAAUAUUAUAUAACUUGAAUAAAAAAAUGAAUUUAUCAUAAAUUAACAAAGAUAUAAUAAAAAUAAAUAAAUAUGACUUAAAUAAAUUUUAUUUUUAUUGAUAUUUUUUGACAAAACCAUAACCUUUCAAUAGCCUGAUUGUGUUGGACCAAGCCCACCUUAAAGUGGGCGUGUAACAGUAAGGAGAUAAUAAGAAAUAUCUGCUACUCAACCAAUAGGGAGAGAUGGUGCCAACUUAUAUUGUGUUUUCCAUUGUACUGGAUUAUUGGUCUUUGACACUACUUUGAAAGUUUAUUUUGGGUGUUUUUUAGUCCUUUUUAGAGUGUAGGAUCAAUAAAAAAAAAAAAUUGCAUGAAUUGAAUCUUUGUUGUGCUCUUAAUUCAUGCAAGAGAAUGACAUCUUGUGGGAUGAGAAUUCUUUGAUCCCUAAAUUUUUUAUAUCACAAGCAACCAACAAACAAAUUCCAUACACCAAUGUUUUAAAAACGUGACCAGCCAAUCAAAUUAGUUGGCUCUACUCGGUUUGGAUACGAUCUUGACGAUUGGUAAACUAGUGGAACCAACUAGGUUUGGAACCGGUCUUGAUUUUUUUCCAUUUAGGUUAGACAAAAAUUUUGGAAAAAAUCAAUAAGUGGAGAUGAUGUUGAAAUUUUAAUAAAAUUUAUCAUUUAUAUUUAUGUUCAACUAUUUUUCGUUAUAAUAUAGUUAUAGAAUGUAGUUGCAAACUAGAAGAAUAUACUUGGAGGAAUGGUGUAUGCUUUAGUGGAUGGUGUCUCAAACUCAAUUCCCAUGGAUAGACGAGUAAGAGUCAGAGACACAACAAAUGGAAUUGGCAUUAAAACGGGUUGUGAAUUAUUGAGAAAUAACUAGUCUCAUGAUGGACAAAGGAAAGAUUGUGCUAAGAAGAAAUGGGGUUUUGUUGCAGUUCUGUGUAGGUUGAUGAGUUCUUCGGUCUAACAUGUGUGAUUUUCUCACUUUUGAAACUUCAUUUUUGGUUUUGAUCCAUUUUAGAGAAGAUAUGUGACACAAUCCAAAAUGGGGUUACAUUGUCUCUUGCUUUUGGCUGUUGUUAUCAUUUGUUGCCUUCAUAUGGUAGAAUAAUGUUUGUUAACUAAAACUUCUAUGACCAAGUUUGAAUUUGAUACAUGGAUGGAGCUGAUUUGUUUAAAUAUUCAUGUUUUGGUGAAUACAAGUCAUUUUAAUUGAGCAAAAAAUACAUAUAAUGUAGAAGAUGGAUAAAAUUAAGUUAAAUACUUACAUAAAAUUAAGAUUUUAAGACUCUUCAAUUUAAUAAAAGUUUUGUUGUACUAAGGAUUAUGGGUUAUGCAUUCAAUUUUGGGUAGAAGGAAAAUACUAUCCAAACAAGGCCUACAUAUAAUCUAAAGCAUUCUCAUCCUUAGGAAGCCUAGGGAAUGGAUUAGAUUAAAUAAGUUAGCUCAAAAGUGAUGUAAAAUGUGGGUAUGUUGUAUAAAAACACACAUAUUUUCUUCUUGUUUUUCACCAUUCAAAAAGUUAUGAUCUGCUUAAUUUGAUUGAAAAAAAAAACCAUACUACUUUUCUUUUCCCAAUUAUAAAUUUUAGCCACUUUUUGUCAAAAUUAACCAGAAUUCUGUAUACACCAAAAAGGGAGAAAAAGGUCAUAGAUUUAGGUUAAUAAAGAAAUAUAGUUGGGACAAAUAAUUAAAAUAUCUUACAUUGGUCGAUCAUCAUAUCGUACUCAAAUUUAAUAAGUUAGUGGAGACAUAACUAAUAAAUAUAUUUUCAAAGAGAAUUUGAAAAUUUGAAAUUGGGAAUUUCUUCUAUUCAUUUUUAAUAAUUUUUAGGGGCUACUAUAAAUUUUAUCCACAAAAGGAUAACGUACUCUUUUUUUAGUAGUUAAACAAGCUAUAACCUUUGAGAAUCACUAUUGAUCUUAAUAAAGGUCCUUUUUAUAUUAAGAAAUUUCUCUUUGAAUAAAUUAAAAGAGAAAUUUUGUCUUUUAUUGCAACUGUAAUGACAUUCACUUUCAAAGCUUGUAAUUAUACAUAGAGCAUAUAAAGAUCUACAAACAAAAUUUAUUACCUUCGCAGGUGAUCUUUGGCAUAGGUUGCUAUUCCUCUCAACAACCAUUUGACAAUUUUAUCCACAAAAUCAAAGUAGGUCUCACUCCAAGAUUUCCUUGUUGCCAAAACAAAAUAUGGAACUAAAAUACCCAUCGCAAAUCCCAAGCCAACACUCAAGUAAAACCAUUGAUCAAUAUAGCCACCAUCAUUUUUGUCCUCAAUAACACUACACUUUUUAUCUAGAUCUUCAUCUUGGCAUUUUGUGACCAAUGGAGCUCCACAAAGAUUAGGGUUUCCAACAAAGGCCGACUCAUUGAAGGUUGUCAUUUGCCCUAUAAAGGGGAUCUUACCAGAGAAAUUAUUAUUCGAUAGAUUCAAAUAACUCAAGAAUGUUAAUGAAACCAUGCUUGAAGGAAUGCUGCCGGAAAGCUUAUUCCUUGACAAAUCAAGAGAUAAUAACUGGUGCAACAUUGAAAUGCUUUCAGGAAUUUGGCCACUGAUGUGAUUCCCAGACAAGUUCAAAACCACCAAACCAAACAAUUUUGUUAUUUCUUGGGGAAGCUCUCCACUUAAAUUAUUGUCGGAUAGGUCUAUGCCUACAACCAAAGAAAGAGUCCUGGUGUAUGCAAGACUUUGACCUUUCAUAAUCACCACCAAUCGUUCUUCAUACUGAGAGUUUCUCACAUUGUCAUACAAAGGAUAUAUAUUCUUGUUAUACUCCGGAACCAUGGCUUUAAGCUCAAACAAAGUGACUGGAAUUUCACCCAUCAGAUUGUUUUGUGCAAGGUCUAAGACAUGUAGGGAGCUUAAAUUUGAAAGCUGGGAGGGAAGUCUUCCAAAAAAUACAUUUGACCUCAAGUUGAGUAUUACAAGAUUUAUGAAAGCAGUUCCAAUCCAUGAAGGAACCUUACCCGAUAACUGGUUAUAACUGAGAUCAAGGAGUUCCAAUCUUGAUAAAUUUUGGAAAGAUGAGUGGAGCUCUCCUGAAAGCUUGUUGUCGUUCAGAUGCAAUGAUUCGAGCCAUUGUAACUGGCCCAACGACUUUGGUAGCAUCCCAGAUAAAUUGUUAUUUCCAAGGUCAAGAACAAUUAGGCUAGAGCAAUUACCUAUGGUAUAAGGAAUGCUUCCAGUCAAAUUAUUCCUUGAAAAAUCAAUGAUUUGAAGAGAGGUGAUUUGUCCUAUGGAAUCUGGGAUGGUCCCUGUUAUUUGAUUUUCCGAAAGGAAAAGGUAAUUCAAGUCUAACAUAGAUUCACCUCUGCUCAGUGGGAUAGGGCCAAAAAAUUUAU